rnacentral:lncRNA from 1 species
CAUAAGCACCCGAGUCUAAAAGGUAUAUGACCCUCGCAUAAGCACCCGGGUUUGAAAAGCAUAUAACCCUCGCAUAAAGCACUCGGGCUCACGGGCUGGCACUCUCAACAACUUUUCUGGAAAAGAACAUCCUCUUGCGGUGGAUCAGAUCGAUGGUGUUCAUGAAAUGCGUACGAUCAGUGGCAAUCGAUGCUAAUAUGCUCAAUUGCCAACCAUCGGCAACUAGCCGACAAUCCUAUCGCUCAGGGUAUGCUGACGGUAUAGGUCGUCAAAUAGUCCAACCGACUAAGUAGGUCACGAUAACAAUGGAAUAAGCCGACCGAAUAGGUCACAGAUACGAGAUACAAGAACCGACCAACUAGGUCACAAUAACAGAUGCAACGCACUGACCGACUAGGUCAUAAAUCUCACAAUUAAUCACAAAACCGCUCUACUUCUAAAACAUGAUACUGGGUAUGCAACCGACUAAGUAGAGCAAUAAGGAGAUAUGGUAUAGGUGCUAGACUCAACAUAUAACAUGCAAGAUAAACGCCAAGGAAAGGGUAAGGGGAAUGUCACCGAGCGUGCACCACUGUACCGACUUCGGGUCGAAGUACCCACUUGUACGUAUCUCGCACUGAUCUCCCGACUGCGGAGAAGAAUCAACUGGACCUAGGAAGGGUCCACCGGGUUAGCAUCCAACCCACAAACACGAACCACUAACUCACAAUCCCCACCAAUAAACCUACGGGAAUCGAUUUCCCAAAAUCGAUUGCCGUAACUCGUCAGAAGUCCCGAAAAUUGCACCGGGACUCCGCUGGGACCCACCAACUCUUUCGGAUCUCACCGACUCGUGUUACGAGUCACCUACUGCCACUAAACACCAUUAUUCAUGUGACUUGGCAGCAAACACACUGCCCCACAUCGAAACGAUUAUCGUCGGAUAAUCGUUCCGAUCCGGAUUUCCGAAAGUGUCAAAUUUGACACAGGAACCUACCGUCGCUCACUCGUCAUUUUCGAACCCUCAAAAUGACACGAGUGACCAGCCAAGAAGGCUCAGCGAUUACAUAAAUUAUCGUGAGGCACCGUAGGAAGAAUUCCGAACCGAAAUCGUGUUCCGUCGGCGGAUUUUGCCGAAAAACGCACCGGAAUCAACUUCCAAUUUCUGAAAAGGCUAGGGACCUUGGACAACCGGUCCAUAGGUCACCCACUGCCCGCACCCAAUGCCAACAACAACCACAAAAUAUACAAUUGCAUAAAAACCCCUGCGACAACAUAACAUCACAUCAUUUUAUGUGAUUUUCGGGGUUUUACGGCCUGACAGCACAAGCCGAGGACCUUCUAGCUAGGCCGAGACAACCGUUGAUAGGUCUCGAUGUGCCGGAGGCUGUGCUCACACUUCGGAGCACGGCCGGCCACUGUGGCAAGCGCGCGAGCGACGCGAAGUUCAGCGAAACUGCGCCCACAGCACUUACAUAGCGUCUAACACGAAAAUCGAGGCAUCGUUGACCCCAACGAAGGUGAGGACGAUGUUCAGAACGGAUUGGGGAUCAUUGUGCUCACUUUCGGGAGCAUCGGGGUAUCCUCGGAUCGCUGGAAAAGCGAUCGGAAUCCGAAAUAGUGCACAAAAAACUGUAAAUUCCCUUAUCGGAGCAAGGCGGGGCACAGGACAGCCGGCGGUGGCCAGACGGCAGGCGCGCCGGCAGGGAGAGGUCACUGCUGGUCAGAGGGGGCCCAAGCACGCACUAGCCGGUGGCGCAGUGGAGGGCCACGAGCCCGCACAGCUCGGCUCGGCUCAGGAAGGCAGCGGCGGCCAGGCGGCGACCGGAGGAGCUUUGGGGCGACGGCGGCUGGUCGCCGGAGGCCGAGGGAGGACAUCGUGGCCGGCGGUGGGCGGCAGCGGCGUGCGUAGGCCAAGUUGGCCUCGAUUCGGCCCGCUCAGGUUCUUGGCGGCAGCAGAGAGCGAGAGCGACGGUCGGUGACUCGCGGGGACGACAGUGACGCGGGUGAGAGAGUCGCCGGAGGCCGAGGAGAGUGGCGCGGCCGGUCUAGGGCUACGGUAGCUCGCGGGCCACGAGCUGUGCUAAGCUCGGCCAAGCUACCCGCGGAUGGCCGUAAAUGGCCCAGGCGGCGCCUGUAACAUAUUGAAAUCUCGGUAGCCAUUAUUGAACUUUAGCCAAAUUUGUUAAAGAGUCGAGAGAAAUGGAUGGACAAAGUCCGGUUAACAUUCCAACAAUGUUGGAAGGGUCAAAGUUGAGUCCCGAGAGUGUUAAGCAAGCUUUAGCAUUCCUCAGCGCAAUUUAAAAGUGAACAAUGCGAAAGAAAUAGUUGGACAAGUUCUAUUUAGCAUUCCAACAAGGUUGGAAGGGCUAAAAAUGAGUUUAAGAGGUGUUAGAAAGGUUUUAGCAUUGAUCGGCGCGAAGUAGAAUCGAAAACAGCACAAAACAAGCAUUCUGGGCAAAGUGUACCGGUACAACCACCGAGUUGUCACCGGUAGAGCCCUGCAGCCCGAGAAGAGUUUGCUCUCGGGUUUGAGUUUUUGCGAAAAUGUACCGGUAUACCCUUGGUGUGUACCGGUACACUUUGGUAAAAUUCGAGGGGACAGCUCUCGGGUUGUCUCUGUGCAGAAAAUAUACCGGUACAAAAUUUCGUGUACCGGUACACUUUGGUCUGGCAGCACAAAAUAGGUCUGCUACAAAUACAGGUGUUUGCAGGGUUUUGUUGUAAUUGUUACAACAUGUUAAGACCCCAAUCCCCCUUCUCUCUCUCUCCCACAGCCAUUCACUCCCUUUCUCUCAUUUCUCUUAUUUUCUCUCUCUCUCUAGAGCUCUCCAAAAGAUGGAUUUGGAGGAGAUUUGAAGGAGAAGCUUGGGUUUUGGUGGCUUGGAGAAGAUCUAGGGCUCUCCUACAAGGUGGACUUUGGAGAGUUUGGGGCAAAGGUGAGGUGUUAUGAAAAGUUGAGUCUAGGGUUUGGAUUUGUACCCUAGGAAGCUAGGUUUUGGAGUUUCUACAAGUGUAGAAACCUUCUUGAGGCCCUGAACACCAUGAAAUCCAUGGGUGCUUCAUGAGCUCACAUGGUGAAAAGCUAGGGUUAGCUUUAGAUGCCCUAAAAAUGGUUUAGAUGGUUCUAAAUGAGCUUCUAGAUGUUGGACAAGCUCUUUUUUGCUUGUUUUAGAGAUCAAAACCUAAGUUUCAGCAAAUGGUGUUGUUAGGGCACCCAAUUUGGGACUUUUGCCUCCGAAUGUUUCUAAGACAAAUUGACCUUGUAGAAACCUAAUUGGGGGUAUUCUUGACACGUUGGGCAACUCGGUUUGACAUUACGAAAAGCCUAUGUAGGAGUUCUAAGUAUUUAGCUUAAUUUGGCUUCGUUUUGCCGCAGGCGAUAAAGUAGGGCUUCAAAAAUCCCAAGAAAUUCACUGUAGCACCUUUGCAACCAUCCAAGGUGGGUGGUGCUAUCCGGAAUCGGUGAAAUUCCCUUUAUGUCUAAAAGUGUCAUUUUGUUGAGCAUAUGUGAAUGUUGAGUGAUUUGCAUAAUAGGGUUAAUUAAGAGUUUUUGUUGUAUUUUAUGAGUAUAGAUGCAUGUGAAAUGAGAGUAACGAAUAAGAACUUGUAAACCUUAUGUAUGGAUGAAAAGUGAUAAGAACCUAGAUGAGGUAAAGAACCAAAAUGACAUAAUGACAUACGAAUUGGGUGGCAUUAGUAAAUGUCAAGCAUGCAAAUGAACACUAGAGUGUGUGGCAUUAGUAAAUGACAAGAAUGCAAGAGUUGAGCACUUAGAGAUCAAGUAUGGCAUUAGCAAAUGAAUACAAAGAACAAGUUAGUGUAUAUGAUACUAGUAUUAGUUAAUGGAUGCAAGUAAAGAACAAUAAUGACAUGGUGACAUAGAAACCUUAAAGAUAAGGGUCACAUGAGCAUCGAAAUCUUUAAAGCUAAGAAUUGAUCUUACUCGCCUAUAGUCUUGGUUCGAGGGAGGUCGCUCCCCCUCGAGCGGUGUGCUCCGAAGUUGUCACCACUGGGAAGGGGAAUCCCGAGAGGACGGUCCCAGCGGGAGGAAGCUGAGGGCCCGAAAAUUAGGAUUUUGAGUUGGUGAGUUAUGGAACCCUACGGGAGGAAGCUGAAUGCCUAACAAGCUGAGGGCCCCAAUGGGUUAGCCACAAGAUUUGGUAAAGAAAAUGUGAGCUUGCAUUCAUCAUGAGCAUCUCAUUGAGCAAACUUGCAUUCAUCAUGAGCAUCUCAUUGAGCAUAUGAUUGAGUUUAUUAUUCAGGCAUACUAGCUGCAUUUGUUUAGUUGGUUACUAUCUAUUCUUUCUUCUAUUAUGCAUGAUUUAGACUUAGUGAAAAAGUCGGCGAGAUCGGGGCAGAACCCACUGGGAACUUUGUUGUAGUUCUCACCCCACUAUUUCCACAGAGCCGGGGUCGAGCGAGCUGGCGUACGAUCGCGGUAAGGGUAUCGCACCCUAGACAGAGAUCGCCCGAGAUACUUUUUCAUUUUGUAGUUGCAUACCCCUUUAUAUCAUCUUUUGUAUUUGAUGAUUUUAGUUGUAUCAAAGAUAUUUAAAUGAAUGAUGUAAAGGAUUACAAUUUAAAUACAAAUGGUUGUAUUUUGAGGAAUAUGUGAUGUAUAAAAGAAAUGAUGCUAAGUUGUAAAAGAAUUUGGUUAAAGUAGUAUGCAUGUAUAUGAUUUAAAGUUAAUCAUAGUACUUGUAUGUCGAAUAAUUAGAUCUUUCACUUUGGCUAUUGCUUGCCCUCGUGCAAGCCAUUAUGUAUGCUUCCGCUUAUUCAAAUUUUACACUCUGUUGAUACUUGUUGUGGAGCCUUGGACGGACAGGGGAGGCUCUGUCCGUUCGGCGUCUGUUCCACGUGCUCGAAUCGACCAAAAGGAUCGGGCUCGGGGCGUGACAGCGCCGGCGGCGUGCGCCGGUGAGGACAGCACCGGAGAGGGGACUCGGCCAAGGAACGAGGGCUCGACGUUUGUGUGUGAUUCCCUGUGGGUUGUCGACUGAGGUGGUGGAGACAAGGUGGAGAGAGGAGUUGAGAGGGAGGUGCAGCUAGUUUUCCGGCGGCUAGGGACGCUUGCCGGCUGCCAAGGUGCGCGCACGGCUAGGGCAUGGAUGAGCUGGCGUCGGCUAGGGUUAGCUGGGGAAGCAAGGUCAGCUAGGUCUAGGGUUUUGUGCAUAGAAACCCUAGCUGCCACUUAUAUACAAAGUGCACUUUUGCUGAAAAAUCCCUCAAAGCUGAUUAUUUUCAGCUGAGUCCCUACUGGCACGUGUAUUUUGCACACGGGUACCUCAAUGUUCGAAAUUACGCAAAACGGUGCAUAAAAUAUUGGGUUUUUCUCAGAUUUUUCGUUUUGCCAAUUUUGAUCCCUCAGCGAACAAUUCGUGAUUCCCGGAGAUCCGUCCGUCGGAUUUUCGAUCGGAUCAUGCCAGCGCGUUCAGUAUGACUAGGGUAUCGAAUCUACCAUUUCGUUUCGUCCGAUUUGGUCGCUGAUUUGCGACAAAACUAGCCCUCUCCAUGAUCCACCAUUAUCCACAUAUAUAUACACAUAUAUAUACAAUUUGAAUUUAAAUUUCAAAUUCCAAAUCCGAAUUUCCUUUAAUAUAAAGGAUAUUACAACACUCGCCUUCGUCGACUUGCGGUACCCACUGGGAGACCCUUGUUGGUUUCUUUCAGGUGAUUUCGGUGGUGGGAAUCGGGAUGGUACAUGAGGUGCGAUAGCUAGCGAGUUUUUAGAGGCCCCGACAGAUCUGCAUCAUCUAUGGUUAUUCCGACUCGACCUCCUUACAUUUCUGGUUAAUAAAUUAGACAUUGUGGUUCAGUUAUUUGUUUGUUUUGAUUGUGAAUUCUUGAAUAAUCCUGGUUGGGGAUGAUCUUUUAGUUGCAAAUAUUUUGAAUAUAACUAUUCUUUCGGGAUUUCCGGUAUGAUGGUAUUUCAGUCGUAUAAUAUGUGGUUUUCUACCCCUCGAGGUAAUUGGCAUUUUCAAAAUAAUGGGUCUCCGUAUGGGGGAUUGUUUUCAAAGGCUUUUCGGUUUUCUCGAUGCUUUGUAUUUCAAAAUGAAGUUUCCGGGUAGGAAACAUUUUCAAAUAAUAGAAUUGAUUGCUGUAAUGUGUAUUUGCAUCAUCCUUCGCCUAAGAAGUGCUUAGAGCACGCAUCAUUCCAAGGAUUGCUAGCUGAAUGAUUGUCGUGAGCAUCUGCAUUGUGAAUGCUGUUUGUGUGUGACUGAAUGUUAGUAUUGCAACAAAUCAUAUAGUAGUACACCGUACAAAUACAGGGGAGACUCCGUCCGGGAGGAUAGGGGAAAACCUGUAUUUGUGGCGGGUCUGUUGUGUCCCGUGGUAUGUAAAAAAAAAAAAAUAGGAGGUGUUUUCCGCUAACUUCACUUUUGAAUUGAAUCAAUCUUCGAAAAAGCUUUAUAAAAGAGACCCCGGGGCGUGACAACUUAUAGGAAAACGAAACCCACAUAUACCUCGAGGCUCGAGUUUAUCGACUUCUGUGAGAGUAAGUCUCGAUUUCUCCAGCGUAACAGUGUCGAAGAGGGGAUCAUAGGUCACGCUCCACAGCCGCCGGUGGCACCAUAGAAGUAGUAGGAGGUGAGGGUGCGGAGGUAGAGAAGGUGAGAGUGCGGAGGCGGAGAUUCCUACCAGAGAUGGAGGAUCGUCUGGAGGGAAGAAAGAGAAAGAGAAAGAGAGAGAAUGGGAAAGGAAAAAAAAGAGGGAUAAAAAAAACGUUCUGAGAAGAUAGAGGGAUGUGGAAGAAUGCUCAAGAGAGAGAUAGAAAGAUGGAGGGACACGAAACGUUUCAAUAAAAAAUAUAAAAAAAUUCAAAAAAAUUCAAAAUAAGGAGGUUGUGCCACCUUAGGAAGAAGUAAUAGGAAUUAAUAUAUGUUUAUAGAUGCUACCAAGAUCAGCACUGACAUAUCAAGUUACCUAAUAAUAAUGUCAGGUAAUUAGAGUAAUUUAUGCAUCAAAUCAUUAAAACAACCACAAAAAGUUCAUACUUUAUUUUUAUUACAACUCUCAUGAAAAACUACUUCAAUUCACUGUACGUAGCUCUCCGCAUUUGCAUUUCAAGAGUUGAAUCGAGGAUAUAUCCUUCGUCUAAUGCAGCUUCUGCAAACAGGGCACUCCGUACUUUGCUUUUCAUGCUGCUCAUUGCAUUUAAGACAAAGAACUUGGUGAGAACAAGGAAGGAAAAGAAUUGACUUCUCCUCUGACAAGCACAUCACGCAUUCACGAUUAAUUUCUUCAUUGUUGUUCUGCAGAUCUAGGCAAUGCACAUAAUGAGUUCUCCGCCGAUGAUUUAUCAUCAACUUCAUAUUUUGAAUUUGGCCUUUGAGCUGUAUGACAUUUUCGUCAUAUUUUUGUUUAUUGCUUGUAGCUUGUAAUUUGAGAGCAUUCUCAUUUAAUUUUGCUGCAGUUUCUAGUUCCUCCUUUUCUUUUCUUCUAUUGUAAACCUUGAGAAGCACGUCCUCCUUCAAAUUCUUCUCAUUUUUCAACUUGUCCUGCCAGUAAAUUAUAUGAUUUACCAUCAUAAAUUUAUUGGUAUAUAUGUCAACACUCAAAUACUUUAAACAAAUUAAAAGAAUGGCUCAUAACUGAUUAGCAAUAUAAAAUAUUAAAAAACAAAUAAUUCUAAAGAAAUAAUUGCACAGAGAGAUGGUUUGAAUGAUAUACUAUAAUUAAUUUAUGGGUAUAUUUAUUAAUAUUUGUAAACUUAAAAUAUUUUUUUACAUUAUAUGAACUUAAUUUUCAUAUAAUUAGCAUAAUAGAGAUUCUUAUUUGAAAACUCAUAAUCAAUAAGCUUGUGUUAACUUUUAGUUGUUCCUAUUUGGUUAUUUUGAUGGUUACAAAGUAUAUACAUCAACAUAAGAUAAAUUAUAUAACUGAAGAUCAAAAUUUUUGCCCUAAUUAUUUCAUGCAUCAUCUACUUAAAAAUAGUCUUAACAAAUAAUUCAUACAGAGAGCUAGAGAGAUAAACAAAAUCACUUUUUGUGUCAUGGUUGAAAUUAAAAAUUAAUUAUUCUACUUUAUUUCUAAUUUUUCAGUCAAUUUAUAUUCUUUAACAAAAUCAUUCUAAAUUUUGUCUAGCAUUUACUGCAUGCAAUUUAAAAAAAUUUAGGUAGGACGUAACUAGUAUCUCAUGUUUACUAAAUCUCAAAAAAAAAAAAAAAACUAAAAAAACUGAAUAUUAGAUAUAUUUUAUUGGUAGUGGGUUUAAGUACUAGUAUAAAUAAAUGUAUAAAUAAAUGUAAUAACAUAUUAUAUGUUUCGUAGUUACCUCAAGUUGGCUUUGGCGAUUUUUAGCAUUUACAAUUUGUUUCUCUAUCAGUGAGAACUUGCAUUUUUCUUCUUCAAGUGCUUUACCAAGAAAUUCUUUUGUGUUUUUCCAUGAGAAGGAUUUUUGGGCAAUAUCAAGCUCCAUUUGAAAAUUUUCUAGAUAAACUUUUUUUGCUUCUUCAGAUUGCUUCUUAAUUAUAUCUAGCUCCUGCUUUAGGCGAGCUCUCUCUAUUUCUAGCUCGCAUAUGUGACUACGAGCCCAUUCUAUAUGGGCAUAGCACAUGGAUGUUGCCUCCUCGAGCUUCGAAAUCUUAUUCUCUUCCCACUCCUCCAAAUGUUCCUUCUCCUCUUUUCCAUGGGUUUCCACUUCCUUACUCUUUAGCUUUAGGCUUUCAAGCUCAGUUUGGUGUUCAUUAAGUUUGCGUGUGACCCACAUAAUCUUCUGACAAGCCCAUUUUUUCAAGUCCUCCUCUUCAGUCUGUAACUCUUGUUUUACAAACUGUAACUGAUCUUUACGCUCUUUUCUUUCAUUUACAAAUUGCUUAGUGCAAGCAGUUUUAACCAUAUGUUUACUCGAUGAUGCAUUUGCAAGAUUAAGGUGGAGAUUCACUGACGGAUCUAAUUUUGAUUGUGAAGUAAGAGGAUAGUUUAUUGUAUUGAAAACCAUUGAGCAAGCAUUUGAAAGGUUCAAAUCACAUAUGAGUAAAAACCACAUUGCUUCCCCUGUACAUAACAAAGGUUUCUUCCUUUUCAGUACUCCAACCAUAUAAUCAAGUGCUUUCUUCUCUAAAUUCCUCAAAUCCUCAGCUAUGUUCUCUUUCUCCGAUAUGUCAACUUCUACACCACUGGCUAAAUAUUGCAAUGCAUAAUCUGCAACUGUAGAAGACGGGUCAUUUAGACUUUGGUAAGAUUUUCCGGUUACUAAUAUAGCAUUAGUUGCAACCGCUAUAGUGUACCCGUAAGAAGUUAUUUUCUCUAUUGCACUUUGGUAUAUUUGAUGCAAAUGGCUCAAGACUAGAUCCUUGAGUUGUUCAGUUUUGCUUCUAGUCCACGGGUAAUCUUGUAUAUCAUCCAAACUUUGCUCCUUUUCUAUUUUAUUUAGAAGAUCCAAACAUGCAUCACAGUUUCUCAAAUGGUGCUCAAGAUCAUGAGCAUCAACUACUUCCGCCGAAAAUAGCUGACAAUUGGGAUGUUGGGUUAUCAAAGAGGAACAAUCCUGCACAUUAUUGUCAGGUAGAUACUCUUGCACCUGUCUCUUAUUCUUCUUGUUUUUUUUCUUCUGUUUUUCUUGGUGAGUGCUAGAUGAGAUUAAUGGCUUUUUACCCUUAACAUCCAUUGGAUUCAUGUUCUGACUUAUAAGGGUACCUACAAAUCAUGCAUACAGAAUAAAAAUAUAAUAAAAAUUAGUUUUAGUAAAAAAAACAACAAGAGAAUUAGUGUCAAUAUUACCAAAAAAAAGGUAAAAAUAGCUAUUAGGAUCUGUAGAGAAAGAUUAGAAAAAAAAGGAAAAAAGAAGAGAGAAUAGGAUAAUUUAGAAAUAUAAGAAACAAUUUUUAUACAAACUACAUGACUCAAUUUUUAUUUGUAAAUCUAUAUCGUUAACGUUUUAGACAAUUUAUAGUAAGUAGAAAAAUGCUUUACUAUGACUUUUUGAAGACAAUUUAUUGUAUCUAAAUAUAAGCUAUUAUUUAUUAUUUUAAAUAAAAGUGUCACAUGUUGAACAAAUAUAUCAAAAAGAUUUAUGCAAAUUAUAAUAACACCUAUUUUUUUUAAAUCCAAAAUUUAAACUAGUUCAUGAUCUAUACUGGUAUUCAAUUCAAGUGCUGCUUAUAUCAUUUCAAGAUUCUUUUCCUUAUACAAAGAUUAGUCAAAAGUGAUUUUAUAAUUUGCAUAUUGAAUUGUUUCAUAAAAAAUACUUUAAUUUUUAAGAUGCUAUAUGGAGUGACAUUUAGUAGGCUAUAAACUUAAAAAUUUUAUUUCUUAAUUUGAAGUAAUAAUAGUUGACGACAAUUAGAGUAACUUUCAUCAUCUACAAGAAUAUUUAACCAGUAAUAUAAGAUUAGAAUACGGUAAGUACGAUCACUCUUUUGUAACCAAUUAUGAUAAGGUAUGGAAAGAAGUUAUAUCAUGCAUGUUGCAACCACGUGGCAACCAUGCCAACGUAUAUACUAAUUUAUUAGCUUUUGAAUAAAAUCAUAAAAAAAUUGUUUAGAACCUCAAAUAGUGCAAUAUUUGGAUAAUAGAACUCUAAUUAGAGUAUUAGUAUUGAUGUAGUUAGAUUCAUUUGUUAGCUUAUAAAUUUAGUCUGAAAUUGUUAAAGUAAAUAGUGUCUUCGAUAUGCUUAUCUAGGGCUUUUGCUUUCGACUCUAAUGUCGAUCUACAAACAAUGAUGUAAUCAAUAAGCGAAGUAUAUGUACAUAGCAAUCAUUAAAAUUUACAAAAAUAUAUAGGAGAAAUGUAAAGAAAAAAAUCGUUGGAAAAUUAUAUGCUUAUAAAUCACAAUGUGAAAUAAAUUCCAUAAAAAAUCACAAUUUUAAAAGGAUCAUAUGCUCAAUAAAUAAUUAUCAACUAAAAAAUACAUCAACAUAAGCAAUUCAAAAUAAAUGAAAGUAUUAAAGUAACAACAACUAAGAUAUGCCUAAUAUGGCAAAGAAUUAAUAAAACCAUCCUUUUCAAUGAAUAUUUCAAUAAUUUACCAACAAACUAUUAUGAUAUAGUUGUAAAAGAACUUAAUACAUCUAAGAAAAGAUCAGAUAUUUACAAUCCAAACAGAAGAAAAAAAAUGAAAGAAAUAUAAAAAAAAGGUACUUUCUAAUAAGAAAAUAGUAAUGAUAAGAAGACACAAAAUGAAAAGACAAUAGAAAUUUGUAUUUUUUAUUUUUUUAAUUAAAUUAUCUUUUUUGAAAAAUGCCAUUAUUCAUGAGUGAGUUCUAUUUGUGUAAAUUGUUUUGAAGAACAAUUUCUUCAAAAUUUCAAUAGAAAUUAAAAAAAAUAUAUAUAAUUAUCUAUAAAGGUAUUAAGUAAUAUGAUAGUGCAAUGAAUGGUAAAAUAAUGAAAUAGAAGCUCUCUUCUCUUUGUAUGAGAAAUGGAUCCAUAAGUAAUUUUUACCUGAAAGAUCUAUUACCUAUUAAUGCAAUAGAUAGAUCAACUGGAGAUCAUCAACAAAAGUAUGGAUGGCCAUGAAUUCAUUGAAGCAUUAGAGAGCACACAUUCUUGCUCUCGUUUCUCACUAUUUUAGUUGAUCUAAACAUGACUAUUGGGUUUUUUGUGUAAGUCGAAGUCUUAUGUAGCCAAAUAAGUUAGUCUCUACAUUAACUAUGCUUAUCUCAGCAUUCACGCAAAAAGACCUAUGGUCAAGUCUGACAACAACUGUAGUAAUAAAGUGGUAAAUGGAAUCUUUUGUGUAAUAUGCAAAAUUACUAACUACAUUUAAUGUUAUCUUAUCUUAUCUUAUCACUUCUCCCCCUCCCCCCGCCCCCAAAAACGCAUCCCAGUUAAUUUCUUAUGUAAUUUACUCUUCUUUUAUUUCAUCAAUUAAUACUUAAAAUUUUAACAGUGAGGUUGAGGAACGUGUUCGACUAGUCUCAAUUUUCUUUUGAGAAAAUGUUUAUUGUUCAUACACUUGAUAUGAUUAAUUACUAUUUUCUUACUGAUUGAUGGCGUCAUUUGGUCUGAUUAGUACCCAAAUAAAGUAAUUGGCUGUUGAAAGCUAACUAGAGGUACAAAGUCACAUGCCGAGCUCGCAAUGAAAGUAUCACCAGACACACGAAUAGAUCCGUUGAACAGAUAGAGUUUUCUUUGCUCACCUAAGGCUUCAUAAUCUAUAUAAUACAUUCCAAAAUUAAUCAUGCAUACGAGAAUUACAAAAGGUAGAUAUCACAUAAAUAUAAAUGCAACUAACUAUUACAUCCAUUACAUCCCAAAUAAAAAAAUUACAUAUUCUUUCAUUUGCAAUAUUUCCAAAAUGGUACUUUUUAUCAUGAGCACAAGUCUUGGCUAUACCAAAAGGGUAGGAAGAAUCGCUAUCUAUUGUACCACAUCUUUUCCUUGCUUAGGUGCUUCUACCAUGAAACCUGCAGAAUGGAUUUUUUUUUUUUUUUGAAAGAGAUAGGUAGCACGCUACCCGCUUCGUUUAUUUCAUUUAGAAAUAAACUUAGCUGGAAAUGUGAAUCAACUAGAAUUCGAACUUGGGUCUCGGGUACCAACCACCAAGCCCUUUGCCACUUGCUCUAGGGAUGGUCAAUCCUACAGAAUGGGGUUGAAAACUAUAAAUAUAGGUUCUAGUGGGUAUGGCUGCCUAAAAUAAGAGCUGGACCGACCACAUCCAAAGCAGGCAAUAUAUGUCACGCCCUAAAUUUGACUACUUGGAUUCGAAACGCAACAAUUGGCCACAAAAAAUGAAAGGUCUUAAAUAGAUCCAAAGCCGCACUCUCGAUUAAGGACUAAAUAAAAUAAUUUAUUAAUUGAAACGAAACUGUGACUACUAGAUGUUCAAUUGUAGUGAAUAAAAAUAAAAAAAUAAUUCAAUUUAAUCAAGCUCAAAAUAAAAUAAACUAAUUGUCCAAGAGAUAAUAUGAUAGCCGAGAUUUUUUUUGUAUAUAAAUUUGACACUUUUUUAAAUGUUAUCAUGUAUAUUUUAAAUUUUUUAAACUUGCCCAUCAAAUUUCAGCAAAAAAUAAUUUAAAAUAAAAAUUUUACGCGAUUAUUACUUUUCACUGAAAGUGAAUAGUAACCUAUGUGUUCUUUUGAGGCAUCGCAUUGAGGAUGGCUUCGGACAUAAAUUGGACUCCGUUUCGGACGAUCCAAUAGGUCGUUUUUUAUGGUCCGGCUAUGCCAGAGUUGAUGGCACUGCCCGAUUUCAUGUUCGAUGCACGGUUUUUGAGAAAAUCAUAGUUUAUUGCAUAUUGGCAUUUGAUGACUCGAUGUUCUUUAGAAGUGAUUGAUGUUUCCUUUUGCGUGGAAAUUAGUGGGUCGUUGCCACUGGGCAUAUUACAUGUGCUGGUGAGUUUUCGGAACAAAAUUCAAUGUUUGGGGUGCUAAAUUGAUAUUUUUGCAAGGUAUCAAAAUUGAGCACUUUACGAAGAGGCUAUCAUUUUAUGUAAAAAAAAUUUCACAGUUUUGGCGUGUGGGGGGAUCCAUCUGAAAGUAGAUGUAAUAUCUGAGAUAUUUGAAAUGAGGAAUUCAAAUAAAACUGAAUUUGAAUUCAACUUUCAAAUAUAUAUAUAUAUAUAUAUAUAUAUAUAUAUAUAUUGUCACGCCCCGGGACUGGCGGAGGCCCUCCCGGUAGCGUGCCCAGACCCGCCAUAUGUCUACACAUAUAAGGCGUCUAUAGUAAAAGCGGAAGUAAAGCAAGAGAUAGAACAAAUGAAAGAAGUAAAAUAACUAGCAACUAAUGAUAUCAGAGCGAGUAAAGUUCUAUCAUCUACGCCAAAGUAAAGAAAUAGAGCUAGACAAAUAAAGAAACCAUAAGUAGUACACUAUCAGUCUCAAAAGUACAAAAAUGGUGGUCUCUAGUAUACUGGUACAGCUCUCAACCUCUCCAAAAAGAAAUACAUCAGAGGUAGACUACCUAAACUCGUCUCUCACUGAAGGGCUAACUCGAAACGACGCCCUUCCCGCGAUCCCUGGCCUCACCGUGCGUGGAAGGCUCUGAAAAACAUCGAGAAAAAGAGGGCGUGAGAACUAUAAUUUAUAGCAUGGUUGAAGGUGCCACCCCGUGCCAUACGGCACGGGGCGUGCCGUACCGUGCCCCCAAGAAGGGGGCACGGUACAGGGGGGGUCUCGGACCCCCCCUGGGUGCCGCGGCACAAGCCGCGUGUCGCUCGAGACAAAGCGGCACGCGGCCAUGUGCCGCGUGCCGGCCUUUUUUUUUUUUUUUUUAGUUUUUUGGCUUUUUUUUUUUUGGUUUUGUCUUUUUUUUUUUUGUUCUCUGGGAUACAGAGCCUUCGCCCGGCCAUCUAUAUUGCCUUGUGUUCACUUUUCUUUUAUUCUUUUGACAUUGUGUUGUGUUUUUGACAACUUUUUUUUUUCUUUUUGGCUGAUGCUUUUUUUUUUUUGCCUUUUGGCUUUUUCUUUUGACUUUUGACUUUUUCUUUUUUCUUUUUUUUGCCUGUCGGCCCGAGCCCUCCGCUUCCACCACAGACAUCCAUUUUUUCUUCGCAAAUUAUUUUGUCAAAAUUUGUCGCACCGCGAAGUUUUCGAUGAAUCAGGGGAACAAAAAUUGAUCUCCUAAACAAAUUUUGAUUAGAUAUUUUUUAAAAGAAUAAAAAAAAUAUGGAUGUAAUUGCGGUACUAUUCUCGUUGUUCUAGUUAUUAUAUACUUCCUAAUCGAAUCAAUAUAUAGAUUUCGAAACGUUUUUAGAAAAAAUAAAAUUUUCUAUCAUUUUAUCUGUUAUAAUUUUUUAAAUUAUAAAAAAAUUAAAAACAAAAGAAUUUUCAAUUGUUACAGCAAGUAUAGUUGUACUUUUCAAAUAAAAAAAAAUAAAAACAGAAGAAUUUUAAUUUAUAUUCUACAUCAGGUAUAGUUGUACUUUAUAUACAAAAUGCUUACAUGCAUGUUAAUUGAUGAGUAUAAUAAGCUAUACAUAGCAAAAAUUAAUAAUAACUUGCCUAAAUCUUUCAAAAUAACAUUAUAAAAGCUUACUGGAACAAAAAAAACUUAAAUAAAUUCGUGCCAAAGCGUGCCAGUAGGAGGUCGUGCGUAUCUGUCGGCACGCAAGCGUGCCACGUGUCGGCACGCAAGCGUGCCCGUGCCGUACCGUGCCAAGGACGUAGCGGCACGCCCCCGUGCCACGGCACUUUAAACCUUGAUUUAUAGUUCCCAGUGGGCAAUUACUGACCUCAGCUCUAUGCACCACUAGGCUCCAAAAGAAAAGGGUAAGUACAACAAUAAUAGCAAUAAUGACUGCGAUAUAAAGGCAUAAUUAAAAUGCUAAAUUACUAAACUCAAGUAUAUACGAUGUCAUGGUGAUGUAUAUCUACGAUAUCAAAAUAGUAUGUCAUUAACCUUUAUGAAUACAUUAUGCAUAAGUUCUGUCAUGGCAACCAAGUAUGCUUUAAUGCAAAAGGAGACUAUCAAGUAUACUACAUGUCUCAACACUAUGCUAAAAGCAAAUAAAUGUAAUUCAACUACUAAACCUAUCUAGCAGUGAUUAACCAUUCUCAACCCCGUGUCGAUUUUCAUUUCCAAUUAAGGACCUACCAAAGGUAGUCCAGCUUGUGCCGCCUAAGUGCCUGUGGUAGCCCAACAUCCCUACUCUUGGAAUGUGUCUGUCCCACUCGACCCCGUAGGCUUCUCAAUACCACACGAGCGAACAUAAGUCGCGUAGGCUAACUCCGGAGUGCCGGCUUGUAGGGAGCGACCCUCACAAGCAUGUGCGAAUGAGCACAAAUGGCAAGCAAGCAAGGUCAAAGUCUCAAGUACUCUACUCUCAUGCUUCUCACAUGGCAAGGCCACUAGCAUCCCAAGGGUCUAAUCCAAAGUCUCAAGGUGACGCUCCAACGCACACUCUCGCUUAGUGCCUCUUUGUGACACUUAAGCAUCACAACUAAUCAGGCCCAAUUCAUGUCCCAUAUUCCAAUUAACUAGGUUCACUUUAGCCCGGGCCCCAUGCCUCUCUAUGACAUUGGCCCAAUCUCAAAUAGUCCAAGUUCUCAAGCCUUCUCUAGGCUUCUAAAAUUCCUAAUGUCACAAUUGGCAUAUAGGUUAAAUGCAUGAAAACAAGGUUCAUUUCCACAAUAGGAAUCAUGAUCCCCAAUCCUAACUAGAAUGCUAAGUCUCACAUGCAUGCACUCUACCACAUAGGGGUCUAAAAUUUCACUAUACAUAAUAUAUGCAUGUUAAGCAUUCUAAAAUUCAUAUUAAAUACAUUUAACAUGGAAAUGCAUAAAUUUCUAUUUUACGAAACAUAUUUGCCAAAUAUGAGCAUUUCUCAUAUCAUAGGCUAGGUCAAACCCACCGAACCGUCGCGUGCUCCUUCGAUUCGCCGAACGGAGUUGUCCACGAGUCUCACAACAUCCUAAAAGUAAUCAGCGAAGAGAUACACGGGCAUUACGAUCAACUAUAAGAUCAAACUUUAACAAACUUGGCAAAAGGGCUAAAACUCACCUAAUGUGUGAAAAAUCUCUCUCAAGCUCCAAAAGAGAGCUAAAUCCCUUCCAAUCCAAGCCCAAGAAAGGUUCAAAUCCAAUCAAUCUAGCCUCAGAAGCCCUAGAUCAAAACGCCCCAAAAUCAACCCUAAAUCUCAUUUCUAGGGUUCCAAGAGGCAAAAUCUACCAAAACAAGAAUCAAAGAGUAGAAUCAAAGUACUAACCUCUUUAGAUGCCUCAAAACAAGCUCCAAAUCUUCUAGGGUUGAAGAUUGGUCCACCACCAAGCCUUACAAGCAGCUCCAAGCUUAAGGUGGAAGAGAGAAAGGGGGUUGAACUCCAAGCUGCCCUCCAACUAGGCUCCAGCUUCUUCUUCUCAUCACCUCCUGUCUUCUUGCUUCUUCCUCUCUAGAAAGGUAGGCGAGAGUGAGACAUAGAAAAUGAGGAGGGAAAGAGGAGGAAAUGGCUAAUAAGCCAUCUAGUGUAACAAGAAGUCCGGAGAGGCCCUCAAAAUUCAUAAUUUACAUCACCGCCGAACUGGCAGGUUUCGCGCGCAGAGGGACCGGUCUUUCCACAAGAGCAGGGGAAUCCGGUCUCUCGUGGCGACCCGAAAACCCAUCGUUCGGAACGGUCUCUCUCCCGGCGUGGGACGCGCUCGUCUCCUGCGAAGGCACGCGUCGGGGACCGGUCUCGCCUGGCCAGGGACGGUUGCGCUCAGGCGCCGCAACACUUCUCACUGGGGGACGGUCUCUCCUCCCAGGACCGGUCCCGAGAGUAAAAAACUCUCAGGACUUGUCCAGAAUUCCAGUUUGCAAACUUUUUGGUCGGAAACAUUCUACAAUGUCGGUUUCUCGCCUCCCAAGUGUGGAAAAGCUCGAAUAUACAUCCAAACACAGUCGAACCCGAUUUGCAAAGGUUCGAAGUGUGUUACAUAUAUAUAUAUAUAUAUAUAUAUAUAUAUAUUUAUAUAAGUAUUAUAUAUAGGUAGUAUAUAUAGUCCGGCUACUAUACUCUUAUGAGUACGAUCGCCCUCGUACUCAUAGGUUAUUUUCGAUGAUAGAGCUUCCGAAUCGACGAUCCAUACCGUUAAACAUUAUCUAAAGCAUUUAAAACGUUUAGAAAUCAAAAUUUAUAAUUUUUUGACAUCAUUUAUCUUACGAUCAAAAGGUCAUAAAAUUGACAAUUUUUAACGCUCGGUAUGGGAUAUUUACUAGUUUAACGGUGUAAAAGAAUCGAAAUCGGUUGAAUUUUUGAUAGAAAAUUCUAUUCACUACACAGAUAAAGAUCAAUAACUCCGAUCUUAAAUUGAAGGAUCCAAACAUCCAUUUUAAGACAUCCUUCGAUUUUGACCGUUCAUUUUAUACCCGCGUGAUGAACUUUAUUAUGAUUUCAAAAAACUUACAAAAUUUAUUUUCUAGAAGUUUCAAAUACUCUAGAUCAUAUUUAACGAAGUGGAUCGUCGAUUCAGUAACUCUAUCAUUGAAAAGAACUUACGAGUAUGAAGGACUCUAUACUCACAAGAGUAUAGUAGCCCUAGCCUAUGUGUGUGUGUGUGUGUGUGUGUGUGUGUGUGUGUGUGUGUUUGUGUUUGUGUGAACCGAGAGAAGGUGUAAAUCUUCAUGAAUUCGUGACCAAGUCACGUAAAAUAAAAACGUGAUCUCGAAGAUCCGGCAGUGCUGAACGUGCUGGCGCAGUCCGUUCAUAAAUUUGAGGGAUAGAUUUACUACAAAUGCACAAAAAUCGAGAAGGGGUCAAUUUGGGAAAUCAAAUUUUGAAAAAAUCCUCCAACAUUUUAUACUUCGAUUAGCACAUUGGGGGUGUCGUUCGGUGUUCUACACGUGUUGUUAGGAGUUUGGCAAAAAAUUUAGAAUUUUGGGUUUUCCGGCAAAAUUGCCACAUAAGGCUUUUGCCUCUAGGGUUUUCUUCUCCUCCAACUUGCAAACCAAGCCACCCUCACCCUCUCUCUCUCUCAACAGCACUUCUACCCCUCUCUCCGUGCGCCACGCGCUGCUACCCCCCACGGCUACCUCGUCCGACCACCAGAGAAGCCCUAAUCUCUCUCCCUCUUACUUUUCCUCUCUCCCCCUCUCUCCCACUUCCUUGUUUUGUGAGCUCGAGCUGCAAGAGGGACCUAAGCCUCCCCUCUUCGGCUUGCCUGCGGCCUUUUCGAGCUUCGGCGUCCACCCACGGCACCCCCGUGCUCCGCCGGCGCCGUCGCAACCGCGGGGAUCACAUCUUGGGCAGUCCCGGGCGGAGGGGACUCGAUCUCCUCUAAGUUGUGGUUGCCGUUGCUACCGACCCUCGCCGCCGACUCCUCAGGCCUUAGGCAGCUCGCCGCCGCCAACGGCCGCCACCGGGCUCUCCCUUGCUCCAGGCUCUUAGUGUGCUGGCGGAGCUCCUCUAGCUAUUGUCGCCGCCGCUCCCCGCCACCGGCCAAGGGGAGCACCACACUCCCCUCCGCCUCCGCCGCCGACCCAAGCCAGAGCGCGCGUCGGCAGGCCGCCGGGAGCCGGCCAGGAGCACGGUUGCUCUCUACUUGGCAACCUAUAUAGGGCUCAAAAGUGAGCCCUCCAUUGUUUCCAGUGAUCCGAGGCUCCCUGUGUCAUGCUCGGGCCUCAGCAGAAGCCCGCCCGACGCGUGCGCAGGCCUGCAGUGUACACCAAGCACCCCUCGAUGCACACAAGUACUAAAAUAAAGAAGAAAUAGGAAUUGAUCCCUAACAUGGCUAUCAGAGCAAAUAAUUAAAUCUACUAUAUAAGUCUAGAACAACAACAUCCACAAGAUAUACAAUAAGUAUAUACAACAGGAACCAUAAGAAAACUAGUACAUCUCUAAACAAAUACAUAAUACAUCUUUCAAGUAAAACAAAAAGAAAGAUGUCAACGGUCCAGCUAUAACAACACCACAGAAGCUCUAGCUAGACGCUAACCCCUUAUCUCUAGCCUCCCCCGUUGCGGAAGGCUCUGAAAUAAAAAUAAACAACCAAUGGGGAUGAGAACUAUUAAACAAUAGUUCCCAAUACGUAAGCCACUGAGAGUGGCGAAAUACACCACUAGGUCAACUGAGGCAUGCUAAAUUACAUGAUGUAAGUAAACAUAGGAUGACAGUUAAUUAAACGAAUUCAUUUCUAAGACAUGCUGUGAGGACUGAGAUUUUUGUGGUGCAGAUAAACCCUUUGUUGAUGAUGUUCUUGUGUGUAAUUUAAUUACAUAAGCACUCGUCAAGUUUCAGGAGAAAACGAGUUAGGAUGGAGAAGUUAUGCGACCUGUACUAAUCACUUAAAGUGAAUAGUAACUCCGAUUUUUCGGAGAGGCUAAUCAGUGGAGAUGGCUUCUGGUGCAUAUUGGACUCCGGUUAUAGUGAUCCAAUAGCUCGUUUUCAACGGUUCGACUGUCCUGAACCCAAUGGCACUAACAGAUUUGGGUUCUGAUUCACGGUUUUGAGAAAAAGGAAUUUUAUCGCAAAAUGAGGUUUUUGGUAAUUAGAGAGAGGAUGGAUUCUGUCGCAAAACGGCGACCUUAUCUAGCGAAAACAAAAUAGCAGUUUCGAUGCCUCGGUCGUGCUCAACGUGUCGGCACAACUCGUUCAAAAAUCUGAUGGACGGAUCGCUAGAUAUCUCACGUUUACCAAGGAAUGGUCAAACUGAUCAUUUUCGUAUUUCGCGCGAAACCCCCUACAUUUUAUGUGCGGAAUUUCGUGAAAGUUGGUGCAUGGGCCGUGGCGCAAAGCUAUGAUUCACUCAUGGUCAGGGUCUCGGUUGAAAAUAUUGCAACUUGAGGGAGUUACACGCGAUUUGCUCAUCGCUAUAUAAGUUAGUUUUUAGGGUUUCAUCAUGGAAACCCUAACCCUAGCCUCUUGCAAUCUCAGCUGAGCCCUAGCCGUUGAUCCCCUCCUCCUGCUCAGCUCCCUGCGUGCAGCCGCCGCGGUUGCUGCCGCCGACUAGCCCCAGCUGGCCGAAGUAGCUGCCUAGCAAUCUUCCCUCUCAUUCUCCUCCUUUCUUUUUCUCUCAGGCUGGGAGCCAAACCUGCGACUGCCUCUCCUCCCUGGACAUCACUGGCAUCACCUAGGUCCUGCCAGAGCCUUCCCCGGCCGCCUCAUCCCCACCGUGCACGCAGGGUGCGGCUAGAGUGCUCACGCGGCCCACUUAGGGUGCCGGCCUCACCAGGUCUCCCGCAGCUAGCAGCACCUUUCCCUCGGCUCUCCGACACGAGCGCACCCGACCCAGACCAUCGCCGCCGCCGCCGCGUGCUCAGCGAGCAAGCCGCGGCCACGUAUGCGCCAUAUUUUGCUCAGCGGCAGUGAGGUAUUGUGCGCGGUCACCGCUGCUGGGCAUCGCCUCCUUCCUCCUCCCUGCGACUCCCAUGGUACCCUGCGCCCUUCUCCGUCCUCGCUGAGGCCUCGCCUUUGCCGGGGACGAAGGCCCGAGCCUUUCUUCAGCCGUGCGGGCUAGGCUUCUCCCCGAGCCACUAUCGCCGCCUCCCGCCGCCGGCUGGCGUGAGCGCCGGCUUCUCUUGGCCGGCCGCACUCGUCCACCGCCAGCGCCCCGUUGCCGGAGCUCCCUGUCGGCCAAACUGGGCCCAUGCUCUCCACGGGUUUGUAUGGCUAGGGCAUCAAUGCUCAUCGCUGCCGCCGCCUUUUGUCGCUGGACGAUGCGCGCCCCGGCCUUUCUCCGUCUGCCGCAUCCACCUGCCAUUGGCGCGGCGCCGCCCGGCCGCCGCCGGCUGUACCCGAGCCUCCACAAUUUAAGUUGUUCUGUGCACCGUUACGGGUUCGGGUCGCUGUUCUGGCGACCCAAGGGCACCCUGAUGCUUUUGGAAGCGAACAUGAUGAUCUUUGAUCAGUACCGAUCAUCGUGAUCAUUUACGUUGGGGUUAUAAAGCCCCAGGUAGACAUGUUAGGCGCGUUUUUGUUUCAGCGCGUAGUGUUUACUGAACUUCGAGUCGCUCCCGCACCUUCCACAGUGGCCGGUUGUGCUCGAAAUCAUGAGCACGGCCUCCGGCACAUCAAGACUUGUCUCCAGGUGUCUCGUCCAGGCUUAAAAGUCCUCGGUUUGUGUUGUCGGGCCGUAAAACUCCGAAAAUCACAUAAAAUGAUGUGAUUUUAUGUAAUCACAAGGGCUUUUGUGCAAUUGUGAACUUCGUGGGUGCUGUGGCAGUACGUGUGAACUGCGGAUAAUCUCUGGACUGAUUGUCCAAGGUAUGAUACUGUCACGCUCCGAGGUCCUUUUUUGGUUUAAAGUCAUUGCGGAAGUGCCGAAAUUUUUUUUUUUGAAAACCUGACACCCAGGGUAUGCCAGAUCCGCCACAAAUACAGAAAAUUCACUGUUCACACGGACAAAGUCUUCCCUGUAUUUGCACGGCGUCCCACAGGUAGAAGAUACGAGAUUCACAAUACAGGAUACAACCACACAAAUUAACAUUCACAUAUUCAUACAUCAUUCACAUUCACAAUUACAUUCAAAAUGGGUAAAUUGCACUAUUACCUCCUGAACUUUUGACGAAGUUUCACUUUACCCCUCGAACUCCUAAAAUGGACAUCUAACCCCCCUAAACUCUAAUAUUUCAUUCAUAUUACCCCUUCCGUCAGUUUUUCGUCAAGCUCCGUUAGCUGAAAACUGACGGAAAGGGUAAAAUGAAUGAAAUAUUAGAGUUUAGGGUGUUAGAUGUCUAUUUUAGGAGUUUAGGGGGUUAAGUGAAUGUAUAGGUUGUGAGAUGCUUUUGGAGAGUUGUGGAUGAACAUGUAUUUAUGUUUUGGAAGAUACAAAUGUAAAUCGAUUGUAUAAACGAUUAAAUGUGAUGUAAUAGAUAGAAUCUCUCUUUUAUUUACUUGUUCGUACUUGUGAUUCUUGCUCUUACUUGUUAAGCACUUGUGGUGCUUCUAUCGUUGUUGUAUAGAUCCUGUAUGUGUUUGAAUUGUUCCUGGGCAAAUUCUAGGUACAUGAUCUUGUUGUUGAACUUUGGGCGGACAGAGGAGGUGCUGUCCAUUUGGCGUCUGUUCGACAUGCCCGAACCGGCCAAACUGGCGGUCUCGGGGCGUGACAGACAACAAGUCCUAUUGGACCUAAUAGUAUGUGAUCAAUGGAAAGAUAAAUAAUGAGUUAUGAAUGAUUAUUGGACACACAUACGAAUCUACCAUUAUGAUCAAUAAUUGUAACUAUACUCAACAAGUAAAUGGUAGUAUCAUAGAGUAAGCAUAAUCAACUAAAAAGGCCUAACAAAAAUCCAACUUGACCAAUAAUCGAGAAAAUCCGUAAGCACGGCACCUUGGCCUUGAGUGCAAAGCAAAUCUCAACCCGGGGAACAAAGGGCUUACCAUAUGGGGAGCGACCACCACCGGUAGUCCACUCAUGCAUUCUCUUAUUCAAACUCCCACAUCACAAGAAGCCAUUCAAGAUGGCCUGGGGAGCAUCAUAAGCAUAGUGGCAAAUCCAAAUAGGAUCAAUGUCUCAACAAUAAUUUAUACUUUGGAAUAAACAAAUAACUAAGAUUAUGCACCUGCAAAUAUGAAUGCAUGCCCUUUACUAGUACAAUGUAAUAACAAGAGACAUACUAGUGUAUAAAAUCAAAUCCCAUUGCAUCAUGAACCAAGAAAAUAAAUGAGGGCAUGAGUUUUUAGAACACUAACUUAGCAUGCAACAAGAAUUAUAAACAUUCAAUGGUAAUAUAUAUGCAUGCAUGAUACUAUGAGGACCCCUAAGAUUUAUCAUCAAUAGAUAAAGAUUCCACCUCAAAAUAAGAAAAGACCGAUCUAAGACAUGGAAGGUUCGGCUAUGGAGGCUUCGGUGUGCGCAUCCGAAAUACCUAACAUGCAAACAAUCAGUAUCUCUAUUAAUCUUCUAUUUUUAUCUUAAUUUUAAAUGACUUAAACUUAUUCAAAUCCACCACUUCAACUGUUUGUUGUAUUCUCGGAUUAGAACAAAAGUCCAAAAUUUGGGAGCCAAAACUUGCUCAAAAUACAUAAAAANGCUAUGGAGGCUUCGGUGUGCGCAUCCGAAAUACCUAACAUGCAAACAAUCAGUAUCUCUAUUAAUCUUCUAUUUUUAUCUUAAUUUUAAAUGACUUAAACUUAUUCAAAUCCACCACUUCAACUGUUUGUUGUAUUCUCGGAUUAGAACAAAAGUCCAAAAUUUGGGAGCCAAAACUUGCUCAAAAUACAUAAAAACCUUAAAAUAACUCAUUCAAACCCUAUAAAAGGAUUUGAGGUACUCAAUUUUAACAAAUGAUACCUUAACGAGAUGUUUAUACCCUCUGAAAACUAACCAAAAUAGUCCAAUCCAAGAAUAACAUAAAUUGAUCGAAAUAUUAAGAAAUUAAGUUUAAAUUAAUUUGAUCAAACAAUUUAGCCCAAUUACAUAUUCAUGCUUAAUAUGCUUUAAUUUGAUUAACAUCUCCAUUUAAAGGUUCUUGACUCUAAAAAUCAACUACUAAAACUUUAUCUCAUAGUUGAUCAAAAAUCUUAAUUUGGGGCCUAACAACAUGCAAGUAACUCAUCAAAAACUCUUAAAGAUAAGGCCAAUCCAUAUAACUAAGUAUUGGCCCCCAAAUUCAAAGAGAAAGAACCAAAAAUUAAUUAUUAAAAUCCUCAUUUUGGGCUCUUAGGGUCCCAACCCUAAAAUUACAAUCAAAUCUCGUAAUAGGGCAAAAAUCCCCAAUUUGGGGCUUUAAUAUUCGAAUAUUGUUACGCCCUGGGUUAUACAGGAACCCAGGCUCACCAAUAGAUCUGCCACAUACACGGAAAGCCCCGUGCCCACGAAGCACUAGUACCUACUCAAAGUAUAAUAAAGUCAUACAAAAGAGCAAAAGUAGCUGAAAUAUAAAAGUAGCUAAACACUGAACUAUACAAAAACAUCAUCCGGAUACAAGAUCAAUUACCAAGAUAUAAAAAUAAAUACAACCAGUUGGCAAAAGCUAGACCCAAAAUGUACAGCAGUCUAACAAAAAUAAUAUCUGGGUCCACAACUAGCCCACAAAAUAGGAAGAAAAUCUAUCUAGCUAGCGAUCCCUUUACCUCAGUCCGCACUCAUCACUACCACUGCAGAGGUCUAUGCAAAAAAAGGCGAUCAACAGACGGUGUGAGAACUAUUAAAAAUCCGAAGUCCUCAAUGGGGACGUCAUCAGCAACUAUAGCCUACCGAUUAGGUCUACCAGAGGCAUAAUGGGUAAAGUAGUAAAGAAGAGGUAAUACCUGCUGAAAGGAACGGAACAAGCAAGUGUAAAAGGAAUGAUAUGCAUCAACUCUAAAAAUCCGCCGAGAAUAACCCAAUCAACCGACUGGCUCGAAAGCCCAAUUCCGUCUGCACUAGCAUCACAUUUGAUCUCACUAACAACCUGUGGAUCGUCGACGUGGAACAUACCCAAAAGUAAUCAAGCUGCCUAACUCCGGAGUGGCACUUGAGGGGAGCGACCUGCUCGUGCAUAAAGUAACCAGGUCAAGUAUGUCGCAGGCAAAAAUCAAUGCUCACUACCAAAGCGGAAUAUGCUAGCUGCUAAUGAAAAAUCUCGGUCCAAUCUAAUACAAAAUCAAAUAAUCCAGUACAGCCAUCCCAAAUCCAUGGCUAGUGUAAAUCACAUAAGUCAAAAUUCCGGUGAUGUCCUACCCCGACUCUAUGAUCGUCCCACUACCUCUAACCUAUGCUCAACAUCCCAUGUACAAUGAACUAAUCAACAUAAGAAAAGAGGGUUUUAAGUUCAAGUUCAUAAGCAACAUGUAUAGGCAGUGUAUGUAAUGUAAAUCCUAAUUAGAUGGCCAAACAACUCAUGCAAAUAGUCAUUAAAACAUAAUAAACUCAUUUUAGGAUUCUAUCAUCAAGAUCUGGAAUACUUAAGUGGAUAAAAUAUCAUAUCUCUUAACUAUAACAUACUGAAAUUUAUACUAGAUAUAGAGCGCACUUUGCAGUUUUCGAUGUGUUAGUUCAGACCCACCUAGAGCGCAAAUCCAACCAUGGAUCGGGAUGAAACUCAGCGGGCGCAUGUGUCAGAUCCCAAAUCACCAAACAAAGCAAUAAAAUCCCAAGGAUCCCUGUCGGAUUGAGCCGAAUAAAAAAUCAAGCUAAAUUCCAACAAAAUGGCGAUUCGGUUGGGAAAACUGAAAUUCAGCGAUGCUAACCACAAAUCAGCGGCUCAAACUUAAAUCCUAGGUUCCUCUCAACCUUAAAAACACCCAAGAAUCUUCAAAUCGUAGCAACAAAGUCCCAAUCAAAAAGAAUUUCAAAAAUAUUUCACUAUUGUCCCUGCACUAGGCUGUUGCUACUGCUGCGCUGUAGCUGAGUUCCGGCAGCUCUUGUGGCUACUCCAGCAAGUCCACGAGGGAACCAGGGUAAUGAGGAAGACCAAAACAUUCCCAACUAUGUUCCCAAACCCCUAAUCCAUCAAAAAAAAAUUCAUAGUUACCACGAAAUCACCAUGGAAAGGUGAUAAAAAACUCAAGAACACAAACACCACCAAAUGCUGAUUUUUUGGUUGAUGGACUCAAAGAAAACUGAAAUUCACUAAAAAUCAACCUUUGAUUCAGCUCAAACAAAGUUCCCACGCUCUAGAUGAAACUAAGAUUCUCUCCAACCAAAAAAAACUCAACUUCAAGAGAAAAAUCCAAAGAAAAUCCAUUAAAAUGUCAGCUUGCUCAAAAACUGGCAGCUUUUACCAAAACUUCAAUAAAUCCAAAAAUACCUGGAGAUUUGGUGAAAUGAAGUCUUCCGCAAACUCUUAACUUCAAGACCUAGCUGUGCAUGCAUCUCUCCUACAAUUCCAAACUUCGAAACAUCACCGAAAUUGAAGGGGAAGUCGAACUCCUCAUGCUGUCAGGUUGUUGCUGCUGUGAGAGUGAUCCAACAGUGAGUAGAAGAGGAAGAAGGGUAAAAAGAGGAGUAGAAUAUGGGGGAGAAGAAAAUGAGAGUGGGAGAGAAAUAAUCUCAGUUAGCAUUACGCUUCAAACUCUGCAAUUAGGAGGAGCUGGAGGUGUAAGUUGAGCCUGAGCCCCAACUUAACACGUAAAAGUAUUUCAGCCAAAAUCAAAAGUAUUUUGAAAUUAUUCGUAAUUCCGCGUCCAAAACAAUUCCAACUUAUCCCAACACUUUUCCGACAUAUUGUUUACAUUGACAAACUAUAAUUAUUCUGAAAAAAAAUAUUUUGAAAUAUUUAUAUCUAUCGGAACACUACAUCCUUCCCCUCUACAAAAAGUUUUAUACUCGAAACUUAAACCAUACGUCAAGAAGAACUCUCAAACAAGAAGGGGUAGUUCUCCAACAUCAUAGCCUCCAACUCCCAAGUUGCCUCACGCUCCUCAUGAUUGCUCCACAUAACUUUUACAUAGGGAAUGACCCGGUUGUGUAAUUCUUUCACCUCCGGGGUAAGAAUUUGCACCGGUCUCUCCUAGUAUCUGAAGUCCUCAUUAGCUCCAGUGGAGUGAAGUCAAUCACACGCGAACGACCAAAAACAUAUUUUCUCAAAACCGAGAUAUGAAAAACAUUAUGGAUACCAGCUAAUUGCGGCGGUAGAGCAAUCCUGGAGGCAACUAGUCUAACCCGCUCCAAUACCUCAAAGGGAUUAAUAUGACACAGACUUAGCUUUCCACAAACUCCGAAUCUACAAAUCCCCCUAAACGGCGGGACUUUCAAAAACACAUGGUCUCCAACCUAAAACUCCAAGUCUCGUCGCUUAAAAUCAGCAUAACUCCUCUGCCGACUUUGGGCUGCCUCAAGAUGGCGCCGUGCAAUUCUGACCUUUUUUUCUGUCUCUAACAGAAUGGCUACGCCCCAAAGUCUUUCUUUCACCCAAUUCACUCCAAUGUAGGGGUUAUCGACAUUUGCACCCAUACAAUGCUUCAAACGGAGCCAUCUGAUUACUCGCUUGAUAGCUAUUGUUGUAUGCAAACUCAGACAGUCUCAAGUGCUACAAAAUUCUCAAAAACUAUAGCCAAUACGAAAAUGAUGACUCAGGACCUUCAAAGAGGAUGGAAAAACAUGCAUGCAACCCAAAAGAUUCAUCCUUUGAUGUCAUAAAGUAUAAAAUCUAGAUUCUACUUACUUUGCUCUAUAGUUAAGGUCUUAACUUGAAAAUGUGUUUUCUUCGCCAAAGUCUCCUCCUAAAUCCACAAAAGAUGACUCGGGACGUUCAAAGAGGAUGGAAAAACAUGCAUGCAACCCAAAGAUUUAUCCUUUGAUGUCACAAAAGUAUAAAAUCGAGAUUCUACUUACUUUGCUCUCUAGUUAAGGUCUUAACUUGAAAAUAUGUUUUCUUCCCCAAAGUCUUCUCCUAAAUCCCUUCAAUUUGAAGGAGAAAUCCUUUUUCUAACUAAUGGGAAAUUUAAAGAAAAAGAAGACUGGUUGGGGAGGAGGAAAUAGGAAGGGGAGAAAAAAAUGGAGAUUGAAGAGGUUUUACUCUUCUCCUAUUUAAAAGUGUCUGUAGACCGAGUCGGUUCUGAAUAGUUGAUAUACUAUACCCAUACCCUAAAAGAAAUGGGUAUAAACAAAAAGUAUACCCUACCCAUUUAAUUUUGGAUCUGGUCCGGAUUUGGGUACUUAAGUUAAUAAUAUAUUUAUCGGGUCUUUUUGAGUAGGUCUGGAUAAUGACUACCUGUGUAUUACCCGCUUAAGACUGGGUAUGAAUCAUGUACGAAUCGGGUCUAGAUCAAGUGUAAUAUACCGAAUCUCGGUAGGUUAUAUCAAACUUUAGUCGAAUUGACCAAAGUCUGGCGAGAGAGAUGGUUGGACAAAGUCCAUUCGAUACUCCAACAGUGUUGGAGGGGUUAAAGUUGAGUUCCAAGUGAGAUUGAUAGGUUUUAGCAUUGCUCGGCGCGAAAUAGAGCCUAAGCACUGCCAAAAUUGAGGUCUGGGCACGGCGUACCAGUGACAGCCCUGGUUCGUACCGAUACCCCGCAGCAACCCGAGAACAACAGCUCUCGGGUUUCGCCUCUGCGGGACGGCGUACCGGUGACCCGAGCCCGCGUACCGGUACCUGUUAAGGAUUUUAUUAAGUUGGCGACUUUCAUGAAGUUUUGGACGGAGUCUCGAAGAGUUAGAAGAUGAAGGUUGAAGAAAGAAUUGGAGUUUGGCGAUCAAAGACCCUUGGGAUCUCAGGUAUGAUUAUAAAUAAUUUGUGGUGAGGUUUUAUUGUUAAAAGGUGUUUAGAAGACUUGGUUUCUAUUUUUGUUGAUCAAACUAAUGUUUUCUAAAAAUCUCAGGGGUCAGGGACCGGUCCUUGAUCAGAGGGACNGAAGAAAGAAUUGGAGUUUGGCGAUCAAAGACCCUUGGGAUCUCAGGUAUGAUUAUAAAUAAUUUGUGGUGAGGUUUUAUUGUUAAAAGGUGUUUAGAAGACUUGGUUUCUAUUUUUGUUGAUCAAACUAAUGUUUUCUAAAAAUCUCAGGGGUCAGGGACCGGUCCUUGAUCAGAGGGACCGAACCAAUCAAGCUUCUCUGUGUAGAAGUUUUGGGAGACCGGUCUCUGAUCUUGAGGACCGGUUCCCGUACAUGGCUUUUCGUGUUGCGCAGGGAGGGGCCGGUCUCUGAAUUGAGGACCGGUCCCCGUACGAAUGUUUUUACAGCUACGCAGCGAAGGACCGGACUUCACCUUGGUGGACCGGACCCUGAGACCGUCGUCAGUUUUUAAAAUUGAGUUUUUGGAAUCCUAGUCUAUCUAGAAGUCUUCUAAACCUAUAAAUAUGAUAUGAGAAUCUCCAUAUGACGUGAGUUGAGCAAGAUAACCUUUUAGAAACCCAAACGACUUGAUUCGGAGUUUCGAUCUAUAUUUUUAAACAUCAAGCUUUAGAUCACCAAUUUGAUUCUUUGAUUUUGAUUCAAAACUUCUUUAAGGAUCAAAUUGGUGAUGUUCUAAUUUGGGAUUCUUCUCAUAUUAUAUGUGCUUUCAAAGAUUUUAAAUCACCACAAAUUGUUAAAUCCCUACGAGCUUCGGAUGGAGCGUUAGCGCGUGGAUCUCGCGUGAAGACCGUGGAUUCGGUGGGCGUUUCUGUCACGCCCCGGGACCGGCGAGGGCCCUCCCGGUAGCGCGCCCAGACCCGCCAUAUGUCUACACAUAUAAGGCGUCUACAGUAGAAGCGGAAGUCAAAACAAGUAAUAGAACAAAUAGAAGAAGUAAAAUAACUAGCAACUAAUGAUAUCAGAGCGAGUAAAGUUCUAACAUCUACACCAAUAGUAAUAGAACAUAACUAAUACAUAAAAGUAAACAUAAGUUGUACAGUACCAGCCUCUAAUACAAAAUUGGUGGUCUCUAGUACACUGGUAAAACUCUCAACCUCUCUAAAAAUAAAAUACAACGAGAGGUAGACCACCUAACAAAUCGUCCUCGAAGGAAGCUAGCUCGAAGCAACUCCCUUCCCGCGGUCCCUGGCCUCACCCUGAGUGGAAGGCUCUGUAAAACAUCGAGAAAAAGAGGGCGUGAGAACUAUAAUUUAAAGUUCCCAGUGGGCAAUUACUGAUCUCAGCUCCUGCUCCACUAGGCCCCAACAAUAAGGGUAAGUAAUGUUAAUAGCAAUAAGCAAUAAAAAGGAGCAUGUAAAUAAACUGCUGAAAGAGAGAGCAUAAAUAAAAUGCUAUACUACUAUAUCUCACAUAAGCACGAUGUCAAAGUGUUGUACAUCUAUUCUAUCAUAAGAAAAAGUGACCAAUGGCAAUAGUUUACUGUUACAAACCUUUAUUCAUACACGAUGUAUAAGCUCUAUCAUGGCAACCAAGUAUACUGUGAUGAAAUAGGUAACUGUCAAGUAUACUACAUGUCUCAACCCUAUGCUAUAAGCAUGUAAAUGUAAUCCAACUACUAAACCUAUCUAGUAGUGAUUGUUCAUAUACAACACCGUGUCGAUUUCCAUUUCCAAUUAAGGACCUACCCAAGGUAGUCCAGCUUGUGCCGCCUAAGUGCCUGUGGUAGCCCAACAUCCCUACUCUUGGAAUGUGUCUGUCCCACUCGACCCCGUAGGCUUCUCAAUACCGCCCGAGCGAACAAAAGUCGCGUAGGCUAACUCCGGAGUGCCGGCUUGUGGGGAGCGACCCUCACAAGCAUGUGCGAAUGAGCACAAAUGGCAAGCAAGCAUAGUCCAAGUCUCAAGUAUCCAACCCUCAUGUCUCUAACAUGGUAUAGUCACUAGCAUCCCGAAGAUCUAGUUUAAGUCACAAUGUGAAGUUUCAACAUUUGCUACGCCUAGUGCCCCUUGAUGACACUUAGGCAAUUUGAUGUUCAACAUGUUUUCCAAAUCCCUCAAUGGCCCUAUCCACUAGGUUCACACAUGUCCUGAGCUCAAUGCCGCUUGAUGACAUUAGCUCUCUAAUUCACAUGAUAUCAAGUUCGAUGCCUAUAUAUAUAGCAAUUGUCAUCUUUCAUGUCUCAAUUAAACUUAUGUUUAAACGCAUGAAUCAUAGCUCAUUUACUCUAUAGAAACAUGAAACCAAAUCUCAUAUAGAAUGCUAAAUGCAACCAACUCUCUCUCAAGCAACUCUCUACUACAUAGAGGUCCAAAAUUUCAUUACAUAUAACAUGGGCAUUUUAAGCACUCUAAAAUUCAUAAUAAAUACAUUUAAUAUGAAAAUGCAUGAGUUAUUAGUACACGAAGCACUUAUCACCAAAUAUGAGAUUUUCUCAUAUCAAAGGCUAGGUCAAACCCACCAAAAUCGAAACUUUCGUUUCGCCGAACGGAGAUUUCCACAAGCUUUCUAGCACCCUAGGAACAUCAAAAAUGGUGUCAUCCAAUCGAUACGAAGAGCAAUAAGCUCAAUCUUUAACCUAGAAGCAAAAGGGCCAAAACUCACCUCAAGAGUAGAAAUCUUCUCCUAAGCUCCAAAAGAGAGCUAGAACCCUUCCAAUCCAAGCCCUAGGAAGGUUCUAAACCAACCAAUCAAGCCUCAAAAGCCCUAGGUUCAAAAAGCCCAAAAUAAACCCUAAGUCCCAAAACUAGGGUUUCAUCUCAAAGAAAGCUCUAAAAUCCAAAACUAGAGGAAAGGAUCUUGCCACUUACCUCUUAGAAGCCUCAAAACCAGCUCAAGUCCUCAAACUUCAAGUAUCUUCCCUCAAUCAAACUCCAAAUCCAAGUUCCAAGCUCCAACAAUGGUGGAAAUAGCUCCAAUAGGGAAAAAGAGAGGGAAAUCCAUCAAAAUCCAAGAAAUUGGAGAUCAAAUCCAAAUAGGGGAAAAGAGGGGCUCCUUACCUUGCUCCUCCUCAGGUUCCAGCACAAGGGAGGCCCUAUGGGGCGUGGGUGCUGUUAUAAGGGUGCCACAAUCGCAAAUAAGCCCCUGCAGAACAAACUGCACGAAAUCAGCCUCCUUGUACCGGUACACGGGAUCUUGUACCGGUACAAGAGCUGCGAAAAUCCAAAUCCGAGGCUCGGGUGCGCGGUUCUGCGGCACUGUACCGGUACAGGCCCGAUGGCUGUACCGGUACAACCAUCAACAUUGUACCGGUACAAGACCAUCCUUGUACCGGUACAAGACCUGCGAAAAUGCAAACCCGAGGCUCGGGUUUGCGAGUUCUCGGCUCUGUACCGGUACAAGCACAACCUUGUACCGGUACAAGCCCGCCAGACAGCCAAUCCGAGAGCUGACCAAAAUCCAAAUUUUUGGGUUUUGGUGCAAGGCUUCGUACCACACUCCUCGGGACACGUGCCAUAGGUCGGAACACAGUCAACGACCUACCAGCAAGUCUGGAAAAGCUCAGAACACGACCAAUCACUCGAACCUCGCAAUUUGCAAAGGUCCAGUGUGUUACAGUUUCGUGGAAUCGAGGCGCGUUUGGCUGUAAGGACUUGCGAUGUGGUCGGUUGGAGGAUUCCAAGUGAUCAAGGACUGGCAAAGACAAUCUACAACGAGGAUUCGAUAUUUUGAGUCUCAUAUUUUUGGUAAAUCACUCGUACUCAUGUUUUCUUAGUGGAUUUCUUUGUGUGAUUGGUCCCGUGUGUUUUUCUCUCCUGUUUGAAGUUUUCCCACGUUAAUUCUCGGUGUGCUGAUUUUAUUUUCCGCUUUUACUUUUAAUUCGCAUCGAGUUUAUUAAUUUUUACCGUUUACACCUAUUCACCCCCCUCUAGGUGUUUUUCACCUUUAGAUCCUCGGGAUCCAUAACUUUCAAGUAGUAUCAGAGCGGGUAUAGGUUGUAAAUUAUGGCUGAGGGCGGUAACAUUAAUCGACCCCCUCUCUUCGAUGGCACUAACUACGCUUAUUGGAAAGUCCGUAUGAAGGCGUUUCUUAUUGCCAUCGACGAGCGGGUAUGGCAAGCCAUUGAAUUCGGGUGGAAACAUCCUACUGAAGUUGUCGAGAAUGUUACCGGUCCUAAACCUAGAAAUAAGUGGACAAAAGAGGAAAACAAACCAUCUUCGUUCAAUGGAAAGGGUAUCAAUGCUUUGUUCAAUGCUUUGAAUAAAACUGAAUUUUCUCGAGUAUCGGCGUGUGAAACUGCCAAAAAAAUUUGGGACACUUUACAAAUCACUCAUGAGGGUACAAGCUUGGUAAAGGUUCAGAAAUUACAAAUGUUGACUAGUCGUUUUGAUUCUAUUCGUAUGAAAGAAAAUGAAACAUUUACCGAGUAUUACACUCAUCUUCAAGAUAUUGUCAAUACUUGUGCAAAUUUGGGUGAACAAAUUUCUGAACCAAAAAUUGCUCGAAAGAUUUUGAGAACCCUUCCCGAACGUUUUCGUCCUAAGGUUGCAGCCAUAGAAACGGUAAAACAUCCGGAUAAACUAAAAGUAGAUGAAUUAGUUGGUGCACUUCUGUCACGCCCGGAUACCAGCGGAAGCAUAUCCGGCACGUGCACAGACCCGCCAUACACCUGCAGUAUAUAAGGCGUCUACAAGUAGCAAAACGAUAGGAAGUAAAACAAGGAAAAUCCUAUCCUGAUAUCAGAGCAAAGUACAAGUCGAUAUACAACGGGUAUACAGUCCAAGUCAAUAUACAAAGAGUAUACAAUCCAAGAUCUCAGCAAAAAAAAGGAGAAGUAACACUACUAUAAUCUCAACCCCGAAAGGAAAAUAUACAUCACGGGUGUACAAAAAGAAUAGAUACAAUGGUGGUCUCUAUAUAUAUAUGGACAUCACCCUCGGCCGUAGCCCGAGUAGCAAGGUGAUCGACUAGCACGCUCCUAGUAGUCCCUAGCUAGGCGCGACUCCCUUGCCACGAUCCCUAGCCUCUCCUGUAACAGGCUCUGUAAAAACAACCACCAAAAGGGCGUGAGAACUAUUAACAAUAGUUCCCAGUGGGUAAGCCGCCAGCCUCGGCGAAUUACACCACUAGGCUCAAGAUGUACAAGAUGUACUAAAUGGAAAUAAAAGCAGUAAUUUGCAUGAUAUAUUUUCAAUGCUAACAAUUCAUAAGCCAAUGUUAACAAAUAAUGAACAUGUAAACAACNNNNNNNNNNNNNNNNNNNNNNNNNNNNNNNNNNNNNNNNNNNNNNNNNNNNNNNNNNNNNNNNNNNNNNNNNNNNNNNNNNNNNNNNNNNNNNNNNNNNNNNNNNNNNNNNNNNNNNNNNNNNNNNNNNNNNNNNNNNNNNNNNNNNNNNNNNNNNNNNNNNNNNNNNNNNNNNNNNNNNNNNNNNNNNNNNNNNNNNNNNNNNNNNNNNNNNNNNNNNNNNNNNNNNNNNNNNNNNNNNNNNNNNNNNNNNNNNNNNNNNNNNNNNNNNNNNNNNNNNNNNNNNNNNNNNNNNNNNNNNNNNNNNNNNNNNNNNNNNNNNNNNNNNNNNNNNNNNNNNNNNNNNNNNNNNNNNNNNNNNNNNNNNNNNNNNNNNNNNNNNNNNNNNNNNNNNNNNNNNNNNNNNNNNNNNNNNNNNNNNNNNNNNNNNNNNNNNNNNNNNNNNNNNNNNNNNNNNNNNNNNNNNNNNNNNNNNNNNNNNNNNNNNNNNNNNNNNNNNNNNNNNNNNNNNNNNNNNNNNNNNNNNNNNNNNNNNNNNNNNNNNNNNNNNNNNNNNNNNNNNNNNNNNNNNNNNNNNNNNNNNNNNNNNNNNNNNNNNNNNNNNNNNNNNNNNNNNNNNNNNNNNNNNNNNNNNNNNNNNNNNNNNNNNNNNNNNNNNNNNNNNNNNNNNNNNNNNNNNNNNNNNNNNNNNNNNNNNNNNNNNNNNNNNNNNNNNNNNNNNNNNNNNNNNNNNNNNNNNNNNNNNNNNNNNNNNNNNNNNNNNNNNNNNNNNNNNNNNNNNNNNNNNNNNNNNNNNNNNNNNNNNNNNNNNNNNNNNNNNNNNNNNNNNNNNNNNNNNNNNNNNNNNNNNNNNNNNNNNNNNNNNNNNNNNNNNNNNNNNNNNNNNNNNNNNNNNNNNNNNNNNNNNNNNNNNNNNNNNNNNNNNNNNNNNNNNNNNNNNNNNNNNNNNNNNNNNNNNNNNNNNNNNNNNNNNNNNNNNNNNNNNNNNNNNNNNNNNNNNNNNNNNNNNNNNNNNNNNNNNNNNNNNNNNNNNNNNNNNNNNNNNNNNNNNNNNNNNNACUAUCAAAGCUCGAUCCACAACCUCCCGAUAAGUCUGGAGGUUGGAAGACUGCACCAACCGGAAGAUAGAAGGCCGCAAACCGCGCUCAAAGAUGCGGGCCUUGUCCUCGUCGUCCCUCACAACAAACGGUACACAGUGUAGUAUCCGGGAGAACUCCCUCUCGUACUCCGCCACUGACCGCUCAUCCUGGCGCAAGCUGCGCAAAUCCUGCUCCAUCUUCCUAUUGACGCUGGUAGGAAAGUGGUGCGCCAGAAGAAGCUCCUUGAACCUAGUCCAAGUAAUCGCUGCCAAGUCGGUGUUGGGGUUGUCCUGGAUAUCCAACCACCAACGGUAGGCCUCGCCGUCUAGAAAGUGAGUGGCGAGCCAAACUCUAUCCCGCUCCUCCACGAAGGUGUCCCUGAAGAGCUUCUCCAUGUGCAUCAACCACUUCUCGACGAUCCAGUGGUCGGCGUUCUCGCCAUCAAAUGUCCUCAGGCUACACCUCCUGAACUCACUGAGGCGAUCCAUAAGCCGAUCUCGCUCGGCUCCCUCGGCCAUCACGGGGAAAGCUGCCCCCGUGGCCGGUCUCUGAACUGGUAAUGCCGCAACCACCUCCUUCUGAGGUGCAGUCGCCGGUGCCGCACGCGAAGAACUGGGUGCUGGGGAGGGCGCUCUCGGCGCAACGUCCACAACUGGUGCAGGUGGUGUAGGGGCCUGAGUCUCCUUCGAAGCUGCCGCCUGCUGAAGUAGGAGGUCCUCGAGAUGCUUCAUCCGCGCCUCCUGCCGCUGGGCCACCUCGGCCUGUCGCUUCGCCGCUGCCGUCUGCUGGGCCGCUGCCAUCUGCUGCGCCAAUAGAUCAGUGAGAACCGCAAGCUGGGCCCUCAGGUCACGGACCUCACUGGAUCCGGAAGUAGCGGAGGUCUCGACCUCCUCGUGGUGUGCCGCAUCAUCCGCCCCGGCAGACUGGGAGCGUGUAAUCGGCAUCGUCACUACAAAGCAUAAAAGCGCAAGUUAGUAACCCACGCUGUCGCAUCCCCGCUCGAAUAGAUAAAAUCCCAAAUCAUGCGAAAGUAAGGAAGUGUCCUUCACUACUAACUCCCGAUGUUACGUUGUCGGCCGCCAACGUAACCCUCCGCGAAGUUAGGAGCCAUACACUCCGAUCCAACUCUAACUUUUUAGAGUUAUCAAGACACCCAAUCAGGAUACUUUCGCUCACGAGUCAAUUAGACCCCGUCUCUCACGAGCCGAAUUCCUAUAGUCCAACCGGCCUAAGGUUUACUAGGUCCUCUAAGACUCAACCCUAGGCUCUGAUACCAAGUUAAUCUGUCACGCCCCGGGACCGGCAAGGGCCCUCCCGGUAGCGCGCCCAGACCCGCCAUAUGUCUACACAUAUAAGGCGUCUACAGUAGAAGCGGAAGUCAAAACAAGUAAUAGAACAAAUAGAAGAAGUAAAAUAACUAGCAACUAAUGAUAUCAGAGCGAGUAAAGUUCUAACAUCUACACCAAUAGUAAUAGAACAUAACUAAUACAUAAAAGUAAACAUAAGUUGUACAGUACCAGCCUCUAAUACAAAAUUGGUGGUCUCUAGUACACUGGUAAAACUCUCAACCUCUCCAAAAAUAAAAUACAACGAGAGGUAGACCACCUAACAAAUCGUCCUCGAAGGAAGCUAGCUCGAAGCAACUCCCUUCCCGCGGUCCCUGGCCUCACCCUGAGUGGAAGGCUCUGUAAAACAUCGAGAAAAAGAGGGCGUGAGAACUAUAAUUUANNNNNNNNNNNNNNNNNNNNNNNNNNNNNNNNNNNNNNNNNNNNNNNNNNNNNNNNNNNNNNNNNNNNNNNNNNNNNNNNNNNNNNNNNNNNNNNNNNNNUCGAGUCAAUCAACAGCGGAUAAUCCGCGCUCUGCCCGGCUCGAGGUGAAGGACCCUGUCACAACGCACCUCAGCCUGCAAGCCAAGAACUACAUCGCCCAACGGUCCGCCCGAAGGUUCGUGCACCGUGGUCAGGGAUCCACCAGAGGGAGAGGAAACAUGCCGCAUACACCCAUAGCCAAGAUCCCCGAUAGGGAGGGAAACAUGCCGUGUACACCCUAGCGCUCUUUGUUCUUGCUUAGUCAUAAUCCUCAAAGUUCUUCCGGUGGGAGAGGAACAUGCCACAUACACCCGCGGUCCAAGAACUAUUGAGUUCACAAGUCUCGGGAUUUCCGGAAUCCACUUCACAAGUCAGGGGUCCAUAUCCAACCCUAUACUAUUGACCUAUCUGGGUCCAGUGCACUUUCCACCCUAGGUUCAACUGACUCUAGGUCUAAUGCCUCGAUGUCACAACCUAGGUUUACUUUAACUCUAGGUUCAUUUCUCAACCUAUGUUCUUUAGCACUAGGUUAGAUGCCACUCGUUAUUUAUCCUAGGUUCAACAACGCUAGGUUCAAUGUCAUCUAUGUUCGACCUAUGUUUAUUAACACUAGGUUAAUGCAACUCGAUCUACUUGAUAUCCUAUUUGUCAUAUCGAGUCCAUAUGCACAUGCAUCUUAUCUAACAUGCUCACAUGAUGUUACAUGCACCUAGCAUACAUUCCAAUGAACACAUACAUAUCAUUUGCAUUAUCACUAGCAUGUAUUCUAUAUCAUAUCAUUUUACAUGGAUCUACUUAGCAUUUGCAUCAUAUUAUUAACAUGCAUUAGCUACAUGAAUCAACCACAUGCUUUAUUUACAUUUAUAUGCACCAACAUGGAUUCUUAAUCAUCUUAGACAUAAAGGGCGACCUAGUCGCUUCGGUAAACACAACCCACCUUAACUCGCGUUUUGAUUGCUCGUCGACACUUGCAAUCGGCCUCCCGCGGCACUCGGCACCCGUUUGGGCCCGAUCUCACAGUUGCUCUCCAAGAGCGCGUCGCUUCGCCGUUUCAAGUGCUAACGAUCUUCGCCUCGCCGUUACGAUGCUCGGGACCCAAUUUCACGAUUUAUGGACGUCGCCUCGGCCCUCCAGGCGGAAACGAAGCUCCAAGCGUCCGUUUCUUCAAUAUCUUUGUAACGGCUCGUCGGAUUGCCGAACCGUCUUCGCCAACGUGUUUCGUUACCUAUCAAUUAGGUUUACAGAGGGUUAUUUGAGAUCAAACCCAUCUAUUUACAAAAAUCCCAUUUUUGAGCCCUAGUUUGCGACUACGGCAAAAACCACCAUUCGAACUCUAGAUUCAAGCAUUAAACGUCUAUUAAGCUUGCUAGAACACUAAUCAAACCAUUUCUAGAGCAUUUAGACCUAUUUCUAGAGAUCUACCAUGAGAGGGAGUAGCAAGCUUACCUCUCAAGCUAGCCCAAUGGAGAGGAAGAAGAUGAGAAGAUGAAGCUCCACCUUGCUCUUCUUCUUCUCCACCAUCUCCUUCUCCUCCUUCUUCUUCUUCUUCUUCCCCUUCUUUUCUUUCUAGAGAGAGAGAGAGACACGGUUGGGGUGAGGGAGAAGAGAGAAAUGGGCUAAAACCCACUUCUAUACACUCUAAUAAGUGCAAAAUUGCACUUAAGCCCCUCAACAAGCCUCUUCUUGCAACAGCCCGAACUGGGCAUUUUCGGGGUUCGGGGACCGGUCUCUGCAUGAGGGACCGGUCUCUGAGAGACCGGUCUCUCUACCUGGGACCGGUCCCAGAGAGACCUCCAGCCCAGACUUAGCCAAUUUUCAGCUUCGUCCGUUUUCGCUCCGUUUUCGCCCGUUUUCGUUCGUUUGACCUCCGAUUCGUCUCAAAUCGAACCGAGACUCUCCAAACAUGUUUUCAAACAUGUUUUCAUCAUCUUUCCAUCCUCGCUAAUGCCGGAUUUAGCUCACGGCCCAAGUUAGCCUUUCGGGUUCCGUUUUCGCGCCUAUGCGCACCGAAACGCCCGAUUGCUCCAGAACUUCACCGAACCUCACCGGAACCAUUCAAAUAGCUCCCCAAUCGAAUAUACACCGUAACUUCAUAGUUUUAGAAGUCCGGUACCUUACAUCCUCCCCUCCUUAAAAAGAGUUUCGUCCUCGAAACUUAAAUAACUUCAACUCCAACUCAUAGCCCUAACUCUAUUUAUCGAGUAACAACGGGUUUCAAUGCACUUUUCUAUUUCGGAGUGACCUUAUGCUCAUUGGAACUGUCCAAAGGCCUUCUACGGAGGGUACAAUACUCAACUCGUACAACUUUGCAAGGCGCAUCUCGCAGGGUGCAUUACGUUCUCCGUUAUUCUUUGGUAGCAGCGCAAGUCGAGGCUCAACGGCUCUACGCGCUCCAACGCCAUUCACCAUUCGGCAUGCAAGAACUCUUCUUUGCAUUCACUUUCCUCCUCGGGGCAUUCCGAUUCGAUCACCAACAUUGCUCAAAAGCAAUAUCAUUGGUGCAUCACCCAAUCGCGGGUGAUCUAACCACAUUCGGACCUUGCUCUACUGCGAGAUGGCCUACCCCGGCAUAUCUCGACUUUCAAUCCUCAAGAGAGCAUUGUCCACAAUUCCAUGUGGCUAUCCAGUAUUCAAGUGUCUCCAAGAGACCACUUUUCCUUACCUCUUAAUUGCCACUUCUAACCUCAAAUCGCUCUACUACGAGAUGGCCUACCCCGGCACAUCUCUCGAAUCUCAAUUCACGAAAGAGCGUUAUCCUCAAGUUUUCCAAGUUUUCCAAUACGACCCAGCCUGCCUGGGCAAGUUUCAUGCUCAGGGACCGGUCUCUCCUACGAGGGGACCGGUUGCCCCGACCUGCGCAACCCUCAACCUCGGGGCAACCGGUCCCUCCCUCCUGGGACCGGUCCCCGAGAGCAAGCUCGCGCAGACCACGUUCGGAAACCGGUCCCUCCCGCCAGGGACCGGUCCCCGAGAGCAAAUCUGCCAAGUGCAGAUUCUUUCACCAUUUGCUCCCGCGGACUCCAUUGUAAUGCACUUUUGGUGCAUUCGACUUCCUCAGCUUUUAUGAAGCACUCUCACUCGACAAUUAGUCGAUUUUGAGUGAAGUUCAACUCUCGUACUUCGAGAAUUCAUUUUCUUACUCAAACUCAUCCACAGAGUCAUCGGCUAAACCGAUUACGUCGGCUUCCACAAGUGGACCAACGGUCCCAAAUACUACGUAGGCCUGCCGCCUAAACCUGUCGUAACUACGCACAGCGUCUCUCGCUAGCAUCGUAGACCCAAUCCUCAUUUCCGGGCGAAAUUCUCACUUGGGAAUUCGCACACACUCCAAACAGGAGCAACCAAGACUCCAAACCACAUCAUGUCUUCGGGUUGGGUCACUAUACACUCGGUGUGUCCUCGAUCUCACGAUCUAACACGUGGCAUUCCACUUACUCGGGUCUAAGCUCGGACUACCGUCCUGACCAAAACUCCGCCCUACCAGUAGGUACCGGGCCGCUGCCUCUCGCAGCUGACUGCGCCUGCCAAAUGGGCCCAGGCUCCACAGUCCACAAAUGGUCCAGGCACGGAUCGUCCCCAAGCACUACCCGCCAACGUCGUCUUGCACAACAUGCUCUACAGAGCUACACACUCUAUCAGCUCCUAGGCCUAGUGCGAGCCACCAGCCCUAACGAGUUUCAUGGCUCGCUUCACACUUAGUAAUGCUGAAGUACUACUGCCAAUUCACUCGACCGGCUGAAUCGAAACCGCACUCCACGAGUAUCUAUACUCGAGCGCUCUAUGCCUUUACGACGUCUCACACGAAGUCCAGCAUCAGGGAGCUUAGCCCAUGCGCACCAGCCACACGAGGAACAACUCGUCUACCUCAAUUCGAGGUACUACUAGGCCCACAGGCCAAACUUGGCCUCAACCAACCGCUCUCUCAACAGUUAUUCUACUUUCACCGUUCAAUCUACCGAAACAAUAUCCGAGAUGCUCAGGCCACUCGGGUAUUCAUAAUGCCACGGUGCAACUCUCGCAAUUCGAUACUCAUUGUCUUGAGAGUCGCUCCACCAUUUUACGUUCACCACAAGUCCCAUUCUUCGUCCAAGAACCAUCGCUAGCGAUUUGCUAGUACCACUUGGCUUUCUACUAUACUCUCACGAUGCAAGUAUGCUUGGGUGCCUACCUACCCGUCCACUUGGUCCCUAUUAUGCAAUUUGUAAUUAGUAGGUGCUGACCAUAAGAUAAAUGCAUGCAAUGCAUCAACUUGAGAUUACGCAAAAGCAUAUGCUUAUUUAGUCAACUCAUACCUGCAACGGCAUCAUCGGUGGCAGCAGGUUCCUAAACCUGGGUCGCAUAUCCCUGGCCACUUGGUGCUCGCCGUGAACCCUCCGAUUGCCUGACCAUCAUAGCUCGCUCUCCAGAUCGUGUCAAAGGUCGCACAUCCAUAGGUUGUCCUGGAGAGGAAAAGGCCGUUGUCAACAUCAAGGCCUGGCUCUCGCCUUGCGGGCACUCAUCCCGCAUAUGGCCUGGCUGUCCACAACGGAUACACCGUCCAUCACGCAGCGCACAUCGCCGCGCCUGGUGGGAACCGCCACAAAUCACACAUCCGGAGGAGAAUCGGGUAGAGGAUGACCUCGAGCGGUGUCUGGAACUCGACUGACCACCCGAACCACUCGAUAAUGGCCUCGCCCCUCCUUGCUCACGCCUAUGAGAUUCGUGCUCCUCACGCAUGAUAGCCUCGCCAUGCUCUGCCCACAAAGCCCGAUCCAACAUCGCUGCGAAGGUUGUGAGCUGGAAGAUUUGCACCCUCCUAUAAAUCUCCGGUCGGAGUCCACGCAAGAACCAAUCGGCCUUAUCCUUGUCAUCCCGUACCACAUCCGGGACACAAUUCACGAUGCGGGAAAAUUCCCGUUCAUAUUCCCUUACGGAGCGGUCUCCUUGCCGCAGCUUCCUGAACUUGUCCCGAAGCUUUCUCCUUUCAGUGUCGGGGAAGUACGUAGAAAACAUUAAUCCCCGAAAUUCAUCCCACGCCAUAGGAGGAAGACUGGGCGAUCGAUCCCGUCGAAUGCCUUUCCACCACGCCUUUGCCGAUUGCUUCAAGCAAUGCACAGCUAGGGGCACCUUGUCCCACUCCAAGGUGUAUAGCUCCUCGAAAAGUGUUUCUAUGGAGUCAAUCCACAUCUCCACGAUCCACGGAGCGACAUUCUCUCCAUCGAAGGUAGGCGGAUCAAAUUUCUUGAAGGUCAUUAGGGCCGCCAAAGUCCGUUCUUUCUCCGCCUCUAAUUCCACAGAGCCAGGGGCCACCGCCCCCGAAUCCAUCGCGACUCCUGUCGGUACACGGCACGCUGCUACCGGCGCAGCCGCCGCAGGCUGUCGUGUCAACAAUUCGUGGAGCUCCUUGAUCUGCUCCUCCUGUCGCUGCACUAUGCCUAUGAGCGUAUUCAAUUGCUCGCAGAGCAUCGGGUCUCCGCUCGCCUCAGCUUGCUCAGGAACACCACUUGUCCCUUCCCGCGCCGAUCUGGAUAAGGAUCGUCUACGCGGUGCCAUCGCUUCCUGAAACACGACAACUCGAUUAGUUCUCGACCAACUUGGGUUGAACACGAGACCACUAACAACGGCUCAAAAGCCAAUCAGGCGAAAGUCACGCGAGGGCGUCUAUUCCCAUCACUAGGUUUCAUGUUGUCGUACGCCAACAUGAACAUUCUCGGCUAAGAAUAAACCACACCUCAAGUCUACCUCUAAUAUCCGUCUUAGAGGUUUACGACACAACCCAAUCCAUUAAUCUUUCGCCACAAAUCAUAAGACCUCGUUUCUCACGAGCCUUAUUCUCCUAUGAUUUACUAUCCUAGGGUCUCCUAGGUCUGUCUAAACCAUUUUCUUUUCCCAUUUUCUACUUUAUGCUUUGAUACCACUUUAUCUGUCACACCCUGCGACCAACCGCCAAUUUGGACCGGAUCGUGGCGCCGACGACAGACCGCCGAACGGACCGGGGUUUCUCCUGUAUGCGGACAGAGUCUCCCCUGUACGUUCUAGGCGUCGCAAUUGAAAGAUAUGGAUCCCGAGGAUCUAAAAGGUAAGUAACACCUAGAGGGGGGCGAAUAGGUGUAAAUGGCAAACUCGAAAAUCUCGAUGCAAAUAAAACACAGUAGCGGAAAAUAAAACAGCACACCUAGAAUUUAACGUGGGAAAACUCCAAUUCGGAGUGAAAAAUCCACGGGACCGAUCACGCGAAGAAAAUCCACCAAGAAAACUUGAGUACAAGUGAUUUUGACAAAAAUACACGACUCAAUUUACCGAUUUCUUGUUGAUGGUGAUCUUCGCCGGUCCUCGAUCGAUAGGAAUCCACCAAUCGACCUUGCUGCAACUCCUCGCAGCGUCAACGCCUCAACUCCUCGAAGCGUCCACCGAAUCCUCGGCUUCACGCGAGAUCCACGCGCCGAACCUCCUUCCGGAGCUUGUAGAAUCGAAGAUUUGUGAUGAUUUAACCUUUGAAUACCAUAAGCUAUGAGGGUUUGUCUUCUAAUCAAACAUCAACUUGAUUCUCGAAGAAGAUCUCGAGUAAAAUCGAAGAAUCACGUCGAUUGUUGAUUUUCCCGAAACUUGUUAUGUGAAUAGAAUCAUCAAAACGAAAAAACAAGUUUCUAGGGUUUAGAAUCAGUAAAUAUUCAAAGCCUUAAACUUUUAGAUGACCCACAUAGCUUAUUUAUAUGUUUAGAAGACUUAGAAGUAGACUAGGAUUGCAAAAAGUCCUUUUUAAAAACCUGUGUCGUCCUCAGAGACCGGUCUUCUCGAGGAGACCGGUCUGUGAGAGACCGGUCUCUCAAGUGAGGAACCGGUCCCUCGCUGCGUGACCAAAAUCACAACGUUCGGGAACCGGUCUCUCAAGCUUGAGACCGGUCCCUCGCUGCGCGACAGAAAUACCAAGGUUCGGGAACCGGUCUCUCAUCUCAGGGGACCGGUUGCAUCAAAGCUCACGCAGUGAGGACCUUAGGGGAACCGGUCUCUUGACCUCAGGGACCGGUCCCUGAACACAGAAAAGUUCAGUAAAAUAUUUUUAAAACAAUCUAAGCCUUCUGAACUUAUUCUAAUCAAAUAUCUUCACCACAAAUGAUCUUUUCCUCAUACCUUAGGUGCCGAACUUUACGAGUGAGUCUUUUUCCUUCAAUUUAGAUCUUUUCUUCAAUCUUCCGCAAUCAACUCUUCAAGACUCCAUUAAACAUUACGAAAUCCGCCAACCUAUAAAAUCCUUAACAAUCUCCCCCUUUGGCGAUUUCGUGACAAAAUAUAUUACAAAGUUCGUACACAACUCAUAAAUAAUAAAAAGAAGAUCAUCGCAAUCACCAAACGAUAAUCUCCUGCAUGAUCGAUCCAAUAAAUGAAAAUUACACUUUUACAACCUUAAUACAGACUCUAUGACUUAGACAUGGAGUCUUGAAGUCUUGAAUUAUUCCUGCAAAAACAUUCUUAAAACGAAAAUCAAGAUUCAAGUAUACUUAUCAAGAUCAAACAUAAUCAAACAUAAACGUCAAAAUAGUAUCAAGUCAGUUCAUAGUCAGUUCAUAGUCAAGCACAAGCAAACAUCUAAACUAAAUUUACACAACUAUGCAAAGUGCACCACAAAACUAAACUAAACGCUUCAUCAUCAUCGAGCCAUCCAUCAUCAUAUAUUCAUCUCCCCCUUUUUGUCAGAAAGCGCCAAAACGACAAAAGGAGGAAAUCCCGGAACAUCUAAUCUGAAGCAUCCCCUGGGGGUAAAUCUGCUCUGCAACACCCUAACUUGUCAAAAAUCAUAUUGAGUAAUCGCUUCAUCUUGCUCACAUCCUUUCGUAUCGCAGCCUGCUCCGCAGACAAUUUCUGAAGCUCCUCAGAUAAACGUUGUUGCUCACGAUACACAGAGGAAACUGAGAUAUCUUCCUCGGAAAUGUCCAUAGAAGGACGUGAAGAAGUAGCAGUAGCAGGAGGUGGAGCAGCAGGAGGGGAAGAAGCACGCUGAGACGGGGUACGAAGCUGCACCGAGGACUUCACAAAUGUCCUUUCAUUGAUCCGACCCAAACUAUGCUCAUAUGAUGUACAACGAACAUCCACAUCAUGAAGUCGCAGAAUCCGCAUGAUAAUUAAUGGAAAUGGCAACCGUUCAUUUUGUCCAGAAGUUUUGAUGUCCUUCGCCAUUCUCCGCCAGAUCAAAAAUGGGAUAUUCAUGUUGAUAUUUUUUGCACUUACAAUAUCAGGCCGAGCCAAUAGAUACAUGUAUAAGAUGCGAUCCCAUCUCAAAAUCUUCGUGUUCGCGAGAGGCAGAAUGUUGUAGCAAACCACGAAGUUCAGAAACCUGUACUCCAUUCUGAAAUCUUUGGACAUAACCAUAAUGCCGUUUGAUUCAGUACCCGGCAUGCAAAUACUGUUCACAACACGGUUCCAAUCGCGAAGUGAGUCGAACCCAGCCUGUAGAUAUUCCACUCCUUCAGUCCUAGCUUCCAUUCCUAGCAUAGACGCUAUCGUAUCAGGAGUAAUUGAUAACUCAACACCACGUACGGAAGUGAUGAAUACGUACGGGCCGCCGUCGGAGUCACUCAAGUGACCUGCUCUCAUAUAGAAUUCUCUAAUCAAUUCCAAACAGAACCCAGUUUGUUCCGGGAAAUCACAAAUCUGAUGAAGAUUACCCUUUUCAAAUAAAUCCUGAAAUCCCGGCACACAACUAAUGAUACUGGCAACUCCAACAUCGCGCUCACCAAUACAAUGCUUCGACGAGUACAUUGACCAUCGAGCGGAUGGAACAUCCUGUAGACUGUGACGCGAAGGCUCAGAACUAGGUUCUCGAAUUUCAACACCGCCAGAUUUCCGACGACCGGUAUAUCCAGAUGCCUUUCCUUUUUCUUUAUCCACAGCUUUGCCUUUCUCUUUAUCAAUGGCUUGUCCUUUCCCCUUUCCUUUUCUAGUAUCCUUUUCCUUAGCCAACACCUCUGGAGUAAAAGCCUCCCAGUCCGGUUCGUCCUCCUCAGAUUCAUCACCUGGGGCAUAUUCACUCCCUUCAUCCUCCGGUUGAUACUCAACUAGUCGUUUACCCGAGGAGCGCUGUCGUUUACUACCGCGACCACCCCCAGCCAUUAGGACCACAAGCACAAGUAGCCAAGAGUACAUUUUGAAGAAAUCCCCUGUUAAACAUAAUGAUUUUUAUAUACUGAACAUAAGAACACUUAAUUUUUUAUUCCAAACAAAAAUUUCAGCAAAUUGAUAUAUAAAUGUUAGAUAAUCCUAGGGGCUACAAACUCAUGAGAAACAUGAACAACUAAAGCAACAAAAAUCAGUAAAACCACAUGAUUCCCAAAAAUUUAAAAAAAACAUGCUUUUGAUGAUAAAAACCUACAAAAUUUGACCAAAAAGAUGAAGAAAUACAAGAGAAAAGGAAAAUAACAAGUCUAAGAACAAGAUCGAAACACAAAACUGCAGAUUUAGCUAGAUCUCUAGAAAAACCACCAAUAAAUCUGAAACGAAACACAUUUUCGGAGUAUAUGAUACAAAUGCAACAAAAUCCGAAAAUCAUACCUAAAAUCAGUGCAAAUCUACGAGAGACGUAAGUAAAAACAGAUCUGGAGUCAAGAGAAGCUCAAAAGAAGAAGCAGGGAGAAGAAAAAAAAAACGCAUACAGGACACAUCGAACAAGAAACCCUUUUAUCGGGUCGGGCGGAGGGACCGGUCUCUCCUGUCUGGGACCGGUCCCAGAGCCUGAAUUUUCGAAAAAUUUUGAAAUAAGCCCAAAAAAUCCCAGAAAAAAUAUAAGUUUUUCACAAUGUGCAAUCAACACACAUAACCAAUUUCUAUCCACAAAAACUUUAAUUAAAAUUUCAUACAUAAAUUUUGAAAAAUCAAUUUCAAGGAUAUUCAAUUUGGCAAAAUUGUUGACCCGAAAAUCAAUGAUAAUUCUAUAUACAUAUAAAAUAAAAUCCUACUUUAAUUAAAUUUAUAGCUAUAAAAAUUACGUAAAAUACACUAACUAAACCUAUAAAGAUAAACAAUGUGCUCAAAUCGUGAAAUCAAAAUGUCGUUAACUAACUCAUAUUAAAUAAAUUAAAAAAUUAAAUAGUAAAAUUAAAAUUUUAAAAAUUUAGAUAAUCAAAUCAAAAUGGUCUAUAAUUCCAUCUUUCAUCUUUUAUCAAAUUAUAAGACCUUAAAAUAUAUGUUAGGAGAAUAUUUUAAAUCCUCUAAUUUUUUUAUAUUAUGGAAAAAUUUGUUGGUAAUUUAAUAUGACAUUCUUAAAAUAAGUACAUUAAUUUCUUCAAAUUUUUUUUUUAUUAUAAUGUCUAUGCAUCAAUAAUACAUAUAAGUAAUAUUAUAAAAAUCUACAACAACGCUCGUUAGUUAGGCGACAACAUGGUCAAAAAAUUUUAAUUUGAUGACUAGAAUUAAUUAAAAUAUAGAAAUUUGGGAGUUGACUCUCUUAUUCCACGUCAUUGAAUCGACCUUAGCAAUUUUUAAANAUACAUAUAAAAUAAAAUCCUACACAUCAUGCAAGAUAUAGGAAUUUAUUGUAUUGUUUUAUCAUCAUAUUUGUUAAAGAAAAUGUAUAAAUAAUUCUCAAAUCGUGAAAUCAAAAUAAGAUGUUCAAAAUAAGUUAUGCACAAUAUUCGAGACAGGAGUGGCUCUUUGAGCAUCUUUUUGUUAUUAACAUUCCACCUUAUAUCACCUAUGAGAUGUAUAUAUAGCUCUUUGAGCAUUUUUUUUCUUUUUAUCUCUAAAAGGUACUUUCCUUUUGUUUUAUAGAGAUACUUUAAUCAACAUGUGGUAGCUGCACACACUGACCGGACGACCGGGGUGGUAGCUCUUUCCUCCAUGUGGUGUUAGUUUUCACACUCCCAGCAGGGAUGUAACUCUUUCCACAUCUUGAAUUUCAGAAACUUUCAUAACCAAAAUUGGAAAGACUCCCCCCUAAAUUAGUGCACCCCUUAAGUCAAAAAUAUUAUUUCAAUUUCAAAAACUGAGAAAGAGUUAUUCAUCUCAAAACUCAUAAUCAAACAAACAAUAGCAACAUUCAAAGUUCGAAGCAUGAGGUGUUGAAUUUGAUUCAGUAUGCAAAACAGAAUCUCAAUGAUUUGAUCGUUCAAAAAUUAUGACAAUAUAGAACAAUCUUCACAGUGAUCAAUCAAAAAUUAAAUAUGAAAUAAUUAAAGUUACGGACCAAUUCAUCUCCCAAAAGUAGCAACAUUAUUCAAGAAAUUCAAUCAUCUCUCAAGCAUAAUCAGGAAAUACCGGAAACCAUGCACAAAAACAAAAUGCAACAUGCACAUGAUCUAUGGCCCAAGAGAAUAUAUCUAGAUUGAAGGAUUCAUACCAAUCGCCUUUCUUAAAUGCAGAAAACGUUUUUGAUCCAAAGGUUUGGUUAAAAUAUCUGCAAGUUGAUUUUCAGUCGAAAUAUAUUCAAGUUGUAGGAUGUUUGAUUCAACCAGUUCUCUUAAAAAGUGAUAUCUUAGUUCAAUAUGUUUUUGUUCGUGAAUGUAAAACAGGGUUUUUAGAAAUAUUAAUGGCACUUGUGUUGUCACAAAGAAUAGUAAGAGUGGUGGAAGGGAUUCGAUAGUCGCUCAGUAAACUCUUCAUCCAGAUCAAUUGAGUAGAGCAACUCCCGGCCGCAAUGUAUUCAGCUUCAGCAGUGAAAAGAGCAAUACAGUUUUAUUUCUUACUAUGCCAAGCAACCAGACAGUGUCCAAUGUAGAAACAAGCUCCACUGGUACUUUUCCGAUCAUCUGCAGAGCCUGUCCAGUCAGCAUCUGAGUAGCCGAUUAGAUCAAGAGAUGUUCCCAUAGGAUACCAGAGUCUAUAUGCGGUUAUACCUUUAACGUACCGAAUGAUCCUUUUAACCGCUUUCAGAUGAACUUCCUUAGGGUUCGCUUGAUAGCGAGCACAAAUUCCAACACUGAAAGCAAUAUCUGGUCUGCUCGCAGUUAAGUACAGUAGGCUUCCAAUCAUGCUUCUGUAUUGUUUCUCAUCCACGCUCUGUCCUUCCGAAUUCACUCCAAGUCCUUUGUUACUUGUACCCAUCGGAAUGUCAAAAUCCUUUGCACUGUCCAAUCCAAAUUUCUUAACCAAAUCUUUCGCAUAUUUGGAUUGAUACAAGUGAAUUCCAUCUUUAGUUUGUUUAACUUGAAGUCCAAGGAAAUAGUUAAGCUCCCCCAUCAUUGACAUCUCAAACUCGCUCGUCAUCAAUUUUGCAAAAUUAUUGGCAUCCUUAUCUCUAGUUGCCCCGAAGACUAUGUCAUCAACAUAAAUUUGUGCCACAAAGAAAUCAUUCUUUAGGUGUUUUACAAAGAGAGUUCUAUCUGCUCCCCCUCGAUUAUAGCCCUUUUCCAAAAGAUAUUUUGUCAAGCGCUCAUACCAUGCUCGCGGAGCCUAUUUUAGUCCAUAAAGUGCCUUUUUCAGUUGAAAAACGUGAUUUGGAAAUUUUGAGUCUAUAAAACCUUUCGGUUGUUCAACAUAAACUUCCUCUUUUAAAAAUCCAUUUAGAAAAGCACUUUUAACAUCCAUUUGAAAAAGAGUGAUUUUAAAAUGGCAGGCAAUCGCGAACAAGAUACGAAUUGAUUCAAGACGGGCAACCGGGGCGAAGGUUUCAUCAAAGUUUAUUCCCUCAAUUUGUGAGUACCCCUGAGCAACAAGUCUCGCUUUGUUUCGAACAAUAGUACCAUCCUCAUUUUUCUUAUUCGUGAAGAUCCAUUUGGUACCUAUGAUGUGUUGUUGCUCAGGACGAGGCACUAAUUCCCAUACAUCAUUGCGAACGAAUUGACCAAGUUCUUCUUGCAUUGCAUUUAUCCAAUAUUCAUCACGUAAAGCUUCGUCAAUAUUCUUUGGCUCAAUCAAAGAUACAUAGCAUGAAAAUUCACAUUGUAGUUGACUUCUUGUUCGCACACCAACGUUAGGGUCCCCAAUUACAUUCGAUAAAGAAUGAUCUCUUGAUUCUGUUAGGGAUGUAGUCUCGGGAGUUAUGCUAGGGAUUUCAGAUGAAGUGCUUUGAGGCUCAGAUGAAUCAUUUGAUGCAACAUUUUCAGAAGAUGCAAUAGAAUUAUCAAGUGCAGAAACAUCAUCAUUCACAGGCAAUACAAACGGAGAAUCAUUAUCAUCAUCAUUCACAAAUGAGUAAGAAGAACCAUUCACAGAAGAACUUACUGAAGAAGCUUCAUCUACUUUUAUAUUGAUGGAUUCAAUCACCGUCUUAGAUCUUAAAUUGUACGCACGAUAAGCACGACUUGUAGUUGAAUAACCAAGAAAAAUCCCUUCGUCACUUCGAGAGUCAAAUUUUCCAAGAUUUUCACGAUCCCGAAGGAUAAAACAUUUACUCCCGAAGACACGAAAGUAUUUAAUAUUAGGUUUCCUACCAAGCCAAAGUUCAUACGGAGUAUUCAAAGUACCCGGGCGCACAUAAAUCCGAUUGAUAACAUAGACAGCCGUGUUCACUGCUUCGGCCCAAAAGUGUAAAGCAAUUUUCUUACUAUGAAGCAUAACACGAGCCAUCUCCUGUACAACCCGAUUCUUGCGUUCAACCACUCCGUUUUGUUGGGGUGUAUAGGGGGCCGAGAAUUCAUGUUUUAUACCGUUUGAAACACAGAAAUCAACAAAUUUAGAAUUUAUGAAUUCUCCCCCUUGAUCGCUUCGAAUGCGUACAAUUUUAUCAUUUCGUUCAGUCAUAAGACGGAGACAGAUUUCAGAAAAAGAAUUAAAAGUAUCAGCUUUUUCUCGUAAGAAAGCACUCCAUACAUAGCGAGUAAAAUCAUCAACAAUAAGCAAAAUAUAACGUUUUCCACCCAAACUUUGAAUCCUAGAUGGUCCCAUCAAGUCCAUGUGAAGUAACUCUAGAGGUUUAGUUGUCCCUAAGUGGUUCAAGUUCUUAUGUGUGGAUCUAGUUUGUUUCCCUAAUUGGCAACCCCCACACACAGUGUUCUCUUUAUAGUCAAUCUUAGGUACACCUCUAACUACCUCCUUCUUGGUUAUCUUAGAUAGCUCCUUAAAAUUGAUGUGACCUAGUCGUUCAUGCCAUAAAGUUUCAGUUUCUAAUGACGCUAGGUUACAAUGUUCAGUGGCCGAACUAGGAACUACAUAACAAUUAUUCUGAGAUCUAAUGCCCUUUAAGAAUAGAUUGUCAUCACGAGUCACAUGGCAUUCUUUAUCAGAAAAGUUCACCGAAUACCCAUCAUCACACAAUUGACUUAUGCUUACGAGAUUAGAUUUAAGCCCUUCAACAUAAAAAACAUCAUUCAACGUAGGGCCGUCUGAGAUAGUCACUGUUCCUUUUCCAACGAUUUUUGACGAUCGACCGUCUCCAAAAACAACAAGUCCUCCGGAGAUUUUGGUCAAAGAAGUAAACCAAUUUUUAUCUCCGGUCAUGUGACGGGAACAGCCACUAUCCAGAUACCAAGAUGAGUUAUCGUAAGCAUGAAGUGAAGUGUGAAUGACUAGGCAUGGGAAGAGUUCACCUUUGCGCACCCAAACCUUACGUGUUUUGGGUUGUGUCCGUUCGCUUGCUUUUGUUGAUCGUGGCUUGUCGACGAUUUGAAUUGACUUCCCCUUCAUGUCCUCCUUCUUUGGUUUCCAUGCUGGUUUUGCCUUUGGCUUCGGAGUAUUUGGUGUCGGAAUUUGGCUCUUCUUUUGUUCUAUCUUCUUUGGAGUCACAAUUGACUUUAAUGUCAUUCUAGGGUCACUCUUCAAGAGAGCUAUCGAGCUCUUUCCCUUUUGAAAGCAGAAUUUCUUUAUAUGUCCUAAAACACCACAAAUAUGACAAGUUUUGUUAGCCAAAUUAUUUUUAGGAGGGACAAACUUACCAUAAAGUUUAGGUACAGCAGUUGACGAGUUUCCAUCAUCCUUCUUCGUAACUUGAUCAAUAUAUGUCCGUUCAUAACCAAGUCCAAGUUUAUUUGUCUGACCAAGUCCAAGCAUCUUAUCUAGUUUGCUCGAGCCAGAUGAAAAUUGGUUCAAAUCCGACUUCAGUUGAAUGAUCGUCUUGGUGAAUUCCAUAUUUGCUUCUCUAGCUUCUGAGUUUUGUUUGGUAAGAUGCUUGAUGUUCUCCGCCUGAGUCUCCUUUUCAUUUUCAAGUAACGAACACUUCUCAAGCAAAGAAUUGUAAGCCUUGGUCAACCCAUCUCUCUCUUGUUCUAAAUCCUUUGUUAGAGAGACCAACUUUGAAUUUUCUUGUUCCAACUCAUGUAGACUACGCCGAAGUCUCUUGUUGUGUUUAGCCAUCUUCUUUGAUUCAACAACUAAUUGUUGAUAUGCUGCGACCAUGUCAUCUUCGUCCGAUUCUUCAUCCGAUGAGUUCUCCGAAGAUGACUUCUCUUGUAUAGAUGUCGUAGAAAUCGAGUCAGUAGAUGCUAGACACAUGAAAGUUGAAUCCUGUGCAAACAGUGCCGUGGCAUUUACAUCCUCUUCGCUUGAAGUAGAAUCGUCAGAUGAGGAGUCGUCCCAAGUCAUAGCUUGCAUAGCUUUCUUCUUCAACGUCUUUUUAUUAGGACAGUCAGACGCUAUAUGGCCAAAGCCCCUACACUUGUAGCAUUGGAUUUGACCUUCACCGCUUUUCCUCUCUUUUGUGGAGUCCUUUUGAGAGUUAUCAGAUUUUCUGUAUUUUGACGAGGAAGAAGAAGACGGACCCCCUUUAGAUUUGUUUGUCUUUGAUGAACUAGACUUGGGAGGAAACUUCUUUCUAAAGUUCCGACGGAACUUCUUUGUUAGAAGUGCGAGUUGUUUCUCAAAGUCCUCCAAGCUUUGCUCCGACUCUGAAUCUGAUGAGGUUGACGAGACAUCUCCUUUUGUUGAUUUUAGAGCCAUGCCUGAGGCUUUAGAAAAAGACUUGGAAGAAGACGAAUUAGAAGGAAAAGUCAUUUCAUACGUUUGAAGAGCACCAACUAGUUCAUCUACUUUGAGUUCAUCCGGAUGUUUUACCGUUUCAAUGGCCGCAACCUUGGGACGAAAACGUUCGGGAAGAGUUCUCAAAAUUUUUCGAACGAUUUUUGGUUCAGAAAUUUUUUCACCCAAAUUUGCACAAGUAUUGACAAUAUCUUGAAGACGAGUGUAAUACUCGGUAAAGGUUUCAUUUUCUUCCAUACGAAUAGCAUCAAAACGACUAGUCAACAUUUGUAAUUUCUGAACCUUUACCAAGCUUGUACCCUCGUGAGUAAUUUGUAAAGUGUCCCAAAUUUCUUUGGCGGUUUCACAUGCUGAUACUCGUGAAAAUUCAGUUUGAUUCAACGCAUUGAACAAAGCAUUGAUACCCUUCCCAUUGAACGAAGAUAGUUCGUUUUCGUCUUUUGUCCACUUAGUUCUAGGUUUCGGACCGGUAACAUUCUCGACCACUUCAGUAGGAUGUUUCCAUCCGAAUUCAACGGCUUGCCAAACCCUCUCGUCGAUAGCAAUAAGAAACGCCCUCAUACGGACUUUCCAAUAAGCAUAGUUAGUUCCAUCGAAGAGAGGGGGUCGAUUGAUGUUACCGCCCUCAGCCAUGAGUUACAACCUAUACCCGCUCUGAUACCACUUGUAAGUUAUGGAUCCCGAGGAUCUAAAAGGUAAGUAACACCUAGAGGGGGGUGAAUAGGUGUAAAUCCGGCAAACUCGAAAAAUCUCGAUGCAAACAAACACAAUAGCGGAAAUUAAAAUAGCACACCGAGAAUUUAACGUGGGAAAACUCCAAUUCGGAGUGAAAAACCCACGGGACCGAUCACGCAAAGAAAAUCCACUAAGAAAACUUGAGUACAAGUGAUUUCGACCAAAAACACACGACUCAAUUUACCGAUUUCUCGUUGACGGUGAUCUUUGCCGGUCCUCGAUCGAUAGGAAUCCACCAAUCGACCUUGCUGCAACUCCUCGCAGCGUCAACGCCUCAACUCCUCGAAGCGUCCACCGAAUCCUCGGCUUCACGCGAGAUCCACGCGCCGAACCUCCUUCCGGAGCUUGUAGAAUCGAAGAUUUGUGGUGAUUUAAUCUUUGAAUACCAUAAGCUAUGAGGGUUCGUCUUCCAAUCAAAUAUCAACUUGAUUCUCAAAGAAGAUCUCGAGUAAAAUCGGCGAAUCACGUCGAUUGUUGAUUUUUCGAAACUUGUUAUGUGAAUAGAAUCAUCGAAACGGAAAAACAAGUUUCUAGGGUUUAGAAUCAGUAAAUAUUCAAAGCCUUAAACUUUAAGACAACCCCCAUAGCUUAUUUAUAUAUUUAGAAGACUUAGAAGUAGACUAGGAUUGCAAAAAGUCCUUUUUAAAAACCUGUGUCGUCCUCAGGGACUGGUCCUCUCGAGGAGACCGGUUUGUGAGAGACCGGUCCCUCAAGUGCGGAACCGGUCCCUCGCUGCGUGACCAAAAUCACAACGUUCGGGAACCGGUCUCUCAAGCUUGAGACCGGUCCCUCGCUGCGCGACAGAUUUACCAAGGUUCGGGAACCGGUCUCUCAUCUCAGGGGACCGGUUGCAUCAAAACACACACAGUGAGGACCUUAGGGGAACCGGUCUCUUGAACUCAGGGACUGGUCCCUGAACACAGAAAAGUUCAGUAAAAUAUUUUUAAAGCAAUCUAAGCCUUCUGAACUUAUUCUAAUUAAGUAUCUUCACCACAAAUGAUCUUUUCCUCAUAUCUUAGGUGCCAAACUUUAUGAGUGAGUCUUUGUUCUUCAAUUUGGAUCUUCUCUUCAAUCUUCCGCAAUCAACUCUUCAAGACUCCAUUCAACAUUACGAAAUCUGCCAACCUAUAAAAUCCUUAACAGCAAUCCAAACGAUGUACAUUACAAUGGUUCCAACCAGGAACAAUAUCAAUCAAGAUUGCAUAAGGAAGUAUCACAACAUAACACAUCCUAUGUUAUUACAACAUUCACAUUCAUAUGCUUUAUAUCCCAACCACCAUUCUUUUACAUUAGACUUCCAAAUACAAUCUAAGUUAUUACAUCAUAGAUAUUACAAGUUUAAUACAUUUUGUUCCUUUCAUUUUCUAUACCCCUAAGCUACGUCGACGGGGUACUGCUAGCUCUGGUCUUUGGGGGUAGGGCGCUAUCUAUGGAGCUACGCCCUUGCCUCGCGCCGCCGCGCCGCUCACGUGCGAACCUGUAAAACCCCAAAACAACGUGGGGUGAGAACCAACUCCAUGGUUCCCAGUGGGUACGGCCACCCAAGGGAGGAGCUCGACCAACAGGUCCAAGGGAGGCAAAUACAAGUUAGUCCAAUAAACAGAUAGAUAUGUAUAUCAUAAACAUGCAACUAACUUUACCUUGCUUUGCCUCACAACUGCAACGAUGCCAUGCUAUAUGCAACAGGAAUAUAUGCAACAUGAAUAUAUGCAACAACUAGUAGAAUUAUUGAUUCUACAAUCAAUCUCGCUAAUCUUAGCUCAUGUCAUCCAACUCUAAGGUUUCCACUACCUUAGGUUAUCACAUUUACCACUAGCCCUCAAGGUUCUAUCUACCUUAUUCCAGCUAGCCACCCGACUCGGCCUCGAGUCAAUCAACAGCGGAUAAUCCGCGCUCUGCCCGGCUCGAGGUGAAGGAUCCUGUCGCAUGCACCUCAGCCUGCAAGCCAAGAACCACAUCGCCCAACGGUCCGCCCGAAGGUCCGUGCACCGUGGUCAGGGAUCCGCUAGUGGGAGAGGAAACAUAGCCGCGUACACCCAUAGCCAAGAUCCCCGAUAGGGAGAGGAACAUGCCGUACACCCUAGCGCUCUUUGUUCUUGCUUAGUCAUAAUCCUCAAAGUUCUUUCCGGUGGGAGAGGAACAUCGCCGCAUACACCCGCGGUCCAAGAACUAUUGAGUUCACAAGUACUGGGAUUCCGGAAUCGACUUCACAAGUCAAGGGUCCAUAUCCAACCCUAUACUAUUGACCUAUCUAGGUCCAAUGCACUUUCCACCCUAGGUCCAACUGACUCUAGGUCUAAUGCCUCAAUUUCACAACCUAGGUUUACCUUAACUCUAGGUUCAGUUCUCAACCUAUGUUCUUUAACACUAGGUUAGAUGCCACACACCUAGAUCCCGACUCUAGGUUCAUACUCAACCUAUGUUCUUUAACACUAGGUUAGAUGCCACUCGUUAUUUAUCCUAGGUUCAACAACACUAGGUUCGAUGUCAUCUAUGUCCGACCUAUGUUUAUUAACACUAGGUUUAAUGCCACUCGAUCUACUUGACGUCCUAUUGUCAUAUCGAGUACUAUAGAUAUCCACAUUUCAUCUCGCAUACAUUCUAUGAUGCCAAUAUGCAUUUACUAUCUAGCAUGAACUCAUAAUGCUAAGUGCAACUAGCAUAUAUUCCAAUACACACAUACAUAUCAUUUUACAUGGAUCUACUUAGCAUUUGCAUCAUAUUAUUAACAUGCAUUAUUUACAUUUAUAUGCAUCAUCUAUAUGCCUCAUUUACAUUCAUAUGCAUCAACAUGGAUUCUUAAUCAUCUUAGACAUAAAGGGCGACCUAGUCGCUUCGGUAAACAUAACCCACCUUAACUCGCGUUUCGAUUGCUCGUCGACACUUGCAAUCGGCCUCCCGCGGCACUCGGCACCCGUUUGGGCCCGAUCUCAUAGUUGCUCUCCAAGAGCGCGUCGCUUCGCCGUUUCAAGUGCUAACGGUCUUCGCCUCGCCGUUACGAUGCUCGGGACCCGAUUUCACGAUUUAUGGACGUCGCCUCGGCCCUCCAGGCGGAAACGAAGCUCCAAGCGUCCGUUUCUUCAAUAUCUUUGUAACGGCUCGUCGGAUUGCCGAACCGUUUUUGCCAACGUGUUUCGUUACCUACCAAUUAGGUUUACGAAGGGUCAAAUGAGAUCAAACUCAUCUAUUUAUAAAAAUCUCAUUUUUGAUGCCCUAGAUGCUACUAUUGCAAAAUACCCCAAAUCGAUCUCCGAUUUAUGCAAUAAACAUCUAUCUAGGAUCAAAGGAGCCUACUAAAUCCAUUUCUAGAGCAUUUAGACCUAUCUCUAGAGAUCUACCAUUAAAGGGAGUAGCAAGCUUACCUCUCAAGCUAGCCCGAUGGAGAGGAAGAAGGUGAGAAGAUGAAGCUCCACCUUGCUCUUCUUCUUCUCCACCAUCUCCUUCUCAUCCUUCUUUUUCUUCUUCUUCUUCUUCUCUUCUUUUUCGUUUAGAAAGAGAGAGAGAGAGAUGAAACGGUGAGGGAAAGAGAGAGAGAGGUGUUCUAACCCUCUUUAUACACUUAACCCAUGCCACAAUUGCAUAUAAGUCCCUCAACAAUGCCUCUCUUGCAACAGCCCGAACUGGGCAUUUUUAGGGAUCUGGGACCGGUCUCUGCAUGAGGGACCGGUCCCUGAGAGACCGGUCUCUCUGCCUGGGACCGGUCUCAGAGAGACCUCCAGCCCAGACUUAGCCAAUUUUCAGCUUCGUCCGUUUUCGCUCCGUUUUCGCCCGUUUUCGUUCGUUUGACCUCCGAUUCGUCUCAAAUCGAAUCGAGACUCUCCAAACAUGUUUUCAUCAUCUUUCCAUCCUCGCUAAUGCGGGAUUUAGCUCACGGCCCAACUUAGCCUUUCGAGUUCUGUUUCCGCGCCUACGCGCACCGAAACGCCCGAUUGCUCCCGAACUUCACCGAACUUCACACCGGAACCAUUCAAAUAGCUCUCCAAUCGAAUGUACACCGUAACUUAAUAGUUUUAGAAGUCCGGUACCUUACAUUUGCGGUAGGCUGUGACGGUAGCCAGGCUGAUGUGCAGCCAGUGCGCGGACUAUCCGCGGAUGAUUGACUCGAGGCCGAGUCGGGUGGUUAGCUUGAUUAGGUUAAUAGAAACCUUAUAAGCUAGUGAUAAAGGUAAGAGCUAAAGUUAGCAAAGUAAAUGUAAAAUUAACAUAUCUACUAGUUGUUUAUAUAGAUGCAUAGUUGCAUAAUAUUCCUGUUGCAUAUUGUGAGGCAAAGCAUGAUAUAUGUUAGUUGCAUUUAAAUUAUGAUUUCAUAUCUAUCUAUUGAACUAACNCGAGCUCUUUCCUUGGGUGGCCGUACCCACUGGAAACUAUGGACAAUAGUUCUCACCCUACGUGGUUUUGGGGUUUCAGGUUCACACGCGAGAGGCGCAGCGGCGCGAGGAAAGAGCAUAGCUUCGUAAAUAACGCCCUACCAUUGAGACCAGAGAUAGCGGUACCCCGAGUCAGCCUACCUAGGGGUGUAGAAAAAGAAGGAAAGCAUUAUUUAUGAAAUCUUGAUUGUAUUUGGAAGAAGAGAAAAUGAAAAUGUAAUAUGUAAAAAGCAUGUGAUGUGAAUGCUUGUAAUAGCUUAGUUAUUUUAUGUUUUUGAUACUUCCUUAUGCAAUCUUGGCCUGAAAUUUGUUCCUGGUUGGAACCUCACGCUUUGUAUUGAUUGUGACGCCUAGGAUGUACAGGAAAAACUUUAUCCGUUCGGCGGUCUGUUAGCGGGCUCGAAUCCGACCAAAUAGGCGGGUCGCGGGGCGUGACAGAUAAAGUAGUAUCAGAGCAUAAAGUAGAGAAUGGGCAAUAGUUUAGAUGGACCUAGGAGACCCUAGGAUAGUAAACCAUAGGAGAAUAAGGCUCGUGAGAGACGAGGACUUGCGACUUAUGGUGAAAGGUUCAUUGAUUGGGUUGUGUUGAAACCUCUUUGACGGAUAUUAGAGGUAGACUCGAGGUGUGGUUCAUUCUCAACCGAGGGUGUUCAUGUUGGGUGCACACAACAUGAAACUGAGUGAUGAGAAUAGACGGCCUUGCGUGACUUUCGCCCGAUUUGAGUCAAUGUUAAAUUGUCUCGUGCUUGACCCAGAGGGUUGAGAAUUAAUUGAGUUGUCGUAUUUCAGGGAACGAUGGCACCGCGUAGGCGACCUUCGUCUAGAUCGAUGCGGGAUGGGACAGGUGAUGUCCCUGAGCAAUCCGAGGUGAGUGGGGACUCGGUGCUCCGCGAGCAGAUGAGUACGCUCAUGGGCGUAGUGCUGCGACAGGAGGAGCAGAUCAAGGAGCUCCAUGAGUUAUUGGCACGACAGACUGCGGCGGCUGCGCCGGUAGCAGCGUGCCGUGUACCGGCAGGAGUGGCGAUGGAUUCAGGGAUAGUGACCUCUGAUUCUGUGGAAAUGGAGGCGGAGAAAGAGCGGGCUUUGACGGCCCUAAUGACCUUCAAGAAUUUUGAUCCGCCUGUCUUCGAUGGAGAGAAUGUUGAUCCAUGGAUCGUGGAGAUGUGGAUUGAAUCUAUGGAAACGCUCUUUGAGGAGCUGUACACCUUGGAGCGGAACAAGAUGCCCCUAGCUGUGCAUUGCUUGAAGCAGUCGGCAAAGGUGUGGUGGAAAGGCAUUCGACAGAAUCGAUCGCCUGGUCUCCCUCCUAUGGUAUGGGAUGAGUUUCGGGGAUUGGUGUUUUCGACUUACUUCCCCGACACUGAAAAGAGAAAGCUUCAGGAUAGGUUCAGGAAACUGCGGCAAGGAGACCGCUCAGUGAGAGAGUACGAAUGGGAAUUCUCUCGUAUCGUGAACUGUGUCCCGGAUGUGGUACGGAAUGACAAGGAUAUGGCCAAUUGGUUCCUGCAUGGACUUCGACCGGAGAUUUACGAGAGGGUGCAAAUUCUUAGGCUCACGACCUUCACGGAGGUGUUGGAUCGAGCGUUGUUGGCAGAGCACGGUGAUGCUUUCGUGCGCGAGAAGCACGAGUCUUCUAAGCGUCAGCGGGAAGGGGUGAAGCCACUAUCGAGAGAUUCAGGUGGACAAUCAAGUUCCAGGCGCCACUCGAAGUCGUCCUCUAGCCGAUCCUCCCCAGGAUGCGUGAUUUGUGGUGGUUCCCACUGGGCUCGGCGGUGUGUGCUGCGCGAUGGUAGAUGCCUUCGUUGCGGGCAGCCGGGCCAUGUACGGGACGAUUGUCCGCAAGGGUAUAAUCAGACCCUGACACGGGCGACGGCCUUUUCCUCCCCAGGACAGCCUGUAGGUGUGCCACCUGCGGCAUGGUCGCAAGCGCGACCGUUGAGAAUGAUGCCACCGAGGGGCUCGCGGCGGGCAGCGGGUGACCGUGGAUACGCGACUGAGGUGGAGGAACCUAUUACUGCUGACACUGUCAUGGCAGGUACGAGUUAAUUAAGCAAGCAUAUGCUUCUACCUAAUAUUGGACUGUUGCAUAGCAUGCAUUUAUCAUAUGGUCAGCAGCUACUAUUUACAUAUUGCAUAAUAGGGACCGAGUGGUCGUGUAGGUAGACACCCGAGCAUGCUUGCAUCGUGAGAGUGUAGCGCUUGCUGGAGCAGGUAGAGAGCCAUGUAGCACUAACAAAUUGUUAGUGAUGGUUCCUGGACAAGAAAUGAGACUCGCGGUGAACGUGAAACGGUGGAGCAGCUCUCAAAGCAAUAAGAACCAGAUUGCGAGAGUUGCGCCGUGACAUUGAGGAUACCUUGAUAGUUCGAGCAUUUUGAAUAUGGUUCGGUAGAUCGAACAGUGAGAGUUGGAUCACUGUUGAGAAAAUAGCCGGAUAGUUACCGAGCACGAGCAUGUGGGCCUAAUAACACCCUGAGUUGAGGUGGGCGAGUAGUGCUCGUGUAGUCGGUGUGCAUAGGCAGGUGGCCUACUGCUUGGCUUAGUUGAAACGCUAUAGAGGCGUAGAGCGCUCGAGUAUAGGUACUCGUAGAGCAUAUUGUGUAGGACGACGUUGGCGGGUAUUGCUUGGGGACGACCCAUGUCUGGACCCUUUGUGGACUGUGGAGCCUGGGCCCAUUGGGCAAGCGCAGUCAGCUGUGAGAGACAGCGGCCCGGUACCUAUAGGUAGGGCAGAGAGUUGGUCAGGACGGUAGUCCGAGCUUAGACCCGGGUGCGUGGAAUGCCACGUGUUGGAUCGUGAGAUCGAGGAUACACCUAGUGUGUUGUGACCCAACCCGAGGACUUGACGUGGUUUGGGGUCUUGGUUGCUCCUGUUUGGAGUGAGUGCGAAUUCCCAAGUGAGAAUUUCGCUCGAAAAUUGAGAAUUGGGUCUACGUUGCGAGCGGGAAAUGCUACGCGUAGUGGAGACACGUUAGGCGAUAGACCUAUGUAGUGUUUGGGCCCGUUGGUUCACCUGUGGAAGCCGACGUAAUCGGUUUAGCCGAUAACUCCGUGGAGGAGUUGGUGCAAGAAGAUGAAUUCUCGAAAUAUGAGAGUUGAACUUCGCUCGAGAUCGACUAAUUGUCGAGUGGGAGUGCUUCGCAAAAGCCGAAGAGGUCAAAUGCACCAAAAGUGCAUUGCAAUGGAGUCCGCGAGAGCAAAUUGUGCAAAAAUCUACACUUGGCAGAUUUGCUCUCGGGGACCGGUCCUGGGCAGGGAAGGACCGGUCAACGUCGCUGGUGGUUGCGGGGUUGCGUGAUGCAACCGGUCCCUGGGUCAGAGGGACCGGUCCCCGUAAACGUAACCAGCGAGAAGAGGAAAUUGGCUAAGUCCUGCGAGAGCAAGCUCUCGGGGACCGGUCUCUGGUGGACGGACCGGUCUCCGGGGGAUCGGUCCUCUAAGGGCAGACCGGUUCCCAUAGGUGUGUUCAGGCUGAAGGCUCUCGGGGACCGGUCCCUUAUCGGGAGAAUCGGUCCCUCUGCACAAAAAUUGCCCAGGCAGGCUGGGUUAUGUUGGAGGAAUUGGGGAACUUGAGGAUAAUGCUCUAUUAUGGAUUCAGAAUCGAGAUGCGCCGGAGUGGACCAUCUCUUGAUAGAGCAAGGAUCCAAAUGUGAUUUGAACACUCACGAUGAAGCGAUGCACAAUGAUAUUGCCUUCAAGCAAGGAUGGUAAUCGAAUUGUAAUACUCUGAGGGGAAAGUAAAUGCAAAGAAAAGUUCUUGCAUGUCAAGUGGUGAAUGGUGUUGGAGCGCAUGGUGUUGUUGAGUUUCAACUUGCGCUACCAUCAAGAAUGACGGAGACCCGUAAUGCACUUUUGGACUUACACACGGCAAAUGUGAGUAAAUUUAGUCUCACGUCCUCCGUAGUGGGCUUUUGGCUAGUUCCAAUAAGCGAAAGGCCACUCCGAGAUGCAAAAGUGCAUUGUACCCCCUUGUCACUCAAUAAAGAGAAUUAGAGUGUGAAUUGGGUUGAAGUGAGUGAGUUUCGGGGACGAAACUCUUAUUAAGGAGGGGAGGAUGUAAGGUACCGGACUUCUAAAACUAUGAAGUUACGGUGUAUAUUUAAAUGGUUCCGGUGAGGUUGCGGUGGAACGUAACAUACUGGAUUUUAAAUAUAAAAGUGAAAAUAAAUAAAAAUAGUAUGAGAUAUUAUUUUUAUUGGAUUUAGAGAACUGAAAUAUAAGUUGGGAAUGACCUGUGCUGAAAUCGGAGCGAAAACAGAAGAUUUAGAAUUUUCUGUAAGAAACGGGGCAGAUAAAUUAGCAGAAAAUGCAUAGUGUCAGAAAAUUAUGAAAAUUGGCAGAGAUGUCAGAAAUAUUUUUAUGAGGCUAGAUUUAAAGUUUCAUAUUUUUCUGACACCCGUAGAGUGAGAAAUAAAAUCCGAGGUUUAUUUGAUAAAGAUUACAGUUCGGCACAGUUUUCAGUGACCAAACGAGGUCGAAACUGAAAACUUAAGAUAUAUUCUUACUCAGUACGUUAAACUGAGUCUGCCUGUCAAAUUUGAGCCCAAACGGACAUUUAGAAGGACUCCAACUGUUCCGAACUGCUAAACUGUCUGGAGUGAAUAGUGUUUUGGGUGUUAAUGUAUAUAAGAUGCAAUGUGCUUCUUCUUCCUCUCCUUCAGCCCGAGCACCCACAACGCACGCACGCAUGGAAAGAGAAGAGAAACUCUCCUUUCUCUCUCUAGAGAUCUCUCUCAUUUCUCUAUAUCUCUCGAUCAAAUUCGCGGCGUUGGCGGAGAAGAUGCUCGCGAACGCGUUGGGAGCGACGGGUCGAGUUUUCGUGCGCCCGUUGGAGCGGUGUGUUUUCGUCGCGGCGUUCACAUUAUGGUAAGCUUUUGGGAUUUGGCUUAAUCCUUCACAUUAAGUGUUCUAAUAGCCUCUAAUGAGCUUAGUUGGCAUGUUGCUCCAUUUAAUUUGGAUUAUAUGAAGGUUAAUUCAUGUUAGGGCUCAAAAAUGGAGUUUUGUGAAAUAUAAGGGUUUGAUCUCAUUUGACCCUCCGUAAACCUAAUUGCUAGGUAAACGAACGCGUUGGCGAAGAUGGUUCGGCAAUCCGACGAGCCGUUACAAAGUUAUUAAAGAAGAUAAAGUAGUACAGAGGCAUAAGAUAGAGAAUUGGGCAAUAGUUUUAGAUGGACCUUAGGAGACCCUAGGAUAGUAAACCAUAGGAGAAUAGCGCUCGUGUAGAGACGAGGACUGCGACUUACUGGUGAAAGGUUCGAUUGAUUGGGUUAGUGUUGGAACACCUUUGAGGAUAUUAGAGGUAGACUCGGGGUGUGGUUCAAUUUUCAACGAGUGGUUUAUGUUGGGGUGACACAACAUGAAAUUGAAUGUGAUGAGAAUAGAGCACUUGCGUGACUUUCGACCCGAUUUGAGUCAAUGUUAAAUUGUCUGUGCGUUGACCAGAGGGUUGAGAUAUAUGAGUUGUGUAUUUCAGGAACGAUCGGCACGCGUAGGAGCGACCUUCGUGUAGAUCGAUGCGGAAUGGGAAGGUGAUGUCCCUGAGCAAUCGAGGUGAGUGGGGACUCGGUGCUCAGCGAGAGAUGAAGUCGUCUCAUGGCGCGUAGUGCUGCGACAGAGGAGCCAGAUCAAGGAGCUCCAUGAGUUUUGCACGACGACUGCGGGCGGCUUGCGCAGUAGCAGCGUGCGGCUUGUACCACGAGGCAGCUGGCGAUUUGGAUUCAGGGUAGUGACCUCUGAUUCUUGUGGAAUGCGGGUAGCGAGAAGUAGCAGGGCUUUGACGGCCCUAAUGCUUCAAGAAUUUUGAUCGCCUGUUUCGAUGGAGAGAAAUGUUGUCCAUGUGAUCGGUGGAGAUGUGGAUUGAAUCUAUGGAAGCUCUUUGAGGGAAGCUGUACACCUGUGGAGCGGAAACAAGAUGCCCUAGCUGCUGCAUUGUUGAAGCAUGUCCGGACAAGGGUGGGUUGGAAGGCAUUCGACGAAUCGAUCGCUGGUCUCCUCCAUAUGGUAUGGAUGAAGUUUGGGGGAUUGUGUUGUCGACUUACAUUCCCGACACUGAAAGAGAAGCUUCAGGUAGGUUACAGGAAGCUGGCAAGGAGACGCUCAGUGAAGAGAAGUGAUGGAUUCUCUGUAUCCGUGAACGUGUCCGGAUGUGGUAGGAUAUCGACAAGGAUGAUGGGCCAAUUGGUUCCUGGAUGGAUUCGACCGGAGAUUUACGAGAGGUGCAAAUUUUAGGCUCACGACCUACUGGACGCGCUCUUGGAGUCGAGCGUGUUGGCCAGAGGCCGGGUGAUGCUUUCUGUGGCGAGAAGCAGAGUCUCUAAGCGUCAGCGGAGGGUGAAGCAAUAUCGAUGAGAUUGCAGGGUGAGACAAUCAAGUUCAGGCGCCACUGGAAUCGUCCUCUAGCCGAUCCUCCAGGGAUGCGUGUGAUUGUGGUGGUUCCACUGGCUCGAGCGUCAAGCGUGUGUGCUGCGAUGGUAGAUGCUUCGUGUCGGGCAGCCGGGAUGUACGGGACGAUUGGACCCAAGGUAUAAUCGAGACACCUGACCUGGCGACGGCCUUUUCCUCCCCAGGACAGCCUGUGGUGUCCACCUGCCGCAUGCGCUGCAAGCAGCGGACCGUUGAGAAUUAUGCAACGAGGGGCUCGCGCGGCAGCGGGUGACGUGGAUACGCAGACUGUAGGUGGAGGAAACCUAUUAUGCUGACCUGUCAUGGCAGGUACGAGUUAAUUAAGCAACAUAUGCUUUACCUUAAUAUUGGACUGUUGCAAAUAGCAUGCAUUUAAUCAUAUGAGUCAGCAGCUAUAUUUAAUAUUGAUAUAGGCGACCGAUGUGUGUUUAGGUAGACACCCGAGAUCUGAGCGAGAGUUGGGAUAGCACUUGCUGAGCAGGCUAGAAGCAUGUAGCAGCUAACAAUGUUAGGUGGAUGGUUCUGUGACAAGAAAUGCAGAUCAGCCGUGAGCUGAAACGCGUUGGAGCAGUUUCAAUGCAAUGAAGACAGAUUGCGAGAGUUGCGCGUGAAAUUGAGGAUACCUGAUAAGUUCGAGCAUUUGAUAUGGUUCGGUAGAUUGAAAAGUGGAGUUGGAAUCACUGUGAGAAAAUAGUGAUAUGUACCGAGCACUGAGCAUGUGGGCCUAAUAACACAUGAGUUGAGGUGGCGAGUAGUUCUCUAGUGUAGUCGGUGUGCAUAGGGCAGGUGCCUACUGCUUUGCUUAGUGAACGCUAUAGAGGAGUAGAAGCGCUCGAGUUAUAGGUAUUCGUGAGCAUAUUGUGUAGGCGACAGUUGGGGGUAUUGAUAGUUGCAUAAUAUUCCUGUUGCAUAUUGUGAGGCAAAGCAUGAUAUAUGUUAGUUGCAUUUAAAUUAUGAUUUCAUAUCUAUCUAUUGAACUAACAAGUUGUUGCCUUCUUGGACCUAUCGGUCGAGCUCUUCCCUUGGGUGGCCGUACCCAUUGGGAACCAUGGAGUUGAUUCUCACCCCACGUUGUUUUGGGGUGUUUCAGGUUCGCACGUGAGCGGCGCGGCGGCGCGAGGAAAAGGCGUAGCUCCAUAGAUAGCGCCCUACCCAGAGACCAGAGAUAGCAAUACCCCAUCGACAUAGCCUAGGGGUUUGGGAAAUGAAAGAAUACAAUGUAUCAAUUUGUAAUAAGCAAAUGAUGUAAUAACUUAAUUGCAUUUGGGAGUUGGAUGUAAAGUAAAUGUAUUAUUGUGAAUGCAUGUAAUAACUUAGGAUGUGUUAUGUUGUGAUACUUUCCUUAUACAAUCAUGAUUGAUAUCUGUUCCUAGUUGGAACCCUUGUAAUGUUCAUUGUCUUGAUUGCGACGCCUAGGACGUACAGGGGAAGGUCUGUCCGUUCGGCGGUCUGUCGACGCACCCGAACUCGGCCAAAUAGGCGGGGUCGCGGGGCGUGACACAUGUUCCGACCCAAUCCUUAGCUAUCCACUUCACCAAGUAUUCCAUGUACACUUGGUUAACAUUUAGAAGCAUAAGGAAAAGGUACUACAAUGCAAUCCUAUAAUGCAACAUGCAAGAGAUGAGAUUAUAUGUUAUUCUAAGAUAUAAUAGAGAGUUCGGUUGCUUCGGGAUGACACCCCCCACCUUUUGAGGGUAUGAAGGUUCUAGAAAUGCUUCUUGCCGAACGUUACGACGAUGUCUCGGCCUUCUUGGUCCAAAACGGUGCUCAAUCGACUAUAUUUUGCCGAUAGCUUUUCACCCGCUCGACAAAUCGUAAAUCCAACUUCGCCCCGCGUUUAGACACCUAUCAAUUAGGUUUACAAACUAUCAAAUAAGAUUAAUCUCAUCAUUUAUCAAAAACCCCCAUUUGGGUGCCCUAGAGUUCACAUCUUGCAAUUUGCACUAUAGAACCCUAGCUUCUAGCUCUAUUCCACCAUUAAUGGUGCUAGAGGUCCAUUUGACCUCAUUUCCAAAGCCAAAAACCCAAAACCCUUAGUUCCACAUGCUAGGGUUUAGUAGCUUACCUCUUGAGCUACUCCAAAGGGAUGAAGAGGGAGAGAAGAAGGUGGUGGAGAUGAUCUUCUCCAAGCUCUCCUUCUUCUUCUUCUUCUCCUCCUUCUUCUUCUUCUCUUUCUUUCUUCUCCUUCUCUUUUCUGAGGGAGAGAGAGAGUGUGAGAGGGAGAGUUAGAAUGAGAGAGGGAGAGAAUGAUCUCCCCCCUAUACUCUCUAGCUAAUGGCAUUUUGCAUAAAAGCCCCUCCACUUUAACCUUCUCAACUUACUUUGCCUGGGCAGAUUUCGCGCGGAGGGACCGGUCCCUGGUCGGGAGGACCGGUCCUCUAGGACCUUCCCAAUUUUUACGCGUACGGGAACUGGUCCCUGCCCGAGAGACCGGACCCUUGAGGACCGGUCCUUCCCGAGAGACCGGUUCCCGAGAGCUGACCUCUCGGGACUUAGCCAAAUUUUUACUUCUCCCGUGAGUUUCACCGACGGGGACCGGUCCUUCAAACCUGGAGACCGGUUGCAUCAGGCAAUCCCGCAACCACCAGCUACGGGGACCGGUCCUUCCCUGCCAGGGACCGGUCCCCGAGAGCAAACUCUGCCCAGUGCAAACUUUUGUAUCUUUUGCUCUCGCGGACUCGACUCCAGAGCACUUUUCUGUUUUGGACAUCUCUAGCUUCUCCAAAGCCUACUCACUCGACAAUUAGUCGAUCCUGGAUGAAAUCCAACUCUCAAAUUUCAAGAAUUCACUUCCUUACAGUGUGUGUGCUGCUCGGUUGAGGAGGCAGGAGGAAGAAGAAAAGCCUCCCAAUACUUCACAUUCGCAGUUUAGCAGCUACAAACUGACGUUCUUCGCCGGAACCCUUCUGAAUUUCUGUUUGCGCUCAAAUUUGACAGUCAGACUUGGUUUUACUUAAUAAGUACAAAGAAAGUUUAAUCUUUCAGUUUCGACCAUGUUUGAUCACCGAAAGCUCUACCGAACUGUAAUCUCUAGCAGAUAGCAGUUGGAUUUUAUUUUCCACCUUCCGGGUGUCGGAUUGAUAUGAAACUUCAAAUCUAGCCUCAUAAAAAUAUUUCCGACAUAUUUUUUAAUUUUCAUAAUUUUUCGACAUUGUGCAUUUUCUGCUAAAAUAUCAGCUCCGUUUCUUAUAGAAAAUUCUAAAUCUUCUGUUUUCAUUCCAAUUUCAGCACAAGCUAUUUCUGACUUAUAUUUUACUCUCUAAAUCCAAUAAAAAUAGUAUCUCACACUAUUUUUAUUUAUUUUUGCUUUUAUAUCAAAAUUCGAUAUGUUACAUUCUCCACCCUUUAAAAAGAGUUUCGUCCGUGAAACUCCAAACACGUCUCAAUUUAGCUCUAAUGUGAGAUGGCCCACUCGGCGCAUCCAAUUCCAAUCCUCAAACUCCACGUGGCUUGCCACUAGCUCCAGGUCUCACCAAGAGCACUUCAUCUUCUGAUACCAUAUGCCACGGUCUACGUCCAAUUACUUUCGCAAUGAGCUCACACGAACGCUUUGUUCGUGAUUCCAAGUCAAACCCCUCGAUAAGGCUGUCCGCAAACUCGCUUUCCUCAAUUUCAUAGGUGGCCCACAGAUCGCCAAUGCCACAAAGGCCUAUCGUCUAAACCUGUCUCAACAUAUGCGCGGCGUCUCUCGCUCGCAAGCAUAGACCCAAUCAUUAUUGGGCGAAAUUCUCACUUCGGAAUUCGCACACACUCCAACCAGGAGCAACCAUGAUCCCAAACCGCAUCAAAUCCCCGGGUUGGGUCACAACCGAACUCUCGGUAUACUAUCGAUCGCACGACACGCUCUAUCGAGCACACGUAUCACUACCGGCUCCUAAGCACCUAGUGCGAGCCAUCCGCCCUAUGAGUAAUCCCUGGCACGCUUCACACCUAACAAAGCUCAAGUGCUACUGCCAACUCACUCACUCGGCUGAACCCAAUUCGCACUCCAUGAGUAACUCUACUCGAAUGUCAAACGCCUCUAUAGCGCUCCACACUAAGUCCAGCAUUAGGCAACUCUUGCCUACGCACGCCGACUUUACGAGCAUGACCCUCCUACCUCACAUCGAGGUACUACUAGGCUCACGUGCUUGCACUUGGUUACUAACCAACUAUUUCCCUCAACAGUGAUUCACUUUCACUUUUCGAUCUACCGGAACAACAUCCAAAUCACUCGGAUUACUUGAGUGUCCACAAGUGUAAUGACUCAACUCUCGCAAUCAAUUACUUACAUUGCUCCGCGAGUUGGUCCGCUAAUUCCAUCCCUACCACGAGUCCCAUUCCUUACAAUAAGACUCAUGCUCCUCCCCGCACAAUUGCACUGCCUCGUUCUAUCCACAAGGUCCAAUCUUCAAAUCUCCUCCAAUCCUUCUCCUACUCCUUUUCCUUGUUCCUUAGAGAGAUUUCUAGAGAGAGAAAGAGAGAGAUAAGAGAUGAGAGGUGUUUGCUGCUGUGGAGAGUAAAUAGAGGGUGUUAGGGGUUUAUAUAAGGUGCUACAAUAGCAACUAGACCCUCCCUCGUUCCAUAUUUGCAGCAGAUCUAUUUUUGCUGUCAGGUCCAACUUGUACCGGUACAAGGUAGGUUGUCACCGGUUACACGAUCUCGCAGAGGCAAACCCGAGAGCAAUCUGCUCGGGUUUAACACUUGGUACCGGUACACUUUCAGCUUGUCACCGGUUACAACACUUCGCAGAGGCAAGCCCGAGAGCUCCCUCUCUCGGUUUCCUAUAUGGUACCGGUACAACAUUGAUGUUGUACCGGUACAAAAUAUCCAGACUGCAGUUUUGGCACUUGUUCAGCUUCUAUUUACACCGAGCAAUGCUAAAACCUUCCUAACUUCUUCAGAACUCAAUUUUGACCCUUCCAAUAUUGUUGGAAUGUCAAUUGGACUUUGUCCAACUACUUCUCUCGACGCACUUUGGUCAACUUGACCGAGAGUGGUCUGACACGUCGAGGAUUCACUAAUCUCUCUACCACGAGUCUCACCUCUUGUCCAAGAAUAACUACUAGCAAUUUUCUAGGGCCGUUCUGCUCUCUACCUGCUCUAGCAGGCACCACACUCUCACAAUGCAAGCAUGCCCGGGUGUCUCCACUUACCCGUCACUGGGUCCCUAUUAUAAUAAUGUAUCGAUGGUAGUAACUGACCAUCUAAUGGAUGUAUGCAAUGCAUCUACUUAAGAUCAUGUAAAAGCAUAUGCUUGCCUUAGCCAAAUCAUACCUGCUAUAUCUUUGCCAGCAGCAGCAGGUUCCUCAACCUGGGUCGCAUAUCCAUGGCCACUUGGCGCUCGCCACGAACCCUCCGGUUGCAUUGUCUUCAACAGCCGCUCUCCUGACCAUGCUGCAGGUGGCACACCCGCAGGCUGUCCCGUAGAGGAGAAGGCCGUCGCCAACGUCAAGGCCCGGCUCUCGCCUUGCGAGUACUCAUCCCGCAUAUGGCCCGGCUGUCCACAACGGAUACACCUUCCAUCACGCAGCGCACACCGCCGCGCCCGGUAGACACCACAAAUCACACAACCUGGGGAGGAUCGGGUAGAGGACGACUUCGGGUGUACUUGAUUGUCCAUCCAAAUCGCUCGACAGUGGCCUCACCCCUCCUCGCUCAUGCUUAUGAGAUUCGCGCUCCUCACGCACGAAAGCCUCGCCAUGCUCUACCCACAAUGGUCGAUCCAACACUUCCGCGAAAGUGGUGAGCUUGAAGAUCUGCACCUUCUUGUAAAUAUCUGGUCGAAGUCCAUGUAAGAACCAAUCGGCCAUAUCCUUGUCAUCCCGUACCACAUUCGGGACACAAUGCACGAUACGGGAGAAUUCCCGUUCGUACUCCCUCACAGAGCGGUCUCCCUGUCGCAGCUUCCUGAACUUGUCUUAAAGCUUUCUCUUCUCACAAUCGGGGAAGUACGUAGAAAACACCAAUCCCCGAAAACUCUCCUAAGUCGUGGGAGGAAGACUAGGCAAUCGGUUCCGCCGAAUGCCUUUCCACCAUGCCUUUGCCGACUGUUUUAAGCAAUGCACGGCUAGGGGCACCUUGUCCCGCUCCAAGGUGUACAGCUCCUCGAAAAGCAUUUCUAUGGAGUCAAUCCACAUCUCCAAGAUCCACGGAUCGUUAUUCUCUCCAUCAAAGGUAGGCGGAUCAAACUGUUUGAAGGCCAUAAGGGCCGCUAUAAGGGCCGCCAAAGCCUGCUCUUUCUCUGCCUCCAUUUCCAUAGAACCAGGGGCCAUGGCCCCCGAACACGUCACCAUUCUUGUCGGUACACGGUACGCUGCUAACGGCGCGCUGCUACCGGUGCAGCCGCCGCAGCCUAUCGUGCUAACAACUCGUGGAGCUCCUUGAUCUGCUCCUCUUAUCAUAGCACUACGCCCAUGAGCGUACUCAACUGCUCGCGGAGCACCGGGUCUCCGCGCACCCCGGAUUGCGUAGGGACAUCACCUGUCCCAUCCCGUAUCGAUAUAGAUGAAGGUCGCCUACGCGGUGCCAUUGUUUCCUGAAAUAUGACAACUCAAUUAGUUCUCAACCUUCUAAGUCGAGUGUGAAACAAUUAACAACGACUAAAAUCGGGCGAAAGUCACGUAAGGGCGUCUAUUCUCAUCACUCGGCUUCAUGUUGUGUGCACUCAACAUGAACACCCUUCGUUGAGAAUAUCCCACACCUUGAGUCUACCUCUAAUAUCCGUUUAGAGGUUUCAACACUUGACCCAAUCCAUAAUCCUUUCGCCGCAAGUCACGAGUCCUCGUCUCUCUCGAGCCUUAAUCUCCUAUGGUUUACUAUCCUAGGGUCUCCUAGGUCAAGCUAAACCAUUUCUAUUAUUCUUUUAUGUUCUUUUUUUAUGCUCUGAUACCAUUAUUCUGUCACAGCCCGCGACCACCUGGCUAUUUAGCUGGGUGCGGACCACCGACAACACCGAACGGACAGGGGUUUCCCCUGUACUGCGGACAGAGUCUCCCCUGUACGUUCAAGGCUCAACAACAGUACAAUACAAGAGGUUCCAAACAGGAACAGUAUUCGUACACUGAUUGCAUAAAAAAGGUAUCAAACAACAUAAAACACCUAAAGUAUUACAUGCAUUCCCACAACAUGCAUUUUACAUCUCAAUUUUCAAUUUACAUUACAUUCAACUCCCAAAUGCAAUAAGUUAUUAUAUCUUCUUUUACAAGUUUGAUACAUUUGUGUUCCUUUCAUUUUCCCUAUACCCCUAGGCUAUGCCGACUCGGGGUACCGCUAUCUCUGGUCUCUGGGGUAGGGCGCUAUCUAUGGAGCUACGCCCUUGUCUCGCGCUGCCGCGUCGCUCACGUGCGAACCUGUAACACCCCGAAACAACGUGGGGUGAGAACUAACUUCAUAGUUUCCAGUGGGUACGGCCACCCAAGGGAGAAGCUCGACCAACAGGUCCAAAGGAGGCAACACAUGUUAGUUCAACAGAGAGAUAUAAUAUCACAAAUAUGCAACUAACAUUUACCAUGCUUUGCCUCACAAAUGUAACGAUGCCAUGCUGUAUGCAACAAUGCAACAACAGAAAUAAAUCUACUGAUUCUACUUUUAUCUCGCUAUCUAGCUCAUAUCCAACUAGCCUCUAAGGUUUCUAUUACCAUAGAUUCUUCACAUUUACCACUAGCCCUCAAGGUUAUAUCUACCUUAUUCCAGCUAGCCACUCGACUCGGCCUCGAGUCAAUCAACAGCGGAUAAUCCGCGCUCUGCCCGGCUCGAGGUGAAGGAACCCUCACAUGCACCUCAGCCUGCAAGCCAAGAACCAUAUCGCCCAACGGUUCGCCCAAAGCUGCGUACACCGUGGUCAGGGAUCCCACGGUGAGAGAGGAACAUGCCGCAUACACCCCGCAGCCGAGAUCCCCGAUAGGGAGAGGAACAUGCCACAUAUACCCUAGCGCUCUCUGUUCUUGCUCAAUCACAAUCCUCGAAGUUCUUCCGGUGGGAGAGGAACAUGCCACAUGCACCCGCGGUCAAGAACUGUCGAGUUCACAAUUCCUGGGAUUCCAAAAUUCACUUCACAUAGCUCAAGGGUUGGUCUCAAACCCUAUAGUAUUGACCUAUCUAGGUCCGAUGUCCUUUCCACGCUAGGUCCAACUGACUCUAUGUCACGCCCCGAUGCCGCUACCAAUUUGGUCCGGUUCGGGCGCGUCGAACAGACGCCGAACGGACAGCACCUCUCCUGUCCGCCCAAGGCUAAACAACCAGAUCAUGUACAAAUAAGCGCCCAGAAAUGCUUAGAUAACAUACAUGAUCGAACAUAGCGCACACAAGUGCAAUACAUCUAAGAGCAAGAACCACAAGUAAUAUACUAGUGUAUAAAGAGAGAUAGUCUAACUAUUACAUUCAUUCAAUAGUUACAUCAUUUGAUUGCAUUACAUUUUUCAUCUACCAAAAUGUAAAUACAUAUUUUCCUCAAAAUACAAGUAGCUCUCCCAUAUCUAUCCAAACAUCAUCUAGUACACGAGGGUACUCUAAUGCAUAAAGGAAAAGCUACCAACUAAACUCACUUAGGGCGCUAUGCCCUUACCGCGGUCCUCGCUUGACUCGCCUCUGUGUGUACCUGUACCCCAAAACCACACGGGGUGAGAACUAUAUAAAUAUAGUUCCCAGUGGGUUCGGCCGCCGACGCCGCCGGUUUUCCCACUAGGUCUAAGCUGGCACAGAUAGAGAGAUAGAUAGAUAUAUAAAGAUAAACUGCAACUACUCUAUCAUGCCACCAAUGAUAAUAAUGCAUGCAACAACUACUAUCAUGCUAGUAUCAUGUCAUGAGUAUAUAAAGGUGCAUAGUAAUGUAAACUACAACAUACACUAUGUCUACUCAAGGUAAUAAUGCAAGUCUACUAUGCAUUUCAUGUUUCUUACCCAAUUCACUUGGUUAACCCGAAGGUUAAACCCUCGACUCACUCUCAAUCUCAUAGGUGAGGAGAAGCUGCACUCGCACACCGAGACCGUCUGCGGGACAACUACGUCUGCCCCUAGUGAAGUACUCCGGAGACUCGUGCUUCGAUGGAGCGACCACCGACAAGCAAAACAGACUAGUGAGUAUGAUCCAAUCCUCUCAAGAGGAUACCCUGUCUACUAGGGUCAAUGUGCCUCUGCUGCACAGUCAUGAUAUAUAAUCAAUGUUGGGACCUCUACUAUCCCUAGGUUCAUGUCAAGUUUACUACACUAGACUCAAUGCCACUCGUUCGAUCAUUGUAGUAAGUUUUCUACUAAUUGACAUGCCACUCGUUCAAGUUUAGUGUCUCUACUACACUAGUUCAAUGCCUCUCUACUAGGCUAUGUCCAAGUUCGGCUCUUUAUGCCGCUAUAGGAUUCUAUGCCAUAAGACCCAAUCCUCAUGCUACCCUAGUCUAGGUGUUCAACUCAUAAGUACACUACUAAGAAGCAUGCAAGGAAAAAGGAAAUAUACAUUUAUUAAUCCUAUAAUGCAAUAUGAUCAACACAUAUGUAACUUAGACAUAAAAAGAAACCCGGAUGUUCCGGAACGACACCCCCCACCUUUUGCGUAUAAGGAGGCUCUAGAAGUGCGCUUCGGCGUCCUUUACGACGAAGCCUCGGUCUUCUUGGUCCAAAUGAUGCUCAAUCGGCCUUAUUUUGCCGAUAGCUCUUGACCCGCUCGACGAAUCGAAAUUCCGACUUCGCCCCCGCGUUUAGGCACCUACCAAUUAGGUUUACAAGGCCUCAAAUGAGAUCAAUCCCAUACUUUACCGAAAAACCCUAUUUUGGUGCCCUAGGGUUAGCAUCAAGCUAAACCCAUCUCAAAACCCUAGAUUCUAGCUCUAAUCCUUCCAUUCAUGGUGCUAGGGAUCCAUUUGAUCCCAUCCAAAGAGCUAAAACCCAAAAACCCCAAAUCUCACAAGCUAGGGUUAGAAGCUUACCUCUAGGUUAGCUUAAAAGAGAGAAGAGAGGAUGAGGGAGAAGUCCAAAAGCCUCCUUUUGUUGAUCUCCUUCUUCUUCUCCUUCCCUUUCUUCCUUCUUUCCUUCUCCUUUCUUCUUCUUCUUCUUUUCUCCUUCUUUUCUAGAGAGAGAAAGCAAGAGAGUGUGAGGGAGGGAGAGAGAGUGAACUGAGAGAGAGUGAGAGGGAGAGAGGGACUAAUAAGCCCUCUAAUGUAACAAUAUCCAGCUGGCCCCCUCCACUUUUCACUCUGUGCGCAGCCCUCACUGGGCGUUCUGCGCGCGGAGGGACCGGUCUCCCCGACUUGGGACCGGUCCCCGAGAGCUUCAGCUCGGGUCACGCGUUCGGGUACCGGUCUCUCCCAGAGAGACCGGUCCUCGGGAGACUGGUUCCUUCCUAAGAGACCGGUUCCCGAGAGCUGGGACUUCAGGACUUAGCCAAUUUUUGGCUUUUCGUGCUGGGAUCGCGUUCGGGAACCGGUCCCUCACUGCCAGGGACCGGUUGCCUCAAGCAACCCCCGCAACACCAGCCGAUGGGACCGGUCUCUCCCUGCCAGGGACCGGUCCCCGAGAGCAGUUUUGCUCCAGUGCAGAUUUCGCACUAUUUGCUCUCGUGGACUCGUUUCCAAUACACUUUUGGUGAUUUUAAUAUCUUUGGUUUUUCCCAAAGUACACCAACACGACCCUUGGUCGAUUCGGGAUGAAGUCAAAUCCUCGUAUUUCGAGAAUUCACUUCCUCACACUCUAGGUUCAAUGCCUCUAUCAAAUAACAUAGGUUUACUUGAACUCUAUGCUCAAUUCUCAACCUAUGUUCUCAACACUAGGUUAAUGCUACACACCUAGAUUUAGUUAACUCUAGAUUCAUUCUCAACCUAUAUUCUUUAACACUAGGUUAGAUGCCACUCAUGAUUCACCCUAGGUUCAACAACACUAGAUUCAUAUCCGACCUAUGUUUAAUAACACUAGGUUCGAUGCCACUCGAUCUAUUCGACACCUAAUUGUCCAUAUCGAGGUUUAAAGCUGCACUGUCACGCCCCGCCCCCAAACCACUACCAAUUUGGCACAAUUCGGGCGCGGCGAGCGGACCACAGAAAACGGACAGCACCUCCCCUGUCCGCCCAAGGCUCACAACAAGAAUGUGUACAAGAAUUUUUCAGAAAUUUAAAUUCUAAACAUACACAUUUAACGGGGCACAAAUAGUGCAAGCAAUUACAAGAGCAAGUAAUCCACAGGAAUAACAUGUGAAAUAAAGAGAGUACUUUGCUAACUAUUACAAUAGUUCAUUCUUUUCAUUUACAUCAUUUUCUUUAAAUGACUAUAUCUUUCAUCCAAAAUACAUAGCUCUCCAAAUCCUCACCUACAAUGAAUCUCUCUCAAUACAUAGGUGUACUAAUGCAAAAAGGAAAGCUACUAUACUACCACGGUCUUACUGGUCGGGCGCGAUGCCAUUGCCGCGGUCCUCUCUCGGCAGCCCAGUACCUACCACUAGAAAUAGAGUAGGGUGAGAACUAUCUUCCAUAGUUCCCAGUGGGAUCGGCCGCCGACUCUGCCGAUCUCCCUACUAGGUCCGAGUGGGCACAAGCAACAACAGAUAGAUAGAUAGAUAGAUAUGUAAAUGCGAUAGUAGGAAAACUAUGCUACUAUGCUCAUAAUCAUGUGUAAUGAAUGUAUGCAUCAUAUAGCAAAGGUUUACUAUCAUGCUAACAAAUUUGAUCCAUGUUCGAAUAAUAAUGUUCAAUGAUAUUGUUCACUGUUCUUUUACCCAAUCUGUAGCGAAGCCCUUGGGUUCGCCAAUAACUCACAUUUCAAUCCCAAAGUGGGGAGGGAGCUCCAAGUGCACCCAAGCCCGGGACCGUCUGUGGACCUCCAUGUGGUCCGGACCUCCAAGAGGUCCUAAUCGCCCGACACUCCGGAGUACUCGACGACAAUCCCCUCCAUGUGGGGAUAUGGAUGUUUAUACCACCUCAAAAGCAGACUAUGAGCUAGAUCUAUCCUCUCCAAGUGAGGAUACCCUACAACUAGGGCCAACAACCCAAUCAAAUCCUCUCCAAGUAAGGAUGCCCUACAACUAGGGUCACCAUCUCAUUAACUCAUCAACAACCUCUCCAUGUGAGGGUACUUAGGUUUACUAAGUUCUUUAUCCACAAGACAUUUUCUAAGGGAUCCAUCUAUCCCUAGGUUCUCAAACCUCUAGUGUCAUUUACACUAUAUUAAUGCCACUCGUUAUUCUUUAAUAGUUGGAUGCCACUCGUUUGUUCUUUAACAUUAAACACUACUUUCUAUGUCACCAACCCCCAUCGGGUUCAUCUCUUUUCUCGCAUCAUAGGAUCUACGUUCCGACCCAAUCCUCACCUAUCUAAGUUACCAAAAGUUCCAAGUACACUAGGUUAUCAAUUAGAAAGCAUAAGUAAUGGAGCUACUAUGCAAUCCUACAAUGGAACAUGUAAGAGAUGAGAUUAAAUACAAUCUAAGACAUAGAAAUGAGUUCGAAAGCUUCGGGAUGGCACCCCCCACCUUUUAUCGAUGUAGAGGCUUUAGAAAUGUUCCUCGGUGAACUUUACGAAAAGGCUUUAGCCUUCCUUGGUCCAAGACAAUGCUAAAUCGGCCGUAUUUCGCCGAUAGCUCCCAAUCCACUAGUCGAAUCGUGAAAUCGACUUCGCCCCCGUGUUUUGUGACCUACCAAUUAGGUUUACAAGGCCUCAAAUGAGAUCAAUCUCAUACUUUACCAAAAACCCUAUUUGGGUGCCUUAGGUUUGCACCUAUAGCAAACCACCAAAUCAAUACCUUAGAUUCUAGCAUUGAUCUAUUUAGAAGCAUGCUAGAGGUCCAAUUGACCCAUUUCAAAAGCUCAAAGCCCAAAAACCCUAAGUUCUACAAGCUAGGGUUUAUAGCUUACCUCUUGAGCUACACCAAUGGAGAGGAGAGGAAGAGAGAAAGAUGCUCCAAGCCUCCUCUAGCUUGAUCUCUUUCUUCUUCUCCUUCUUCUCCUUCCUUUCUUUCUUUAUCUCCUUCUCUUUUCUUCUUCCCCUUCUUUUCUUUCUAGAGAGAGAGGGGGAGCAAGAGAGAGUGAUGAAAGGGAGAAAUGAGAGGCUGAGGGAGAGAGAGAGAGGGUAAUUUCUCAUAUACACCCCUCAUAUGAUGGCCAUUUUGUACUUAAACCCUUCUACUUUUCCAUGCUUGCACUACCCUCACUGGGCAGAAUUCACGCGGAGGGACCGGUCUCCCCGACUUGGGACCGGUCCCCGAGAGCAGCCCAUGCUGCCAGGGGCCCUUCUCCCGUUCGGGAACCGAUCUUUCCUUGGGAGACCGGUCCUCGCCUGAGAGACCGGUCGUCGAGAGCUCGAUUUUCAGGACUUAGCCGAUUUUGUCCUUCUCUCGCUGGCGUCGCACACGGGGACCGGUCCCCCUCAGCCAGGGACCGGUUGCAUCACUAGAUCCCCAGCACCCACCAGCCUCGGGGACCGGUCUCUCCCUACCAGGGACCGGUCCCUGAAAGCAACUUCAGCCCCGUGCAGGUUUUGCACUAUAUGCUCUCGCGGACUCAACUCCAAUACACUUUUUGUGUUUUGGAUAACUUUAGCUUUCCCGAAGGAUACUCACUCGACAAUUAGUCGAUUCUGGAUAAAGUACAACUCUCGGAUUUUGAGAAUUCACUUCCUUACAUACACGUUCUCAUUUUUCAAUGUCGAGUUCUCUAACACCCUAGAGUUAUCGACCCAAGUCCACAUGUUCACAAUGCUAGCAUGCAUCUUAUCUAACAUGAUUUCAUAAUGCUAAAUGCGUCUAGCAUAUAUUCCACUAUGCAUGAAUAUCAGUAUGAAUCUAUCCAUUAGUAUAUACUUUCAAUGUCUUCUUAUGCAAUUAUCAACUAGCAUGGUUCUCAUAAUAUUAACAUGCACAUGCAAUUCACUUAGCAUUUCUAAUUCAUGUCUUUAUCUCAUGGUAGUUUAUACAUUUUUAGCAUCUAUUGCAUGCAUACUAGCAUAUUUACAAUGCCAUCGUAUCCAUACAUAUGCAUCAUCAAGAACUUAUAGUCCACUUUGACAUGCAAGCGACUUAGUCGCUUCGGUAAGCACAACCCACCUUGAUUUGCUCUCCAAUUGCUUGUCGACACUUGCAAUCGGCCUCCCGCGACACCCGUCGCCCGGCACGACCCGAUAUUGCAACUGCAACCCAACCGUGCGUCGAUUCGCGGCCCCGAAAAUUAUAGGUCUACUGUGAGGAAGUGAAUUCUCGAAAUACGAGAGUUAGACUUCAUGCAAAAUCGACCAAAGGUCGUGUUGGUGAGCUUUGGAAAAGCCAAAGAUGUUAAAAUCACCAAAAGUGCUUUGGAAGCGAGUCCACGAGGGCAAAUAGUGCAAAACCUGCACUGGAGCAAAAUUGCUCUCGGGGACCGGUCCCUGGCAAGGAGGGACCGGUCCCAUUGGCUGGGGUUGCGGGGAUUCUUGAGGCAACCGGUCUCUGGUAGGGAGAGACCGGUCCCCGAACGCGAACCCAGCGAGAAAAGCCAAAAAUUUGGCUAAGUCCAGAAAAUCCUGCUCUCGGGAAUCGGUCUCUCAGAAAGGAACCUGUCUCCCGAGGACCGGACUUUCUGGGAUAGACCGGUACCCGAACGCGUGACCCGAGCUGAAGCUCUCGGGGACCGGUCCCAAGUCGGAGAGACCGGUCCCUCCGCGCGCAGAAUGCCCAGUGAAGGCUGUGCAGGGGAUGAAAAGUAGAGGGGGCUGCUGGGAUAUUAUUACAUUAGAGAGUAUAGGGGACCCCCUCGCUCUCUCCAACUCUCAUUUCUCCCCCUCUGUAACACUCUCUUGCUCCCUCACUCUCUCUCUCUAGAAGGAAAAGAGAAGAAGAACAAGAAGGAGAAGAAGGAAAGGAAGAGAAGGAAAGGAAGGAGAAGAAGAAGGAGAUCAAGAGGAAGACCUUAGACAUCUUCCCCUCCCUCUCCUCUUCCCCUUGGUGUAGCUAAGAGGUAAGCUACCAAACCUACCUUGUGAAACUUAGGGUUUUUAGGUUUCGAGCUUUGAAAGUGGGGUCAAAUGGACCCCUAGCACCAUUGUUGGUGGAUUGAAGCUAGAAUCUAGGGUUUUGAGAUGGGUUUAGCUUGAUGCCCUAGAGCUCCAAAAUAGGACUUUUGGUAAAGUAUGAGAUUGAUCUCAUUUUAGGCCUUGUAAAACUAAUUGCUAGGUAACGAAACGCUGGGAGGAAGUCGGAAUUUCGAUUCGUCGAGCGGGUCAAGAGCUAGCGGCAAAAUAAGGCCGAUUGAGCAUCAUUUGGACCAAGGGGAUCGAGGCUUCGUCGUAAAGAACGCCAAAGCGCAUUUCUAGAGCCUCCGUAUACACAAAAGGUAGGGGGUGUCAUCCCGAAGCAUCCGGGUUUCCUUUUAUGUCUAAGUUAAUUUUAUUCAUCAUAUGUUAAUUGUGCAUUAUAGGAUUAGUAGAAGCAUAUUUCCAUUCCUUGCAUGCUUACUUAGUAGUGUAGCGGUAUGUGCUUGACACUUGGACUAGGGAGGCAUAAGGAUUGGGUCUUGAGACAAAGAAUCCUAUAGUGGCAAAAGUGAUGAACUUGGACAUAACCUAGUAGAGUGGCAUUGACUAGUGUAGUAGAAACACUAAACUUGAACGAGUGGCAUAUCGACUAGUUAGAAGAUAUUACUACAACGACUGAACUAGUGGCAUCGAGUCUAGUGUAGUAAAUAUGACAUGGUUCUUGGAAUAGUAGAGGUCCCGGCAUCUAGGAUGUAUUGUAUAUUGUGAAGCAGAGGGACAUUGACCCUUGUAGAUAGGGUAUCCUCUUGUGAGGAUUGGACCAUACCCACUAGUCUGUUUUGCUUGUCGGUGGUCGCUCCACCGAGGCACGAGUCUCCGGAGUAUCUCACAAAGUUGUCCCGCAGAAGGUCUCGGUGUGCGAGUGCAACUUCUCCUCACCUAAGAGAUUGAGAGUGAGUCGAGGGCUUAACCUUCGGGUUAACCAAGUAGAUUGAGUAAUAAACAUGAAAUGCAUAGUAGACUUGCAUUAUUACCUUGAGUAGAUAUAGUGUAUGUUGUAGAUUACAUUGCUAUGUACCUUUAUAUAUACUCACGACAUGAUACUAGCAUGAUAGUAGUUGUUGCAUGCAUUAUUAUCAUUGAUGGCAUGAUAGAGUAGUUGUAGUUCAUUUUCUAUAUAUCCAUCUAUCUUUCUAUCCGUGCCAACUUAGACCUAGUGGGAAAACCGGCGGCGUCGGCGGCCGAACCCACUGGGAACUAUAUUUAUAUAGUUCUCACCCCGUGUGGUUUUGGUGUACAGGUACACACAGAGGCGAGCCGAGCGAGGACCGCGGCAAGGGCAUAGCGCCCUAAGUGAGCCUAGUUAGUAGCUUUUUCUUUAUGCAUUAGAGUACCCUCAUGUACUAGAUGAUGUUUUGGAUAGUUAUUGGAGACCUACUUGUAUUUUGAGGAAAACAUGUAUUUACAUUUUGGAAGAUGGAAAUGUAAUAUAUUCAAAUGAUGUAAAUGUUGAAUGGUUGUAAUAGUUAGACUAUCUCUCUUUAUACACUUGUACAUUCACUUGUGGUUCUUGCUCUUAGUUAUAGUGCACUUGUGUGCAUCGUAUCGAUCAUGUAUGUUAUUUAAGCAUUCCCUGGGCGCUUAACUGUAUAUGAUCUGGUUGCUUGGCCUUGGGCGGACAGGAGAUGUGCUGUCCGUUCGGCGGUCCGUCUGGCGCGCCCGAACCGUGCUAAAUUGGUAGUGGAUUCGGGGCGGGGCGUGACAUCUAUAGCUUGAUGCCGCAAUGCCACAAAUCCAUUUUCAUGAUUUUAGGACGUCGCCUUGGCCUUCUAGGCGGAAACGAAGCCGAAACGUUCGUUUCUUUAAUAUCUUCACACCGGCUCGACGAAUCGCCGAACCGACUUCGCCAACGCGCCGGAAUACCUAGCAAUUAGGUUUAUAUAGGUUCAAUUUAGAUCAAACCUCAUCUAUGAAAAACCCCCAUUUCUAAGCCCUAGCAUGUACAUAUACUCCAAAUGUCCCACAAUCUCAUGGAGAAACAUGCAUUUAGUAGUCUAGGGAUCAUUAGAAUACUAAGUAUAAAGGAUUUAACCAAAUCCUAAAUACUUACCAAAAUUUGAACGUCGAGACGAAAGCACACCGCUCAAACAGCCGCACGAGAACCCGAACCGACACUUCCAACGCGUUCCCAAGCUUCUUCUCCACCAACCCUCAAAUUUUUAGAAAGAGAUCUAGAGAGAUGAGAGAGAAAUCUAGAGAGAGAAAGGGAGGGUUUCUCUCUCCCCACCAUGUGUGCGUGUGAGUGGUGUGUGUGUGUGUGCUUGUCGGUUGAGGAGGUAGGAGGAAGAAGAAAAGCCUCUCAACACUAUUCACAUUAGCAGUUUAGCAGUUACAAAUUGACAUUUUUCGCCGGAGCCCUUCUAUAUGUCUGUUUGCCCUCAAAUUUGACAGUCAGGCUCUGUUUUACUUAAUAAGUACAAAGAAAUUUUAAUCUUUCAGUUUCGACCAUAUUUGGUCACCAAAAGCUCUACCGAACUGUAAUCUCUAACAGAUAGCAGUCGGAUUUUAUUUUCCACCUUCCGGGUAUCGGAUUGACAUGAAACUUUAAAUCUAGCCUCAUAAAAAUAUUUCCGACAUAUUCUCCAGUCUUCAUAAUUUUCUGCUAAAAUAUCAGCUCGGUUUCUCAUAGAAAAUUCUAAAUGUUCUGUUUUCAUUCCAAUUUCAGCACAAGUCAUUUCUGACUUAUAUUUUACUUCUCUAAAUCUAAUAAAAAUAGUAUCUCACACUAUUUUUAUUUAUUUUUGCUUUUAUAUCAAAAUCCGGCAUGUUACAGUAGAGGUAGGCGAACGUGAGCGCGGCGGCGGCGGUGGCAGCAGCGCCGGCCGCGCCGAGGGCGAGAGCGAGCGCGACGACGAGGGGUGGGCUUUUGCAAACCAGGGGGGCGGGCGCCGGGCGGAGCGGAUGGUUGAGGAAAAAAAGGGCGAAGAAAAAAAAAAGAAGAGAAAGAAAUGAAAAGAGAGAAAAAAAAACAAUAAGGAUAUUUUCGUCCUAUGCUAAAAAAUUCGGUUCGAAUCUGCAAAAACGAAAAAAGUGGCCCGGUUUUGCAAAAGCCCAAAACUAGUGAAUUUUUUCUGCAAAUUGGACUUUAUAAAAUAUAUUUAAAACUAUAUAUAUAAUUAAAAUUAUUAAUAUUUUAAAUAUUAUUAUAAUAUUAUAUAUUUAAUUAUUAAAUAAAAUAAAAUUAAAAAGAUUAAAAAAAUAUAUAAAAGUUUGUACGAGUCCAUAUCCUAAAAUAAAAUAGGUUAUAGAUUAGAUUUGCUAAGUUAUAUAAAGGUUUAAUAUACUUUAAUUAGAUAAAUUAAGUCUCAUUAAAACUUAGUUUAAUUUAAUUAAAUCAUAUAUCGACAAUUUUAAACCGUUAUAAUAAUUAAUUGAAACCGAUGGUAAAGUAUAGUUUUGCCAAUACUAAUGUUAAGUAUUACUAAAGAAAACCAUCAUAAAAAAAUUAUUAUAUUACUAUAUACCGACAGUUUAGAAUUGUUCUAAUAAUUAGUUAAAAGCGCUGCUAAAAUAUAUUUUUGCCAGCGCUUGUAUAAAGUGUUACCUCAUUAACUGUCACCACAAAUCAACUUUUCUGUAGUGUGGGUCUGUGUGGGGGAGAGAGAGAGAGAAAGAGAGAGAUGGGUAUUUUGGGCCUAGAGAGAGGGAAAGAGAGGGAGAUAGGUCAUUAGUUAUGGGCUAGGCCCAGAAAGUGAGUGGAGAAAUAUAUAAUUAGGACUACUAUUUUUGGCCAGCCCAAUUUAAAAACCCGCUAAAUCAAAGCUCAAUUCAAAAUCUUGAUAGUUUAAAUAACGACGCUUUACAAAGUGUCGGCAUUUACUACAUAAUAACGACGAUUAGGUAAAGCAUCCGAAAAAGCGUCUUUUAAUUAAAAGUUUCUUGUAACACACUGAACUUUAGCAAAUUGCAAGGUUCGAGUGUUUGAUUGGGAUUCUGAGCUUUUUCGGGUUAUCCGGAGGGUCGUUGACUGUGUUCCGACCUAUGACUCGCGUCUCGAGGAGCGAGGAUGAGAAAUUAGUACCAAAACCUCUAAAUUGCAGGAAUUAGGCUGCUCUCGGGUUGAGCUCUGCGAGGCAGAGUACCGGUACUGCAUUGCCCGAGUACCGGUACUGGACCUGGUACCGGUAUUGCAUCACGAGGGUACUGGUACCCUGUGGAUUUUGUCGCGUGACCGAGGCUCAGGUUGCGCGUGCUGCUGCGGGGUACCGGUACUCCAUCCUGCGUACCGGUACGUAGUGCAGUUCACAGACUGCAGGUUUUUUAGGAUUCUUUUUGUAUUGUUGCAGCACUUUACCCACACCCUUUGGCUGGGGCUUUUUGUGCUGCAACUAUAGAGGAGAAGAGAUGAGUUCCUGUUCAUUUUUUCAUGGCUUUUUUCCUUCUCUUUUGCUUGGGAAUUUAUGGGUUGAUCUCUCUACUUUGCUCCUCUUUGCAUGGUGACGGUUUUCCCACCUUGGAGAAGCUUUGGAGUGAAAACUUGAGCUUGUUUGAGGGAAGAGUUUCAACCCUAGCACCUUUUUAGCUAAGUUUGAGACUUCAAGAGAGGUUAGUAACUUAAAUCUCCCCUUUGGAUCUUGAUUUAGUGAUUUUUUUUAAAUGAAACCUAGAUAUGAGAUAUUAGGGUUUCUUUUGGGGGUUUUUGAUUUGUUGCCUUUGGGGCUAAAUUGAUAGGUGUAGAACUUUCUUCUAGGUUGGAUUAGAGGUGUUCUAACUCUCAUUUGGAAUUUGGGAUGAUUUUUCAUCAUACAAGGUGAGUUUUGACCUCUUUUUGGGUUGGUUAAAGAUUAGCUUGUGGGGUGUUCGUUCAUUACCCCUAACCCUCUUAGAAUUUUUAUUAGGGAGAUAGGAUACUAGUGGACAUCCUCGUUCGCGCAAACGAAGGGGAUACGAGGAGUACUCGAUGGGUUUGACCUCACCAAAAUGGGUGAACUCCCUUAUAUUAUCUUUCAUGUUUUAAAAAUAAAAAAUCAUACAUAUUCAUGCUAGCUAUACCAAAAUUACUUUUUAGCGGCAAUUUAAUAACGGCGAUUAUAAAACGGCCACUAUUACUAUUAUUUUAUUGUACUUUAGCGGCGAUUAUUUUCAAAUAUAUAUUUUAAACGACUAAUAUAUAUAUAUUAAAAAUAAUUCUAACCCAACCUCAACCCUAACCCAACCCACCCGAACCCACCCUGCGAUGAUCGACCUCAUUCGCUCGCGACCAGAUCAACCCGCAUCCUCUCUCUAUCGAGAGCGGACCCCCCCACCCCUUCCCCCUUCCCCCUCCCCCUCCCCCUCCUCUCCCGAUCCAAGCAGCGUCGCCCUUAUUGCGAGUUCUCUAAGCUCGGAUCCCUAUCGGCGGCGGCGACGACAUCGUCGUCUUCGGCGGAGGAGCUCUCGGCGGCGGCAUCUAGGGUUCCGACGGAGCCGCGACGACCGCGCCGUGUGGCUCGCCGAGAAUCCCCUCUAGCACACCCAGCUCUCCCUCGACGUCACCGGUCUCUACACUAGGCUCCCAGAUGCGCUUUUCCCCGAAGCCGAUCGAUUGCGAUUGGCUUCUCCGUCCCCGGCGUGCUAAAUCCGAAUCAUCAUCAUCAUCAACAUCAGAGGAUGAGGAGGAGGAGCUCGAAUCCGGGCGUGGUUGUGGCGGCGAUCAGUGAGGAGGCGGCGGUGGAGAAGAAGGCGGCGCCGGUGAAGACGAAGGCGCGGGCGGCGCUGACGGUGCGGAGGAAGAGCAAGGAGGACUUCAAGGACACCAUUGCCGGCCACCUCUAUGCCCUCGCCGACAUGAUCGGCCGCAAUGUCGUCUUGAUGCUCAUCAGCACCGACGUCGAUCCCAGUGAGUCCAAUCUCAUCCUCCAGAACCUUAAUUAGCUCGCAAUCCAAAAAGGGCUCGUCGUAAUGCUCUUUACAAUUUACUCAAAUCCCCUUUUUCAAUUUUUAACUUAAAAAAGUUCUAUUAAGAUUAGUAUAUAAUAAUUAGUAUAUAAUAAUUGAUCUCCUUCACCUCUCCUCUCUCCUUCCUCUCUAACCUCGGAUCCCUAUUGGCGGCAGCGGCGGCGUCGUCGUCGUCUCCGGCGGAGGAGCUCCUUAUGUGUUUGAAUUCGAAACUCUAAUCAUCCAUACAUGCCUCAGCUAUUCUUGUGCUAAAUAUAGUUCCGAUCACCGUAAACUGAAUGGAAUAUGGAAAUUCUAUUUUAAGUUUGAAUAUGGAGAAUUAUUUAGUGUUGGGCCAAAGUUUGGGCCUGAGCCAAGCGGUGAUAUUCAAAUAGAUAAGCUUACUAUGUAAAUUAGUGAAUUUGAUCAUGUUUUUUUUAUUUAAUACACAGUGUAACUAGGAAUAUACUAUUCACAUUAUUAUAAUCGAGCAUGGUUAUAACAGAGAUUUAUACAACAGUCGCAUUUACGAUAGGAAGCUUGAACGGUAAUUCUUUCAUUCUAUUUAUUCUAAUGUGUAGAUGAUAUGUUGAUAACAACCAAGAAUCCCAAAAAAAAAAAAAAAUGCAGCAAUUAAAAGAUCAGUUGCCUUAUUUCAUGCCUCAAGUGUGAUUUCCCUAGGAUUCAACUGUUGGUUGCUGAGACAAUAUUGGCUCUCCAAGGCAGAUUCUCAGCCUCCGGGAGAAGUCUUGCUCGAGUUUUUCUGUUAAAGCAUGCACGGAUGAAUAAAAGAUACAGAGCACUAGUGCGUGCAGAGCAGAUGGGGAAUGCUCUAGAAGACUCGGAGGAUAAUUUGGUAAGUUAUGAUGAUGCCAUUACAAACAAACAAAUAGAAACUUGGUCAAAUAGCUAUUCCUUUCUUUUGAGAAUGUAUUAGAUAGCUAUUCUUUGUUAGAGAGUUGGUACUCUGCCGUAAAAAGGUUUAUACUUAGUGAGACUUUUAUCUUAAAUUCUCAUAACAUGUAAUCCUUCGGUGAGUAGAUCUUUAGAGGAUAUGCAUUUUGCGACACUCCGUGACACUACAGAAAUUUACUUGUUUUUGUUGGAUAUUUUAAGACUGCUUUUCAGUUGGGGUAGGUUGCUUAAAGACCAAUCAUAUUCGAUCGCAAAUAAUGAAAGUUCCAACCCUAGAUCGAGUCCAGAAACAUAUCUCUUUCUUGGAUCAUUCUUACUUUCUUAGGACAGAAAAUCUGAUGGGUCCGGCUGGUAGAUCCACUUCCAAACUACCUAACAUGUAACCAUUCAACCCUAGACUGGAUGGGGAUUCCCAGACCAUAGCCCAACAUUACUAUACAUUAGAUCAAUGACCCAUUUGAUUAGGUUUUCUGUCGGGUUCGGAAUGGUCGGUUUGACCGAAUUCAACUGAGAAUUUAAAAUCGCAUAUAUUUUACUUUUAUGUGGCAAUUGAAAACUUCUAUGCUAAGUUCAUUUGAAGAUGAAUAAUCCUAGACUAUCAUGCAUAAGAUCCCUAAUUAUUCAUGAAUUUAUGGGGUUAAAUGUGAAAUCUUCAUAAAGCACAAGUAUGUGAAAAAAAAAGGAGAACAAAAACCUUGUGAAUAUGGAUUUUCAAAACUUUGGGUUAAGGUUGGUGUUAGAUGUAUGCCCUAGAAGCCAACCAGGCCGACACAUGUAUUCUUUAUAGGACAUAAUUUUGUAUUUGAUUUUAAUAUUAUAAAUAAAUUUGGGUUCAUAUUUCCAUUCAUGUGUGUAUGUGUCCAUGAAUCGUCCAAGGAAUUAAUAAGAUAAUAACAUAUAUUCUCAAGAGUUGAGAAUUUGAGACAUGUGUCAUUGGUGGUUAAUUCCUAAAUGCUCCCGAUCAAUGGAUCAUCACGGGGACGGUAAUUUGUCCGGUGAGAUUGGUGCAUAGGUCGCUUCCCUUUUGGAUAGACGAGUCUCGAGUCGACAGUGUGGGGACACUGAAGCGAAUAUGCAGGUGGUUGUUAGAGAACAAGGGUACCGAGCGUGACCAACGCGAGAAGUCACUUGGAUGUCUACUCACUCGUCAGUGACUUACUCAAUGUUGCAGUAGUGUGACUGGUCCUUUGAUCUGCGGUGCCUCGGUUAUUCACAAUGAGAUUACUGUAGUUUGACUGUACAUACACUUGGUCCCUAGCCAUUCGGGUCCAUGCGGUGCAUGUUGGCUGCAGUAGGUUCAUUGUAGGAGUAGGGUGCGCAUUCAGAUGGAAUCUAUCUCCCUUGGUAGAUAGGGGUGUUAGUCCUAUAUGAUUUAUGAGACCGAGUUUAUAAGACCUUGGCCAGGGCAGUGUUAAUAGCGGAAAAAGGGUUUCCGAUAUUAGAAACUCGAGUCGAAUAAAUUUAACAUAUGACAGACGAUGGGGUUUGACGAGUUAUUCCAUAACCUCCGUCUAGUCGGGACUCAUGAUAGAAGGAUUGUAUCACACGGUAACUGCACCAAGAGGUUCAGUAUUCCAUUCUACUGGAAUGCCACUACAUGCUGCUAGGCGUCACUGGUGGAUUGUGAGACUCAUGAGAAUUAUCUAGAUGAUCGAUAAUUCUCAUUGGGCUGAGUUGGAAUUGUUCCGAUCCACUGAAAGGAGUUUCAGUGAUAUUGUUGAUAGUGAUCAAAAUAUAUCUCACUACCAGAUAGAAUAGAACCUAUGGGGUCACACACAUAAGAGGUUGUGAUUGAUCGGAUAGCUAGAUCACGAUUAUUGAAUCGCCGGAGGACCUAAUUAUCAAUAUAAUGAUAAUUAGACUAAUUUGUAAUUGUUACAAAUUAGUGGUAUUAAGGUGUAAAUGUUACAAGAGAGGACUUACUAAUAGUUAGUAAAUUAUAAGAGGACUUAUGUGCAAAUGUUGUAUUAUUAAUUUGAUAAGAUCAAAUUAAUAUAAAGAUUGAAUCAAAUUAGGAUUUGAUCGAUCUAACCAAUUAAGGAAAGGAUAAAUUUAAAUCUAGAUUUAUACUUAUCCUUAAUUGUCAUUAUAUUAUUAGGAAUAGAAUUAUAUUCCUCUCUAUAUAAUAUACAAGAGUUUUUAGAAAACCCUAGUCGUUAUAUCUCUUCUCCUCUCUUCCAUCUUCUAGCAAAUAGACGUCCUUUUGCAAGGGAGCUAGCACCCCGGUGAGGACAUCGAUCAAAUCAAGAACCUCGUGUGGAUACCUUUAGAGGCCGGACGCGUGUGCUGCUUCAAGAAAGAACCGAUUCCACGAUCAUCAAAUUGAGGUGAAGAUUUAUCCGCGCAAAAGGUAAAGAUUCGAUCUUUCUUUUCUUCUUUAAUCUUAGAACAUGAGGGAUCCUAUUUGCGUAGUUUUUGAGAUUAGAUCUUGAGAGUUUUCAAAUCAAAUUUGUUUGAUUUCUUUUUCCGCUGCGUUUUUACCGUACGCAAUUCGCUAACAGUGGUAUCAGAGCCAUCCUCAUGUAUUUAAGAUUAAAAUUAUGAUUUUGGGUAUACUAAACCGUUUUUCACCGGUAGAACGAUUUAUAGAUCGUUUUUGGUUAAUUCGAAAAACAUAAAUUGAUCAAACAACUUAAUCGACGGUUUUUUAUUUUCAAGCAAACUAUUAAAAAAAAAAAAGUUACUGUAGCGAUUCUACUGUAGCAUCCGUACGAACGGAAUUUUUUAAAUUUUUUAAAUUUUUUUUUAAAAAAAAAGGUUGAUUAGAUUGUUUUGAAAAUAAAAGAUAAUGGAAAAUCUAGUUUGAUUAGAUCAAAUCUUGAUGAGAUCAAGUUGUUAUUUUUUUGAAGAUUAAGUUGUUGAUCAAAUUUAUAAACGAUCAAUAAGAUUGAUUGCUUUUAAUAAUUUAGUGUUUAAUUUUUCGAAUUAUCGGUUAACGUUUAAUUAGAAUGCCCAAAGUUAAUUUUUACGCAUGUGAUGUAUGAGAUACAUAUCGGUGAUGAUCAUGGAUAGCGACCAAUUUAUUUUUGUUUCGACAUGUGAUGUACGAUGUGUAUGCCGAAUCCUGUAAUUUUAAAUUUGUUUAAAUUAAGGAAUUUGUAUUAGAGAUGGCUGUAAUUGUGCCUGCGUGCACAAGCCGAUUUAUUUGGAGACCUGUGUGUCUCAAUAGGUUAGAGAUAAACGUUAUCAAAUGCAAUUAAUUUUUAUUUUUAUUGUUGGGUUGUAUAAUGUAUGGUUGCACGUCAUUGGUUGAUCGGUUGCUAGCCGAGAAGUACGCAAGGCCCAGAUAGAGACGAACACUUGAUGGCGGUCGGAUCAAGGUGUUGAUACGGAUCUAAUCAAGUUGAAGCUCCGGAUCGGAUCAAGAAGUUGAAGACGAUCAAACUAAUGACGUGUGUGUGCUUGUAAUUGAUGACCCUAAGACCACGAUUCCGACUCAGUGGCUCGAGUCCGAAUCCACUUCCAAGAUCCAUGAUCAUCACCAAUUUAAUUAUAUUUUUAUGCGCAGAUUAUUUUUAUUUGCAUUAGAUAUAAAUAAAUAAAAUAAUUUUUGAGACCUAAAUAUUAACCUCCUCAUAAAUAUUAAGUCGAGCGGUCUUCCACCAUUGUAGAAGUGCGGGCGGUUUUCGGGUGUUGAUUGGCACGGCUGGUUACAGUAGUCAGUUGCAUCGGAAAAGCGCAACCACUCUAUUAGCAUGAGAUGCUGCGGAGUAAAGAUGGGGUUGGGCCCAAUAACUGUCAGGUGAGGGACCCAAUGACGGCUUUGCUUACGCGUUUGAACGGUGGGUCUGACUUAACUAAGGAAUGGGGCCAAUAACUGUCAGGUGAGGCUUACAGGACUUAGAGACCGAUUACUGCAAUUUGCUUGAGAAGCAUUGGACAAGAGUUGUCCACUCAUCGGUUUGCAUAUCACCAAUAACUGUUAGGUGAGGUGAUACGUUAAACUGGUGGGACCGCAGUACUCACUUGAAACCUUUUGUCGUGUUGGGUUUCCGUUUCUCUACCCGAGAAGUGUAAGAGGCUCGAGAAAAUAGUGGGAGGCUAAAUUUGUUUUUAAAAUCCCUAAACAAAUUUUCAAAACAAAUACAAAUAUUUAACUUGAAUCUUUAUUCUCUACAAAAUAAAUGUCUGCUUCCAAUUAUCUCUCUCGUAUUCUCGACACGAAACCCUUAACUGAAACUAAUUAUAAAGACUGGCCAAAGAACUUAAAAAUAGUUUUAAAUUCCAAUAAGCUCCGCAUUGUUCUCGACCAGGUAAACCUUAUGUUACCAAACCGUCCAAUAACUAACCGAAGGGCAGUCUGUUCAUGAUCAUUGUUAGACAAUGAUCAAAGACCUCGAGGAGCUUGAGAAGCUCGACAUGAAAAUGGACAAGGAAUUGCAAGUUGAUUUGAUCCUGCAAUCCCUUCCUGCAUCAUAUGGACAGUUUGUUGUAAACUACCAUAUGAAUAAAAUUGAUUGCAGCAACGCUGAGUUAUUGAAAAUGUUGGUAACUACAGAGGGGACUUUGAAAAAUUCAAAGGGCUCGGUUCUCGCUAUGGAGCGAGCUUCCUCUUCCAAAAGAAAGUCCAAUUGGAAGAAGAAACCCGCGAAGAAACAAAAGACGGAGAACAAGUCCAAGAGAGAAGCUCCUAACAAAGGAAAAUGUUUCCACUGCAAUGUUGACGACCAUUUGAAGAGGAACUGUCCUGUCUACCUGGAGAGCCUGAAGAAUAAGAGGAAAGACAUACCUUAGGGAAGGUAUGUCAGACUUGCUCGUAAUAAAAACUAACCUUACGGUUUCCUUUACUUCCAGUUGAGUUAUUGACUCUAAUUGUAAUACUUUUUGUACUUCAAUGUAGAGUCUAAGAAAAAAUAGAGGGCUUAGGAAAGGUGAAGUGACCCUAUGGGUAAGCAACGGAGCAAGAGUUGCUACUGUGGCUGCUAACACCUAUCCUUUGCAACUACCGUCAGGAUAUAUUUUAUUAAAGACUGUUAUUACGUACCUACUGCUAGCAGAAAUUUGAUUUCUGCACAGGAUGGUUUAAUUUUGACAAAGACUAUAGUAUAAUUUAUUUUAGAAAUAAUAUUAUUGGCCGUGGUUUUAUAAUUGACAGUCUUUAUCAUUACAUAUAGAUGUAUUUGUAAAUAUUUCUGGGCAAGUAGUAACUGCUGUUGGGUCUAAGAGACCUAGAGAUGAGAUGAACCUAAAGUAUAUGUGGCACCUUAGGCUUGGUCAUAUUGGAGAAGAAAGGAUAAAUAAAUUGGAUAAAGAUGGGCUUCUCGGCUCAUUGACUUCAGAGUCUUAUCCAGUUUGUGAAUCUUGUCUUCAAGGAAAAUUGACUAAAUUACCCUUUGUAGGACAAGGGGAAAGGGCCACUGAGAUACUUUCCCUGAUACACACUGAUGUGUGUGGGCCAUUUGAUGUGCAUGUUAGGGGCGGUUAUGUAAUAUACCGAAAAUUCGGAAAAUAAAUAUCGAACUUUAGUCAAAUUGACCAAAGUGCGAGGAUGGUACACUUCGGAAAGUCUGAAGGUGUUAAAAUGAUCCAAGGUGAGUUACGGGAGGUUUUCGAGAGCUAAAGGAUCAAAAUCUGCAUUCUGCAGUUUUGAGCUCUCGGGGACCGGUCCCUGGUGGGAGAGACCGGUCCCCGAACGCGUGAGAAUUGAGACAGCCGAAAAAUCGGCUAAGUCCUGAGAAACUAGCUCUCGGGAACCGGUCCCUGCCUGAGAGACCGGUCCCCGAGAGACCGGUCCCCCAAAGAGAGACCGGUNNNNNNNNNNNNNNNNNNNNNNNNNNNNNNNNNNNNNNNNNNNNNNNNNNNNNNNNNNNNNNNNNNNNNNNNNNNNNNNNNNNNNNNNNNNNNNNNNNNNNNNNNNNNNNNNNNNNNNNNNNNNNNNNNNNNNNNNNNNNNNNNNNNNNNNNNNNNNNNNNNNNNNNNNNNNNNNNNNNNNNNNNNNNNNNNNNNNNNNNNNNNNNNNNNNNNNNNNNNNNNNNNNNNNNNNNNNNNNNNNNNNNNNNNNNNNNNNNNNNNNNNNNNNNNNNNNNNNNNNNNNNNNNNNNNNNNNNNNNNNNNNNNNNNNNNNNNNNNNNNNNNNNNNNNNNNNNNNNNNNNNNNNNNNNNNNNNNNNNNNNNNNNNNNNNNNNNNNNNNNNNNNNNNNNNNNNNNNNNNNNNNNNNNNNNNNNNNNNNNNNNNNNNNNNNNNNNNNNNNNNNNNNNNNNNNNNNNNNNNNNNNNNNNNNNNNNNNNNNNNNNNNNNNNNNNNNNNNNNNNNNNNNNNNNNNNNNNNNNNNNNNNNNNNNNNNNNNNNNNNNNNNNNNNNNNNNNNNNNNNNNNNNNNNNNNNNNNNNNNNNNNNNNNNNNNNNNNNNNNNNNNNNNNNNNNNNNNNNNNNNNNNNNNNNNNNNNNNNNNNNNNNNNNNNNNNNNNNNNNNNNNNNNNNNNNNNNNNNNNNNNNNNNNNNNNNNNNNNNNNNNNNNNNNNNNNNNNNNNNNNNNNNNNNNNNNNNNNNNNNNNNNNNNNNNNNNNNNNNNNNNNNNNNNNNNNNNNNNNNNNNNNNNNNNNNNNNNNNNNNNNNNNNNNNNNNNNNNNNNNNNNNNNNNNNNNNNNNNNNNNNNNNNNNNNNNNNNNNNNNNNNNNNNNNNNNNNNNNNNNNNNNNNNNNNNNNNNNNNNNNNNNNNNNNNNNNNNNNNNNNNNNNNNNNNNNNNNNNNNNNNNNNNNNNNNNNNNNNNNNNNNNNNNNNNNNNNNNNNNNNNNNNNNNNNNNNNNNNNNNNNNNNNNNNNNNNNNNNNNNNNNNNNNNNNNNNNNNNNNNNNNNNNNNNNNNNNNNNNNNNNNNNNNNNNNNNNNNNNNNNNNNNNNNNNNNNNNNNNNNNNNNNNNNNNNNNNNNNNNNNNNNNNNNNNNNNNNNNNNNNNNNNNNNNNNNNNNNNNNNNNNNNNNNNNNNNNNNNNNNNNNNNNNNNNNNNNNNNNNNNNNNNNNNNNNNNNNNNNNNNNNNNNNNNNNNNNNNNNNNNNNNNNNNNNNNNNNNNNNNNNNNNNNNNNNNNNNNNNNNNNNNNNNNNNNNNNNNNNNNNNNNNNNNNNNNNNNNNNNNNNNNNNNNNNNNNNNNNNNNNNNNNNNNNNNNNNNNNNNNNNNNNNNNNNNNNNNNNNNNNNNNNNNNNNNNNNNNNNNNNNNNNNNNNNNNNNNNNNNNNNNNNNNNNNNNNNNNNNNNNNNNNNNNNNNNNNNNNNNNNNNNNNNNNNNNNNNNNNNNNNNNNNNNNNNNNNNNNNNNNNNNNNNNNNNNNNNNNNNNNNNNNNNNNNNNNNNNNNNNNNNNNNNNNNNNNNNNNNNNNNNNNNNNNNNNNNNNNNNNNNNNNNNNNNNNNNNNNNNNNNNNNNNNNNNNNNNNNNNNNNNNNNNNNNNNNNNNNNNNNNNNNNNNNNNNNNNNNNNNNNNNNNNNNNNNNNNNNNNNNNNNNNNNNNNNNNNNNNNNNNNNNNNNNNNNNNNNNNNNNNNNNNNNNNNNNNNNNNNNNNNNNNNNNNNNNNNNNNNNNNNNNNNNNNNNNNNNNNNNNNNNNNNNNNNNNNNNNNNNNNNNNNNNNNNNNNNNNNNNNNNNNNNNNNNNNNNNNNNNNNNNNNNNNNNNNNNNNNNNNNNNNUGCCCAUGCGCGCAGCAGCUAUGGCUGUCGCGGGGAGAGCCUUCAGGAACCGGUCCCUGGAAGGAGAGACCGUCCCGCCUGCGCGAACACCUAGUCCAGGCUGUGGUGAAAAGAUUAAAAGUUGAGGGGGUUUUAGCUGGCAAUUUGCAACCCCAAUGAGCUAUUAUUAGGGUAAAUGAGGGAUUGUCUCUCUCAUUCUCACCCUCUCAUCCCCAGUCUCAUCCUCUCUUCCUUAGACAGAGGCCACCAGAGUUGAGUUGGGUUUACAUUUUGUUAGUAGAGUACCCUAUGUUCAUCUUUUGUAUUUGAUGACUAGUGAUGUUGAGAAAAGAAUGUAAUGUGUAUUUUGAGGUAAAUGUGAUGUAAGAGAGAAAUGAUGAAAUGAAAUGUAAGGAAUUCGAAAGUGAACAAGAUGAAUACAAUGUAUAUGAUAAAAAAUGAAUCAUAGUACUUGUAAAUGUUUCGUUUUCCUUUCUUUCACUAAUGGCUAUUGCUUACCCUCGUGUAAGUCGUUUGUGUAUGUUUCCGCUAGUGCAUUUCUUGUUUGAAUUUGUACAUGUGAUGAGCCUUGGACGGAUAGGGGAAACCCUGUCCGUUCGGCGUCUGUUUGACGUGCUCGGGUCGGGCCAAAUUGGUAUCGGUCCCGGGGCGUGACAGGUUAUCUCUACUUCAUAACCUUUACCGAUGAUUAUUCACGAUAUGGGUAUGUGUAUCUUAUGAAACACAAAUCUUAGGCUUUUGAAAAGUUCAAGGAAUUCAGAUAUGAAGUAGAAAAAUAAACUGAAAAAUCCAUUAAGGUUCUUCGAUCAGAUCGAGGAGGGGAAUAUCUUAGUGGAGAGUUUCUAGAUUAUCUCAAAGAAAAUGGCAUAGUAUCACAAUGGACCCCUCCGAGAACACCUCAACUCAACGGGGUGUCAGAACGGAGAAACCGAACCUUAUUGGAUAUGGUUCGAUCCAUGAUGAGCUUCACUGAUCUUCCUUUGUUUCUUUAGAGACAUGCUUUGCUUACCGCAGCUUACUUGUUAAAUAGAGUUCCCGCUAAAUCCAUUCCUACCACGCCGUACGAGAUGUGGCAUGGUAAGAAACCAAGUCUUGGUCAUAUCAAGAUUUGGGGAUGUCCGGCCUAUGUUAAGCGACUAUAGGCGGACAAGUUAGAGGCUAGGUCUGAGAAGGCUCGUUUUAUUGGAUAUCCUAAAGAAUCUUUAGGAUACUAUUUUUAUAUCCCAGAGAAUCACAAUGUAGUUGUGAGUCAACAUGCUAUUUUCUUGGAAAAACAGUUUAUUCAAGAAGGAGCUAGUGGGAGAAAAAUUGGGCUCAAAGAGAGAGUCUCUGAAGAGCAACGAGUCGAACCUACAGAACCUAUUCAAGCUGAGCCAGUACAUGUAUUACCUCCCCUACCUCGUAGGUCGAGUAGAAUCUCCCAUCCUACUAAACGAUAUUUAGGUAUCGUUACAGAGGAUGUAGAGGAAAUGUUCCUCAUGGGAGAUAGGGAACAUGGAGAUGAUCCUAAAACCUACAACGAGGUGAUGUCCGACAUCGAUUCCGAGAAAUGGCUGGAUGCCAUGAAGUCAGAAAUUGACUCAAUGCAUUCCAACCAGGUUUGGAUUUUGGUAGACCCACCAAAAUGUAUAGUACCUAUCAGGUGUAAAUGGAUCUAUAAAAGAAAGAUAGGUUCGGAUGGAAAGGUGGAGACCUAUAAAGCAAGGCUGGUUGCGAAAGAUUAUAGUCAACGCGAAGGCAUUGACUAUCAAGAGACCUUUUCACCUGUGGCCAUGCAUAAAUCCAUUCGAAUACUGCUUGCCCUUGCAGCAUACUAUGAUUAUGAGAUCUGGCAAAUGGAUGUGAAAACUGCCUUCCUAAAUGGAUAUCUUGAAGAAGAUAUUUAUAUGGAGCAGCCUCUGGGUUUCACUUCCGGUGACGAAAGUCACAAAAUAUGCAAGCUGCAACGGUCUAUUUAUGGACUUAAGCAAGCAUCUCGGACUUGGAAUACCCGUUUCAACGAUGUGAUUAAAUCGUUUGAUUUCGUUAAGAAUAAGGAGGAACCAUGUGUUUAUAAGAAGGUCAGUGAGAGAGCUGUCACAUUCCUCGUAUUGUACGUGGACGACAUUCUCCUAAUUGGGAAUGACAUUCCAAUGCUGACUUUAGUUAAAAUAUGGUUGUCUAAAAAAUUCUCCAUGAAAGAUUUAGGGGAAGCAUCCUAUAUUUUGGGGAUAAAUGUCUAUAGAGAUAGAUCUAGAAGGAUGCUAGGCCUCUCACAGAAAAUGUACAUAGAGGAGGUGCUGAAGAGGUUCGGCAUGGAAAACUCCAAAAGAGGACUUUUACCUCUUAGACAUGGAAUUUAUCUCUCUAAGAAGAGGUGCCCCAAUACAUUUGAAGAGAUUCAACGUAUGAAUAAGAUCCCUUAUGCCUCAGCAAUAAGGAGUCUUAUGUACGCCAUGCUAUGUACACGACCUGAUAUCUCUCUUGCUGUGAGUGUCACAAGUAGAUAUUAGUCUAAUCCAGGCGAUGAGCACUGGAUUGCUGUGAAGAACAUACUCAAGUACUUAAGAAGGACUAAGGAUAUGUUCUUGGUCUUUGGAGGAGGAGAGUUGAAAAUACAAGGAUAUACUGAUUCAGACUUUAUGCUGAUGUUGACGAUAGAAAGUCUACGUCAGGAUGUGUGUUCUUAUGCAAUGGUGGCUUGGUGUAUUGGAAGCGUUCCAAACAACCACCCUACCAUGGAAGCAGAGUAUAUCACCGCAUUUGAUGUAGGCCUUCUGAUUCAUAAGGUUUGUCACGGAAUUAAGUGUGAUGCAAUUGGAUGCCAUACCACUCUAUUGCGACAAUAAUGGCGCCAUAGCUCUAGCUAAGGAGCCCAGGUCACAUCAGAAGUCCAAUCAUAUAGAGCGGCGGUUUCAUAUUAUACGCGACAACCUCGACAAGAAAUACAUCGAGAUGCAGAGAGUAGACUCCACGGAUAACGUGGCAGACCUAUUGACUAAACCACUUAGCCCGCAGAAGACUGAAGUCCACCUUGAGAAGAUGAGGCUUAAGUAUAUGGCUGAUUGGCUUUAGUGCAAGUGGAAGAUUGUUAGAUGUAUGCCCUAGAAGCCAACCAGGCCGACACAUGUAUUCUUUUUAGGACAUAAUUUUGUAUUUGAUUUUAAUAUUAUAAAUAAAUUUGGGUUCAUAUUUCCAUUCAUGUGUGUAUGUUCCAUGAAUCGUCCAAGGAAUUAAUAAGAGAUGACAUAUAUUCUCAAGAGUUGAGAAUUUGAGACAUGUGUCAUUGGUUGUUAAUUCCUAAAUGCUCCCGAUCAAUAGAUCAUCACGGGGACAGUGAUUGAUCUGGUGAGAUUGGUGCAUAGGUCGCUUCCCUUUUGGGAGACGGGUCUCGAGUCAACAGUCUGGGGACACUGAAGCGAAUAUGCAGGUGGUUGUUAGAGAACAAGGGUACCGAGCGUGACCAACGCGAGAAGUCACUUGGAUGUCUACUCACUUGUCAGUGACUUACUCAAUUGUUGCAGUAGUGUGACUGGUCCUUUGACCUGCGGUGCCUCGGCUAUUCACAAUGAGGUUACUGUAGUUUGACUGUACAUACACUUGGUCCCUAGCCAUUCGGGUCCUUGCGGUGCAUGUUGGCUGCAGUAGGUUCAUUGUAGGAAUAGGGUGCGCACUUAGAUGGAAUCUAUCUCCCUUGGUAGAUAGGGGUGUUAGUCCUAUGUGAUUUAUGAGACCGAGUUUAGAAGACCUUGGCCAGGGCAGAAUAAAUAGCGGAAAAGGGUUUCCGAUAUUAGAAACUCGAGUCGAAUAAAUUUAACAUAUGACAGACGAUGGGGUUUGACGAGUUAUUCCAUAACCUCCGUCUAGUCGGGACUCAUGAUAGAAGGAUUGUAUCACACGGUAACUGCACCAAGAGGUUCAGUAUUCCAUUCUACUGGAAUGCCACUACAUGCUGCUAGGCGUCACUGGUGGAUUGUGAGACUCAUGAGAAUUAUCUAGAUGAUCGAUAAUUCUCAUUGGGCUGAGUUGGAAUUGUUCUAAUCCAUUGAAAGGAGUUUCAGUGAUAUUGUUGAUAGUGAUCAAAAUAUAUCUCACUACCAGAUAGAAUAGAACCUAUGGGGUCACACACAUAAGAGGUUGUGAUUGAUCGGAUAGCUAGAUCACGAUUAUUGAAUCGCCGGAGGACCUAAUUAUCAAUUUAAUGAUAACUAGACUAAUUUGUAAUUGUUACAAAUUAGUGGUAUUAAGGUGUAAAUGUUACAAGAGAGGACUUACUAAUAGUUAGUAAAUUAUAAGAGGACUUAUGUGCAAAUGUUGUAUUAUUAAUUUGAUAAGAUCAAAUUAAUAUAAAGAUCGAAUUAAAUUAGGAUUUGAUUGAUCUAACCAAUUAAGGAAAGGAUAUAUUUAAAUCUAGAUUUAUACUUAUCCUUAAUUGUCAUUAUAUUAUUAGGAAUAGAAUUAUAUUCCUCUUUAUAUAAUAUGCAAGAGUUUUUAGAAAACCCUAGCCGUCAUAUCUCUUCUCCUCUCUUCCAUCUUCUAGCAAAUAGACGUCCUUUUGCAAGGGAGCUAGCACCCCGGUGAGGACAUCGAUCAAAUCAAGAACCUCGUGUGGAUACCUUUAGAGGCCGGACGCGUGUGCGGCUUCAAGAAAGAACCGAUUCCACGAUCAUCAAAUUGAGGUGAAGAUUUAUCCGCGCAAAAGGUAAGAUUCGAUCUUUCUUUUCUUCUUUAAUCUUAGAACAUGAGGGAUCCUAAUUGCGUGGUUUUUGAGAUUAGAUCUUGAGAGUUUUCAAAUCAAAUUUGUUUGAUUUCUUUUUCCGUUGCGUUUUUACCGUACGCAAUUCGCUAACAGUUGGAACAAUAUCAAGUUAUCUGUGGUAAGUUUGGUGCCAGCCCUAACCAAUGCUCCUCUCGGAAGGAGGAUGAAAAUUUCACAUCUCCAAACCCCCCUAAUCUAAAAUUCUCUCAUUGAUCCUACCUAAAGUUUAGGGUGGGCUGCUUGGUUCCCCUUACUACUGUUAUGAUUAAAUUCAUUUCCCUUCUCGUAUCAAAUCAUCCUUCUUACUUGAUGUACCCGUCAUCUAUUUUGACAUUGUGUUACUUCAUUUUCCUUUAUUGUUUUUUGUUGAGCUUCUAUUGUUGAAUACACGAAGAAGAGAAGGCUGCUAAUCAAUGGGAAAGGAAAAUAGCAUACUCCCUAGCAAGCCAUGAAUUCGGAUUGCUAUUUGAAGCUUUAGCUGAAGGUCUAAAGAGCCGAGAUUUGGAGUUGUUCUCAGCAUGUCUUAUAUCUGCAACCUGGCUCAUCCAUAUGCCUCUUUUCUUCCUGAUACUGGGGUUCGAGGAGCUGCGAGAGUUUGCUUGUUAAGGCAAUUCAUAUCAAUUCUGAAGUCGGCAUGGCACACUGAUGAAAGAGUUUUCGCCAUGCUGGCUCUGAGAAACUUUAUGCAUGACCCUGGUAUGUUCUCAUAGAUGCAAUAUCCUUUUUCAGCAAAUAAGCCGAAUAAGAGAAGCAUGAUAAUAAUAUGGAAUCAGCUGUGACAUCGUCACUCUGUCAAGAAUUUAAAUUUUGGUGACUUAACUGGAAUUUUGCAGCAAAUUUAUUGACUAAUGGUGUUAUUUACCCUUUUACUUGAUCUAUUAAUUAAACUGUUGAGAUUUAACAUUAAUCAUAUGUGCCUACUCUUAUAUUUGUUUAUCUAGAUCUGAUGAUCACAAAGACUACUUUUGGCUAUAAUGACAGACAAAUUGUUCUUUCUAAUGCUGCUUGUCAUUCUAUUAUAAACAGAGGGAAUGCAUGAUGUGACUCUCCACAUCAAGGAUGUAGUGAAAACUUUAAGAGAGCUGAAGAAAUCCUCAGUCUUAGCAUAUGACAUGUUAAAGCUUCUCUCAGUUGGCCAAGAAUCCAGCGUUGUGAGUCUGACCUUUACACAAAGAACUGUAAAAUAUAUUUUCCUGGUGGUAGUAUACAUUAUUAUUAUUUUUUCUUAAAAAGCCUUGAUGUUCAAAUUUUGCCGAAAGAUUAGUAACAUUUAUAUUUUUCUGGCUGUAGGAUAUGUGGAGUCAUAAAGAGUUGGUUCAUGUAGAUUGCGCUACAAAUGGAGAAGUGUUGUCAAUAAUUUACCACAAACAUUUGAUUUUUUCUAGACACUCAGAUGGGACAAUAAAGAUAAAUAAAUGCUUUUGGAUUUUCUAGUGCUCGAUAAUGCAUUUAUGCAAUAAUAAUAUGAAUAUACAUCAUUGGUUUUGAAGAAUCUAGUGGCUUGGAAAAUGGGUUUUAUGAACAAGAUUGAUUUUGCACCAGUAUAUGAAAUUAUCUAGCUUGUGUACCAAGCUUGAAUCAGGAUCCAGAUUGAAACAUAGAUAUUGUUAUUUGAAGUGCAAAUACAGGCUUAGACAUUAUAUAGCAUUAAGAAAAUACAAAUGACAGAUCAAUAGACUCCUUUCUGGAGUCAUAUCACCAUAUGAUUAGCUCGGUUUAACUUGCUGCUAUUAAGUAUCUCAAUACGAUACUUGUUGAACAUAAUGGUAACUUUGUUCAGUGUGCGCUAAAAAGCCACAUAUGGUGGAAGGAGAUGCAGCAUAAUAUUACAGAAGCCAAUCUGCAGAAGCAGAAGUUCUAGGUGAGGGCCAUGAGGCUAAGAUGAACAUCAACAUCUUAAGAAAUGAGAAAUUCCGUAAUCAUCUUUCACAAGAAUGUUUUUUUGAGAAUAAACUUUCAUAAGAAUGUUAUGCCAUGAUAUAUGUGUGUGUGUAUAUAUAUAUAUAUAUAUAUAUAUAUAUAUAUAUAUUUCUUUUGAUUUAAGAUCUGAACAUGCAGAAACAGUUAGCAAUCAUUUUGCCAAGAUUUCUAGACCUGAUAUGUAUUAUUUGUAACACAAUAGGUUUGGGAAGGCAGCGACCGCCUCCUCCAUCCUGUCAAUGAAUUUCGUGAACAUUCAAAAGCAGUCACCAGUUUGGCAAUAUCAAACUCAGGGGAGAGAUUGUACAGUGGCUCUCUUGACAAAUUUAUAAAGGUAUAUGGUUCUAAUGUUGUCUGCUACUAUAGUAGUGUGCUAAUAUGUUUGUAAAUAUGAAGUAAUGGUGUGUGAACAGGUAUGGGCCAUUCAAGAUAGAGAUCAUCAUUGUGUUGAGUGCAUGACACAAAAGAGCAAGUUCAUAACUUAAUCGUCUCAAAUAUCAUUGCUUGCUUCACUCCACAAGGAGCUAGUGUUAAGGUGCUUUUGGAUGCCGUUAGUUUAUCUUUUCCAACCACUUGUUUCGCAGUUUGUUGUUCACGAUGACAUUUUUUUCCUUUUUCAGUUACUGCCCUGGAAUGGGAACUCCAAGUUUCUUAACCCAAACAAGCAUGUAAGGUCUUUAGUCCAAGUCCAGGGGAAGCUUUACUGUGGAUGUAAUGAUAGCAGUAUCCAGGUGUGCUUUUACGACUAGUAGUUUUCCAUUUUAUAGAUAAAUGGGUGUGCCCAAAAUCACACAUACAAGCUUUUUUAUCGGCAUAAAAAUAUGUAUGUAAAAAUCGUUUAAUUUCUUCAUCCAUAUUCUUUACUCUUGUUGCCAAAUAAAAAAUUUAGAGUUUUUGGCCUUAGUUACUUAUACUUUAUUUUCUAUUAAUUGUCAAGUUCUAUGCAAUUAAAUGCAGAUGAUUUUAUGAUAUUCUUUAAUAUUGCCUAGCAUUGGAUGAUUUGUACUUUAAGCUCAUAUGACUUUAAAGUACAGAAAGAUAAACGCCUAUAAAUGACAGGGAUGUUCUAAAGGCAUACUCUGUCUAUGACAGGGAUGUUGGAUAUGUUCAGGUUUGAGUCUAGAUACUAAAGAAAAACUAAGAUUUUGAAAGUUGUAACUGACAUAAUUGAAUAGUUAGCUCUUGGAUAUCUAUAAUGCAGCUGUUUUUUAUUGCAGGGUAUGGGAUUUUUAGCAGGUCUGUUACUUCUUUACAUGAGUGAAGAGGAUGCUUUUUGGCUAGUAGUUGCUUUAUUGAAGGGGGCUGUUCAUGCACCAAUGGAAAGGUUGUAUCGGGUAAUUAAAAAUAUUUCAAAAUUUCUUGUUUUUAAAUAAAUACGUACCUUCAUUUUGAUGUUGAGAUGACAUUUUUGUUUAAUUAUUUUUCAUUGCUUCUUGGUUCAUCAUUGUUUGUGGGAAGAGGCCAUAUAGUUGCCCAUGAGUUUAUAUUCAUCUCCACUUGCAAUGCUUCAGCAUUUUAGACUAGCACUUAUAUUUGUACUUGUGGAACAGGUAGGUCUGCCACUUGUACAGCAAUACCUAUUUCAGUUUGAGCAAUUAGUGAAUGAGUACAUGCCAAAGUUGGGGCAACAUUUUUCUGAAGAAAAGAUAAACCCAAGCAUGCACGCAAGCCAAUGGUUCAUAACUGUAUUUUCAUAUUCAUUUCUGUUUCCUUUGGUUCUUCGCAUUUGGGAUGUUUUCCUGUAUGAGGUUAGUAUCGUCAUGCUUCAUAUAUUAAACACAAUAAGGUCAUCCAAGUCAUUAUUUCCAAUUAUUGUGCAACCCAGAACCACCUAAGAAUUUAUAAAAUCGAUCUCGUGACACUAUACUCACAUUGAAAAUAAUUUGCAUGAAAGCUUGUCUUUUUCUCUUGAAGUAAGAAUUUCUUACUACAUUAAUUUGACUAGGAAUAUUGCUCUCUAUGUAAAUUCUUGCAUGUUUUCCUACAAGGUGACUUACAUUAUCACUCUCAAAUUUCAAAAUAUCUUUUACGCAGGGUAUGUGUCACGCCCCGGAAUCCAGCGGAAGCCCGCCCGGCGCGUGCCCAGACCCGCCAUAUGUCUAAAACAUACAAGGCGUCUAAAACAAAACGAUAAAUAAAGCAGUAGAACAAAGAAAUCUAACGAUAUCAGAGCAAAAUAAAUAACUAUGUUCUACAACAGAGGUGUAAGUAUAAAACUGAAAUCCACUAAUAGAGCCACAAAGUAGUACAAAGGAAAUCUCAAAUACAAAACUAAACAUAAGAGUAUAUAGGUGGUCUCUCUAUACAUGGUACUCAAAAUCUCUCUCUCUCUCUAGUACAAAAAGAAAGAGUAAACCACCUAAGCUCAACAGUAGCUCCCCGCUAAUUAGCUACGCGACUCCCUUGCCGCGAUCCCGUGCCUCCGCAGGUGCCGAAGGCUCUGAAAUAAAAUCAUAAAAUAGGGGGCGUGAGAACUAUUAAAUAAUAGUUCCCAGUGGGCAAUUACUGACUUCAGUGAAAUGCGCCACUAGGCCCAAAAGUUACAAAAAGAGGGUCAGUGUAUAAGUAUAAGCAAAAGUGGUAAGAACAACUAGAAAAUAAAUAUGAAUACUACUCAACCAUGACGUCUCUACUUAGCAUGAUUUGCAUAAGUAAGAAAGCAACUACUAUAAGUAUAUGCACAAGAGUAUCCCACAUGUAAAUGCAUAAGUAUGCAACUAACCCAAUGUCCACAAUGUAAAUAGUAAAGACGUCAUUGUUUACUAUUCUAGUCAAUGUCCACCUGUCACUUUGACUGUUUAAGGUUCAACUUUGAUAAGACCCACCCGAAGGCUGUCUGGCAUGAAGACCCACCCGAAGGCUGUUUGGCCUGUAAGACCCACCCGUAGGCUGUCUGGCCGGUGCCGUGCCUAAUGGCCCCGUGGUAGUCAACAUCCCCACUCUUAGGGAUGAGCCUUUUCCAUGGCAAUCCACUUCGGCGCCUAAUCCUGCACGGCGAACGUAUCGCGAUGGCUAACUCCGGAGUGCCGGCUUGUAGGGAGCGACCCUCACAAGCAUGUGCGAAUGAGCACAAUGGCGAGCAUGCGCAUAAGUCUAUCUCAAGUCUCAAGUCCUCAUGUCUAUGAACAUGGAAUAUAUCGAAUGUCACAAAGGCCUAUCACUAUGUCAUCAUGUCUCUAACAUGGAAUAUAGUCGAUGUCCAAUGGCCUAUCACUAUAUCUCUAUGUUGCAUUUUCAUAGUUUACUAGUUUCAAGUGCCCCUUUAUGACACUUUUGUUCAACGAGUCCAAACAUGAUAAUUAUGUUCCCGAAUGCAUAAUAUGAGUCAUUUUAAACAUAGAAGACAAGUUUUUCACUCGCUAAUGCAAUUACUUUUCACAUGCAUGCAGCAUAUCCACAAGGCUCUACUAUAUAGAGUGAAAUUUUCAUCAUACAUAAUGCAUGCAUUUUAAGUAUUCUAAAAUUCACAUAAUUCAUAGUUAGCAUGGAUUUGCAUUCAAAAAUACUAUACGACAAGUAGAGAAAACAUAGGGGCCAUUUUGCCCCGUGUUCAUGAAGCCAAACCCACCGAUGAUACCGAAACCCUUCAUAAGCUCCGACAAAGGUGUCCACUAGUCUCCUAGCACCCUAAAGAUGUAGGAAAAAGGGUUAAACAAUCGAAACGAACAUCGAAAAGCUCAAUCUUAACCAUCUAAGCAUAGAGGGCAUAACUCACCUCAUGUGAUGAAAUCCCUUCCGAAGCUUCCAAAAAGAGUAAUAACCUUUCCAACCCAACCUAGAGGAAGGUUCUAAACCCAUCAAUUAGGUCUCCAAGCCCUUAAAUCAAAAAUCCCCAAAAUAAAUCCUAAAUCUCAUUUCUAGGGUUUCAUCUCCCAAAAUCUACCAAAAAUAGGUCUAGAGGGGAGAAAUAUGCAAGUAACCUCAAGAGGAGAUCCAAACCAAGCUCAAAAUGCUUUAGGGUUGUAGAUUGAUCCUCUAUCGAGCUCCUAGCCCAAGCCCCAAGCCUCCAAUGGUGAGCAAAAGGGAGAGAAAGAUGCUCCAAGCCUCAAGAUCUUGCUCUCCUCCAACUUCUUCUUCUUCUUCUCCUCCUUCUUCUCUCUCUAGAAGUAUAAGAGGGGGGAGAAAUGAGAGAGUGAGAGGGUGUAAAUGGCCUUAAGGCCCUUAGAAGCAACAAAAUCCAUAUAAGCCCCUCAAAGAAUCACCCUGUGCACUGCCCGGUUGGGGCAGUUUUCGCGCUGAGGGACCGGUCUCCCCAACACCUGGGACCGGUCUCUCAGUUCAUCCCGCAAAACCAACAUUCGGGAACCGGUCUCUCCCCGCCAGGGACCGGUCUUUCGAACCCAUCCUGCAAAACACGCGUUCGGGAACCGGUCUCUCUCAGCCAGGGACCGGUUGCCUCAAGCCCUGCCGCAGCACUGUUCUGAGGGGACCGGUCUCUCUUAUCAGGGACCGGUCCCUGAGAGUGAAAACUCUCAGGACAAAGUCAAAACUCUAGAAAUCGAACUUUUAGGCCGGAAUACCAUCUACGGCCUUCCACCAAGUGUGGAAAAGUUCGGAGUACACAUCAAACACUCGAACCUCGCAAUUUGCAAAGGUCCAGUGUGCUACAGUAUGAAAGUUGUCUUUCAAGUUGGGUUGGCUUUAUUGAGAUUUUGCCAUGAUGACUUGGUGAGCUUUCUGCUAUUUUCUGAUUACUAUGAUCUGACUGUAGAACUUUAAUUUACUCAAGCCCGUCUUGAACAACAGGUAGAUGGUAGAUGUUAUCCAAUUACAACUACUUACCUAUAUAAUAAGGUAGUAAUUAGAUCAAGAUUCAGCAGUAGAUGGUAAUAGAAGCAUUAUAGAUAUUGUAAGGACUGAGAUUUUUGCAGUGUAGCUAAACUCUCAGUUGACGAUGUUUUCGUGUGUAAUUUAAUUACAAAAUCACUCGUCAAGUUUCGGGUGAAAACGAGUUAAAACGAAAAUUCUACGCGAUUUCCAAGUUUCACUUAAAGUGAAUAGUAACUCGAUUUUCCGGAGAAGCCACGGUGGGAAGUUGGCUUCUGGCUCGUACCGGACUCUGUUCAUAGCAGUCCAAUAGCUCGUUUCGACCGGUUCAGCUAUUCUGGAACUGAUGGCGCUAACGGAUUUUGAGUUCGACGCACGAAUUUCGAGAAAAUCCAAAAAUACAUAUUCUAUAUGUAUUUAGGUGUGUUUUCUUCUGUUGAAAGGAAGGUUGGAUUUUGUCGUGAAUCCGUGGUCGAUCAAGACGAAACGAAAUUGUAGCUUUGUUGUCUCCGUCGUGCUGAUCGCACUGGUGUGAUCCGUUCGCAAAUCUGACGGACGGAUCUGCGGAGAUCACGCGUUGUUCGAGAAGAGGUCGGUUGUGGCAAAACGGUAUUUUCGCAAAAGUCGCCAUAUUUUAUGUACCGUUUCGCGUGAGAUCGCACGUGGAGGGGUAUUCGUGCAUUUUAGUCGUGCUGUGAGGGACUCGGUAAGAAUUACUGAGGUUUGGUGGACUUAUUUGCAAAGUUGCACCUUGGUAUUUAUAGCUCCUAGGGUUUUGAUCCCCUAACCCUAACCCUAGCCAGCCCCCAGCUACCCUAGUCGCCCCUGCUACCUUCACCUUGCUCGCCCGCCCUAGCCACGCACCCCCGGCCGCCGCCGGCUGAGCCCCGGCCGCCGCCGAGCCACCAUCCAUCUUUCUUUCCAUCCCUCUCUCUAUUUCCCUCGGGUUAGAGCCUGGCCGAGGCUGCAGUGCCUCUGGGUCCGUUAAAGGCAGCGAUCGUCCGACCUAUCGCGAUGUCUCCCCGCCGGCCACGCCCGCCCGAGGUCGCCCGUCGAAGCGCCCGCCGCAUGGCGCUCAGCCGUUGCAGUUUUCCAAGGACGCGAGCCAGGCCGCAGGCAAGCUUUGCAGCCCUUCCUCGCGCCCCGCGUUGGGGCCGCCCGAGACAUCCCUGCCGACUCCUGCAACCUCUGCGCGCGUCCGAGCCGGCCCGGCCGCCCGUUUGUCCGACACAUGCCGUGGAACCCGUGCCCAUCAGCCGUCCGGCUCGGUUUGAUUCACAGCAAUUGCCGCAGCCGCUUCCGAGUCGCCAGUGAGGUGCAGCACCUAACUCCUUCUCCUCCCCGCACCGUUCCUGGCCGCCUGCGCGCGCCGCCGUGCCGACGAAGGCCGAGGCCGAGCAGCGUUGCUCGGCCAAGCCGAAAUAGGAUCAUUUUGGAGGUUUGUAGUUUGACUUCCCGGAGUCUCCCCGAUCUUGCGGAGGGCAGAAUGAUCGUAAGGCAAAUUGCUAUCAUAUAGUGCUCACCUUAGAUUCUUUGCCGAGCAGACUUGUUCCGCUAUGUUUCGGACCGUGUUGCCCUGUCGAGCCUGUUUCGGUCAUGCUAUUUGGGUUUGCGCACGCUUAAUCCGGCUGAUCGAGGCUGUCCUGAUGAGCUUCGGAGCGUGGAGCACUUCAUGUUUGUCAGGUGCUGGUCACGUUGCCUCACCUUCACUUUAAGGCAUCGAUGUGUCGGUUAGCCCUGGUUGCGGUUGAAUUUCCACGACUGCGCCCAUGUUCGCUGAACCUUCGGGGUUCUCAGCCGCACUCAUCAAGCGACCGUUGUGCUCCGGAAUCGUGAGCGAUGGCCUUCCGGCACGUCGGGAGACUGUCCGUAUGUGUUCUCGCUGGACUUGGGUCUCGGGUCUUCGGUGAACGAGCCACGUUGAAUCGCUCAAUUUACAGAAAUAAUAGGAUUUUAUUGUAAUUGAGGUCUUUUAUGCAUUUCUUUCUCCUUGUGGUACCUGUGGGACAAUGUGUAUGGAGUGUGUGUUGACUCUGGAACUGGUUGUCCAUGACCGAUAGUCUUUGCGGAAAUCGAAAAGUCCAGGAUUUCGUGUGGUGUUGAUUCGUCUGCGACAGUUUCGCGUCCCGACAAAACGCAGUGGUUGUCGUCGUUGAUUCGUCAUCGAAGUGUUUGUUGCUUGUUGUUUUGUUGCUGCCUUGUUGGCUGAGUUCACAUCAUCCAUUAUUGAUGGGUUCUGAUGGAAUGACUAGUGCCUGUGAGGACGGAGGUUCCGGUUGUCAACAUAGCACUUUCGGGACUCGGAUUCGUCGGUUACUCUGGCUGUCGGAUUGUUGUGUUUCCAGCCUCGUGUUAGCCUGCAAGGCUAUCCAAAUUGGAGCAUGCUUUGGGCGCGGCACGGGUGACUCGGUGGUGGCAGCCGCAGCGCGUCGUGGUUCGGGACACUUUCAGUGGGGUCCCGACUGGUGUACCCGGUGUGGUUUUCGGGCACUUCCGUCUUGAGUUUACGAUGAUCGGUUUUGGGAAACGAUUCCGCUUUGGUUAGUGGAUUGGAUACUGACUUGUUGGAUCUUCUUAGGUUCCGGUCGGACUUGUGCGUACCGGUGUCCGCGCUAGUGACAGGUGGGUGCUUUUCGAGCUGGUAAGUCGGUGAGUAGCGUUUCACUUCCUUCUCCUGUUUUUCUAUUCCUGUAUUUAGUCUCUACAUGUAUUGCUUGUUAUCGUUUGGUUUAUAUGCACCCUUAAUUGCAUUGUAUUAGUCGUUGGAUAGACAUGUAGAGCCAGCUGAAUUCGGUUUUCAGAUCUCCGAUGGACUUGGGUGCAGGCAACACAUCGACUUUUUGUCGUGUGUUUCGAUUCUGAGUGGAUCGAGCUUCGGCGUUGUACGCACGCCUUAGCAUUCUAUUUCAGUAUCGCGCGUUUAGCCAUAAGCUUCUAUUUCAGGUUUGGCAUGUACGCCUCGUGUUUGUUCGGCCUAGGCGGCUUUAGGCCGGCGCUUGUUUGUUCUAGAGCUUACCAGCUUGAUUAAGUCAAGGCAGCUUAGAGCGGCGUAUUCAUGAACCGGAUCGCUGGCCACGAUCGUCAGGGCUUCGUACGUGUUAUCGGAUAGAGUAGUCCUGCGAUGCGCGGUAUGAUCAGUCGGUGCAGUUGGUGACAACGGCAAACCGGUUGGGAGGUGCUGGGCGGGAGCCAAUCAGCAGGCACAGUUGUGGGGGGUACGAGGUUGUGGCUAUCAGUACGUGUGUGAUGGCAUGUGCUUUGCCGGAUUGUUAUCUAGUAGCGAAGUACAGGUUUGGGUGUAUUGUUGCUGUAGUAUUAUCAUGUGUGGUAGGUGAUGGUUAGAUUGUAUAUCGGCGAGUCGGUGUAUUGUUUGGCUAUCUGCUGGGUUUGAUUGUCGCGGGUGUUACGGCUUCGCUCGUGGCUUUGUCGUACCCACUGAGAAAACCAUGGUUGCGGUCUCCACCCUUUUCCCCCCAGUUGGACAGUACAGACGAGGAUUGGAUUUUUUGGUGAAUCGCGAGGGUGGGCGGGGAUCUCUAUUGGGUGUAUAGCGGGAUGCGCACGGCCUUGGUUGUGUAUUGUUUCCCGAUUUAGUAGUCGAUGUAAGUAAAUUGGGUUCAGUUAGUGUUGUUGAGUGUUGGGGUCGGUUGUUAGCAUGAUUGAGGGAAGUGGUUAGUGAUUGUUUGAAUGAGUUGGUUUUCCUCGUAUGCAUGAGAUUAUGGAUGUUUUAUUAUACAUGAGAUUGGAGUUUUCAGAUAUGUGGUUUUGGAUCCUUGGUUUCAGAUUGGAUUUAUACGCUUUGUGGAUUUCUACCCCUCGAGGUAGCUGGUUUUCAAAAUAGAAUCUCCGUGUGGGAAACAGUUUUAAAAAGGUUUUCAAAUGGUUUUUCAUGAUGAAUGAAUUAGAGUUCAAAAAUAAAAGCUUCUGUGUGGGGAGCACUUUUAAAUAGGAUGGUUGUUGUAUUGUGCAUUGCAUCAUCCAGCGCCUAAGGAGUGCUUAGAGGCAUGCAUCAUUCUAAGGAUUGUUAGCUGUAUGAAAAUACAUAUCAUGCUUUGGUUGUUGAUUGGUAAAUGUAGGUUGUGGUUCAGAUCCUGUUGUAUCCGUUGGUACGCCGUGCAAAUACAAAGGAGACUCUGCCCGAGUGGACAGAGGAACUUUGUAUUUGUGGCGGGUCUGUACGUCACGUGGGCCAGGUUGGAAAAAAAAAAAUGGCACGCUUUUCGCAACUCUGUUUUCAAAAGGCUUUUAAAAUCGGCCCCGGGGCGUGACAGAUAUCAAUGCCUCAGCUCAUUCUCUGUAUUGCAAGUUUACUAAAAGCGGUUUUAUUUUUUGCAGGAUAUUGCUUUGCUAUGUCAAAUCUACAGCCAAAGCUACGUCAAACCUACAGCUUUCAAAGUGAAACAAUAAUAGCUUGAGCACUUAGAAUUUGGAAUUUUUUCGAGAAAAUAGAUGCUUAACGUCGUUUAGAAUUUAUUAUUUUUUGGUUGGAAUUCAAAAAAUCAUUUUGUAGUUGAAACUCAUAUAUGAAAUUUAUUUUUAAUAUUCAAACUGUGAUUUGUCGCAAAUCAUGAUUGCUCUUUUGUAAUAAAUAUUUUCUAAUUUCAAUUUAUUGGAAUAUUUAAUUAUGGAUCAAGCGUUUUAAUAUAUAUUGCAAUUGCCGCUAUAAGUCUUAUUUAAUAUUUAUUUAGUAUACUUUUAGUGAUAAUUAUAAUUAAUUAUGAUGGCAUCUUAUAAUUGUUGUUAUUAGGUAGGAUUUAGCGGCAUUUUUUUAGUCUUUUACCAACUGUUCAAACAAAUGCCAUAAUAACUUUUACCGACCCCACCAUUAGCGGCAAUUACUAUAUUUGUCACUAAACUAUUUAGCGGCAAUUGUAAUUGCCGGGAUUUAAGAAAAUAAUCACCACUAAAAGUUAGUUUUGUUGUAGUGAUAGAUAGAGCAUAAUGGAAUUUUAAAAUGCUUAAAAUGCAUAUAUUAUGUAAAGUCCGGCUGGGAUACUAUCGAUAGCACCAUGCAUUUGGUGCUAUCAAGUUUUCCGCUGUUAGAUUUAACCCUUUGACUAUUUUCACCCGUUAGAUUAUACUAUUAAACCAACAACUCACUGAACCCUAAGGGGCCCACAUCAUCCUAACCGUACAUUUUUUAAUUCAAGGGCCGAAAACCUAGUAGCAUCAAAUGCUUGGCGCUAUUGAUAGUAUUCCAACCUAAGUCUAUUAUGUAUCAUAUUUUAUAAACUCUAUGUAGUAGAGAGAAAAGUGUAAUAUAACCUUGCAUGUGAAUAGGAUUCUCUAUUUAUGGAUAGAAAUCAUGUUUCAUGUAGUGAAAAUAACAAGUAUAACAUGCUCUUAGACAUAGAACUCAUGUUUGACAUAGUGGACAUUAAUGUCAUAAAGUGGCAUUCAACUUAGUAAAUAGUGAAACUCUUACUUUAUGACAUAGUGAUAGACCAUCGGGUCAUUAGCUUUCAUAUUAUGUUUUAGACAUGAUGACAUUAGACUUGAGACGGAUGACUACGCUUACUUGCCAUUGUGCUCAUUUGUACAUGCUUGUGAGGGUCGCUCCCCAUAAGCUGGCACUUCGGAGAUAGUUAAUGCGACAUAAGCUCACCCGUGCGGGAUUGGACGUCGAAAUGGGAUGCCGUGGGGGAGGCUCAUCCUAAAGUGGGAAUGUUGACUACCACGGGGUCAUUAGGUGCGGCGCAAGCCAGACUACACUUGUGUAGGUCCUACUUGAUUGGAACAAUGUUGAACAAAAUGAAAUAUUGACAUCAUACUAGUUGUAAAUGUGAAUUUUAUACUAGUUAGUGCAUGCUAGUUGUACAUGCUCAUUCAUGUUAGAAUAACUCUUAUACAUGUGAAAUUCAUGUUAAGUAGAGGCAUAGUAGUUUAGUAAAAUUUAUUACAUGCUCAUUAUACAAGUUGUUUAUUUUCGCUAAAUGUUAAAUUACACUACUUAUGCCUUCAUAACCCAGUGGUGUAUUUCGCUGAUGUCAGCGGCUUACCCAUUGGGAACUAUUGAUUAAUAGUUUUCACGUCCUUUGUUUUGUUGUUUUUGUUUACAGAGCCUUCCACUCCGGAAGAGGAUAAGGACCGCGGCAAGGGUGUCGCCUCUAGCUAGUUAGCCGGAGCUUUGCUAUUAGGUGGUCGAUCUCUCCUUUUUGUUUUAGUUGGAGAGAGAGAGAGUUUUUGUACUCUAUGUGUAGAGACCGCCAUGUUCGUGUAUCUAUAUCUUGUAUGUGGGAUCUUAUGAUGCACCUACUUUUGGAUUAUUGUUUAGUUCUUUUACUUUUCCACUUGUUUUAAGAAUUUAGUUGUAUCCAUGUUCUAAUAUCACUAGAUACUUGUUUACUUUUAUUUUAUUCAUCGCUUUGUUGUAGACGACUUAUGUGUUGUAGGCAUAUGGAGGAUCUGGACACGCACCGAGCCAGCUUCCGCUGAGUCCUGGGGCGUGAAAUUUCUUGUAGUGGAUGCCUCUCUAGUAUCUUCUUAGUGUUGUGAGCUCUCCAAAUUGAUCCAUCACUGAAAAAUAUCUCUGUGUGGACCUAAGACAUUGCAAAAUAAGAAUCUUACUAUAAAAGGAAAAAAAGAUAAUACAUAAUUAUACCUGCCGACAAGGAACUGACAAAUAAAGAAAUGAAAUGCCUGAAUGAUUAAUGAAGAAUAACAAUAUAGCACUGACUGCAUCAAAUAACAAUUAUACUCCUAAAUGAUUUAUAAAUUCACAUUUUGCGGAUAAGAAAAGUUUAAUAUGGUUGUCCAAUGCGACAAAAGAUUAUGUUCAGAUUUCCAAUUUGACAAAAGAUUAUGUUCAGAUUGCAAAAUAUUAUCUGUUGUCAACGAUUAUUUAACAUGUUUCAACAUGACAUUUUACAUUUAAAAUAGCAAAAGCAUAACAGAGGAAGAUCAAUCAUAUUACUAUUCUUCAAGUAUAUAAAAAGAAUGUGAAACAUAUCAAACUAAAUAUUCAGAAGAAAAUAAUAUGAUCCGGGACACUAUAACAUUAUUUCUUACUAGGCUUUAGAAAAAGGCUAAAUUACAGAAAACCCCCCUACCAAAACUCGAUUUUUCACUUUCCCCCCUGUCAUUUAAAAACCUACAUUUUGCCUACUUGUAAAAUGAAAAAUGUGCACUUCGCCCCUACAGUUAGUGAUCCGUUAGAGUUUCGUUAUAAAAUAUUUUUUUAUGCCAAAAAUACCCCUCCGCCCUCUUCCCUGUAGUUUCGUCUUCCUCUGCCUCGCCACCUCACCGCCUCGCCCUCCUCCACUGCCUCGCCCUCGCCCACAUCCCCGUCCGCGCCCACAAACACCCCCUUCGCUCUCCUCCGCCGCCUCGCCUUCGCCCUCGUUGUCGUUACCUACCUCUCCAUCCACGCCCACCACAAUUUUGUCCCUACUGUCGCCGAAAUCGAGGGGCGACGAGGGUGCAGGAGGAGAAGGGGAGCAGGUGGAGAAAAAAAUGGAGAGAAACCGCGGCCGAUCGAGGCGGCAGUUGAGGAAGAUGAGGGAGGAGACGAAAAUGGUGAGGGACAAAAUGAUCAUUUUAUCAUCACAGUACACACCGUACCCCUCUGUGAACAUUUUUUAUUUUACAAGGGGGCAAAGUGUAGGUUUUUAAAUGACAGGGGGGGAAAGUGAAAAAUCGGAUUUUGACAGGAGAGUUUUAUGUAAUUUAGCCUUAGAAAAAUUAUACCUCAACCAAAACACUUGUAUCCCAUGCAUCCUUGUAUUGAUCAUAAUGCAGUGCUAUGGCCAUGAUUCGAUGUCCAUUUUCCUAAAAAAAGAUCAGCUAAUAAUAUAGUUUAGCAAUAUAUUAAAAGGCAAGUGGCAAAGGGCUUGGUGGUUGGUACCCGAGGUCCUAAGUUCGAAUCCUAGUUGAUUCACAUUUUCAGCUAAGUUUAUUUCUAAAUGAAAUAAACGGCAAGUAAAUUUACUUGGCUAGCAUAAAUCUAGAGGAAAAAAAUUUAAUUUAAUAGCCGAAUUUUUUAUCUCGAAUUUUUAAUUGGUAAACGUAUAAUAUCUGUAUAAAUCACGUAUCCGAAUAAUUAACGAAUCCGUUUUUUAACUAUUUUUUAAACGAAUUUAAAAAUUAGGAUACGAAUUUUAUCCGUAUUAUACUCGUACCGAAUUUUUGCCAAAUCCAAAUUAACUAACUAAGGUUCGGAUUCUUCCUCUCUUCUCCUCUCUCUAUUCCUGUCCCUCUCUCUAGAGUCUCAUGUAAUGUCCCGGACUCGCCGCAACCCGCCGAUGACGAGAACUUGUCGAGGCGUGGACGGAGGCGAGGAUGAUAGAGAGAUGAGAAUUGGGUUAGAAGUAAAGAAGAGAAGAGAAGAAUUGGGGGAGAAGAGUGAAGGGAAGAAGAAGAAGUUUGGGGAAGAAAAUAUUAAUUCAUUUCAUUCAUGCCCUCUCAUUAGCUACAUCUGCUUUUUAUAUAAUUCUUUACAUUGUACUAAAAAGUAAAUUGCAGAAAAGAUAGUUGAUUAAGGGCCUGUUUGGGAAAUCUACAAAACUCUGUUUUGGCUUACUUUACGUUGUUUUUUAAAAACUUCCAAUUUUUUUUAAAUAAGCCCGUUUGGAUAGCCCAAUAGACUAAAAUUUUUACUCUGUAAUAUUGAGUUUUCAGAGUAUUAUCAGGGAAAAUAAAAAAAAGAGAUCGGAGCGCUGUAAAAUUUUUUCCCAUUUAUCGCGUUCUUUCCUCAUACGCCCUCUUUCGCAUUUUCGCCCCGCACCUAUCCUCAUCGCCUCAUCGCCCCAUCCUCGUCACCUCAUCGCCACAUUUCCACUCCCCUCUAGUAGACCUCAUUUCCACACAAUGUCUUCAGGUUUGUUCUCUUUCUUCUCUUGCUGCUCCUCGGAUGUGCCCUAGCUUCUCUUACAAAAUCCCAUUUUUCCUCUCAUCCAUGAAUUUAAUGGAAAAAGAAUUAAUAAAAAAACCCACUAGGUAUAAAAGAGAAUUGUUUAGAUUAUGUUUCAAAAGAAGUGGGUUCCAACAUUCCCUUUGUUUAGAUUAUGUUUCAAAAGAAGUGGGUUCCAACACUCCCUUUGUUGAUAUCUAUUUUAUUCUUAUAAGCAAAUAUAUUUGGUCGUUUCGUCUCACCCCACCAUUUUGUCGGUAAGCAUGUGUAAUUACAAUUUUACCCUUUCUUUUAUUUAUUAUAGAAAUUAUUGAAUUUGAUAUUAAAUUCUGAAAAUACAAUUAGUUAUACAAUCAAGUUUAAAUUUUUUGGUAUAAAGAAAUUCUAAAAGACAUUCAAUUUGAAUACUGAUUAUAGAAUCCUCUAAUUAAUUUAAUGCUAAAAUUCUACCCUCAAUUGUCACGCCCCGGAUUACACGUUCCCCGGACACGCCCACAAAUCCGCCGUAUACAAAAGAAUUUUUCCUGUAUACGAAGCGAUAGCUGUACCUGCAAAUCAUACAAUACUACAAACAGUAGUAUAGAGCUGCUAGAAGAACCAGAAAUAAAACAAACGAAGUUCCAUAUACAUACGCCAAAAUCCAAGAUACAAAACAACUCGCACUAGCGAGUUAAAUACAAGUAUGUACAUGAACUCAAACAAAAACAGCUACCUGCUGUAGGGGCACCUCUAACGUCGGGUAGGGCUCUAACUCGCAACGCGCUUGCCUCGAUCCUGAUCAGCGACAGCAGUAGCCGAAGACAAAGGCUCUGCGAAAAUGGGGUAACAACAGGGCGUGAGAACUACCGUAAAACAAGUAGUCCUCAGUGGUUGCCGCCCUCAACAUCAUCGGUCCGCCCACUAAGUCUACAGAAGGGAGCAAAGGUAAUAAUAAAUGCCGGAAUAAAAUCUACAGCUAUCAUUUAUUACUUUAUCAUGCUCUAAGCUAACCUACUGUAGAAAUGUCAUUUCUGACCCAAUCUCUUUAGGGACUGUAAACAUACCCGUCCCAGGGACUCGGAACACACCCUUCCCACCCAGUUGAGACUAUCCAGCUACCUCCAUACUAACCAGUCCGUGGAGAGCAUGUCUAACCGGCAUGCACGACACCAACGCAAAAGCACAGCGCCCGUCUCCGGAGUGGCACUCGUGGGAGCUACCAAACCGAGUAUGCAACGUAUCUCUGUCGAGCUCAAUCAGGCUCUCUCAAGCCAAAGUCCAAGUAACCAAUACUAACUGGUCUAACAACUCACAGUUACAUGCCCUCGGCACAAUCCGACGCCAAAAAGACGAUAUGGGUCCACCGUCAACCCCGACGGUACCCAACAGUCCGGAACAGCCUGAACGCUACAGUAAAAAUACACUAGGCAUCCCAGCAUGAGCGUAACAGAAAACUAAACUACCUGGGGUAUUCGUCGCCUCGAUACUGCGACGAUACAAAAUUACAACGGCUUUUAGAGCUAAAUCAUGUAGUUUAGACAGGUGACAGGUCCAAAACGCUGAUUUUCUCCUAAGUCAAAUUCCAAGUCCAACAUGUAUAUUUAUGAUUUGCCAAUCAUGUCCUCAAUGCUGAUUUCAUCCAUGAUACAAUCAACAAAAAUGAACUACAACAUGAUUUACAAAACUGAAAAUCAUACAUGUCGACUAAUACUGUGCUUAGAAAUAAACCGAUGUAACCCACCUCAAAAGCUAAAUCCUGGCAGUGAAGGAGGUCACCGGAGUCCCUGCCAAGCUCGGCGCAACCCAACAAACCAACGAUAACAACACUCCAUGGAUCUAGAUAUAGAAACCCAUAAUAAGCAUCAAUUCUGCCCAAAACAACAACAGCAGAGUGGAACAGGAUUUCGACCAAGCUAACCUUCACCAAAAUUGACAAUCUUGGGUUUUUGGAUUCCUCUCAAGGUCCUGAAUCCAACGAACCAAGUCUCGCUGCAAUCCGACGCUCCUACGUCGCGUUCGAGUUGAAACGCUAACGGUCGACGCAGAAAAUCUGCGAAACAGCAUCCUUGAGCUCGGAAGUGAUAAAGACUUGCCAUGGUUGGAGAAAUUGAUGAACAUCUCACCUCAACAGCGAUUCUAGCACCGGCGCGACAUCAAGAACGGCGAAAAUACACCCUCGCCCGACCUCCUCGCAAUGCAACGGCAACAAACGCGCGCUCGAACGGCUCCGUGGCGCGACGUCGGAGACGGAACAACUCCACCCGAGCUCCUCUACCACACUCGGUCACGCACAAGGAGAGAAGAGAGAGAGUGCUGAAGUCCUCUCCUCUCUGCUCUCUCUCUAUCCUAUAUAGGAGGGAGAAGGAGUGAGUGAAAACAACGAGGGAAGGAAAGACCAAAAAGCCCCUUACCUAACCUGGCGUACUGGUACACGGGCCCACGUACUGGUACUAGAAGCCAACCCGAGAGCAGUCUGCGCGCAGCCUGUGCAGUGUACCGGUACACCAUACUUGCUGUACCAGUACAGCAAGCAGAAAAAUAGCUAUUUGUAGAUUUUUUUUGCUAAAUACUGCUCUCGCGUCGCACAGAGUCUGUUUUGCGUCUAUUUCACGCCAACGCAACUCAGCCAUGUCCCGACACUCUCCAAAGCUGGCGACAAGCCUCAACCGCCAAACACCAGGGAUCUCACAUCCUCCCCCACUACAAAAAGUUUUGUCCUCGAAACUUAAUCAUACCUCAGCUCAGGGCAUCGAACAGAUAGGGAUAGGACUCCCUCAUCACCGUCUCAGGCUCCCAAGUCGCCUCCCGCUCCUCAUGAUUACUCCACUGCACCUUUACAUAUGGGAUGACUCGAUUGCGCAAUUCUUUCGUCUCCCGAGCAAGAAUCCGCAACGGUCGCUCCUCAUAACUCAGAUCCUCGCCAAUCUCGAGUGGAGUGAAGUCAAUCACGUGAGAAGGAUCGAAAACAUAUCUCCUCAAUGCCGAGACGUGGAAGACAUCGUGAAUGCCAGCUAGUCGCGGGGGUAGAGCGAUCCUGUAUGCAACUGGUCCCAUUCGCUCCAAUACCUCAAAAGGGCCAAUGAAAUGUGGAUUGAGCUUUCCACGUACUCCAAAUCGGCGAAUCCCUCUGGACGGUGAGACUUUGAGGAAUACAUGAUCUCCAACCUCAAACUCUAAGUCUCGUCUCCUGGUAUCAGCGUAGCUCCUCUGGCGGCUCUGGGCUGUCAAAAGGUGUUGUCGAACAACUCUCACCUUUUCCUCAGCCUUUAGCAAAAUCUUAGGCCUAAGCGUUUUCCUUUCACCCACAUCACUCCAACAUAAAGGGGAUCGACAUCUGCGUCAAUACAACGCCUCAAACGGAGCCAUCUGUAUGCUCGCUUGAUAGCUGUUGUUGUACGCAAACUCAGCCAGUCUCAAAUGUCGAUACCACCCUCCUCCAAAGUCCAGGACGCACGCUCUCAGCAUGUCCUCAAGAGUUUGAAAGGUCCGCUCUGACUGACCAUCUGUCUGUAGGUGAAACGCCGUGCUGAACUGCAGCCGUGUACCCAAGGCUGUCUGCAAACUCCUCCAGAAGUGUGAUACAAACCUUGGAUCACUAUCAGAUACGAUCGAAAUCGGCAUGCCAUGCAGCCUAACAAUCUCAUCCAGAUAUAGCUGCGCGAGUCUCUCUCUUGACCAGGUGAUCUAAACCGGUAAAAAGUGAGCAAACUUGGUCAGUCUGUCCACUAUCACCCAAAUCGCAUCGUAGCCACCCUACUCUCUAGACAAUCCCACGACGAAGUCCAUAGUGAUCUGCUCCCAUUUCCACUCGGGCACUGGCAGACUCUGAAGCUUGCAAGCAGGUACCUGAUGCUCGGCCUUUAUCUGUUAACAAGUCAGACACUUAACCACAAAUCUGCCAAUGUCCCUCUUCAUUCUAUUCUACCAAAACUGGGUCUUCAAGUCCUUAUACAUCUUGGUUCCACCUGGGUGAACCGUAUAAGGAGAACAAUGAGGCUCUCUCAAAAUGUCCUCUCGGAUCCCUAAAUCCGCAGGUACACACAGUCGGUCCCUGUACCGCAGUACUCCCGAACUGUCCACAGAAAAGCCCUCAGCCUGUCCCCGGUCUAGAUGCUCUCGAAUCCUCAACAAGUACGGAUCUCCACUCUGUUUCCCUCGGAUCCUAUCCAACAGAGUGGGCUGCAAGACCAGAGACAUCAGUCUCGCAAUAGACCCAGGGGACACAAUCUCAAGCCUCAACUGUUGUAGCUCCUCGAGUAACGGCCUCUGCUGUGUGAUCAUCAAACUCAUGCUCUGUACUACCUUCCUGCUCAACGCAUCUGCCACCACGUUCGCCUUACCGGGAUGAUACUGAAUACUAAUGUCAUAGUCCUUCAGUAACUCCAACCAUCGGCGCUGCCUUAGAUGCAACUCCUUUUGGGUGAACAGAUACUUGAGACUUUUAUGAUCAGUAAAAAUCUCGCAGUGCUCGCCGUACAAGUAAUGCCGCCACAACUUUAACGUAAAGACUACCGCGGCAAGCUCCAAGUCAUGCGUAGGGUAAUUCUUCUCAUAAUCCUUUAACUGCCGUGAAGCAUAAUCAAUUACCCUACCAUGCCGCAUCAGCACACAACCCAGUCCACUGUGCGACGCAUCACUGUAGAUCACGAAUCCUUCCCCCAUCACAAGAAGGGCAAGGAUAGGAGCUGACGUCAACCUCUGUCUCAACUCAUCAAAGCUCCUCUGACAAUCCUCACUCCAGAUGAAUCUAAUCCCCUUGCGCGUCAGUCAAGUGAGGGGUGUGGAAAGCUUCGCAAAGCCUUCCACAAUCCGACGGUAUUAUCCUGCUAGUCCAAGGAAACUCCUCACCUCUGUUACCGUCGUCGGUCUGGGCCAAUACCAAAUCGCAUCAAUCUUCUUCGGGUCGACUACUACUCCCUCUGCAGAUAUCACGUGGCCCAAGAAAGCGACCUCCCGUAACUAGAACUCGCACUUCUUUAACUUGUCAUACAACUUCUUCUCUCUCAGAAGCUGUAGCACAGUCCUCAAGUGCUCCUCGUGCUCGACAUUGCUCCGGGAGUAUAUCAAGAUAUCAUCUAUGAAGACUACCACAAAUCUAUCCAAGAACGGCUUGAACACUCUGUUCAUCAAAUCCAUGAAUAUUGCAGGGGCAUUCGUCAAUCCAAAAGGCAUCACUGUAAACUUAUAAUGCCCGUACCGAGUCCGAAAAGCCGUUUUGGGAACAUCCUCGGCCCUCACCCUCAGCUGGUGGUAACUGGACUGGAGAUCAAUCUUCGAGAAGACACAAGAUCCUUGCAGCUGAUCAAACAGGUCAUCAAUGCGCAGCAAAGGAUACUUGUUCUUGAUGGUCACCUUAUUCAGCUCCCGGUAAUCUAUGCAUAACCUGAGCGAACCAUUCUUCUUCUUUACAAAUAACACCGGCGCUCCCUAAGGCGAAACACUGGGUCUCACAUACCCCUUAUCCAUCAGAUCCUGAAGCUGCGCCUUUAGCUCUCUAAACUCAGCCUGUGCCAUCCGAUAAGGUACCUUUGAGAUUGGUGCAGUUCCAGGAACUACAUCAAUCACAAACUCAAUCUCCGUCUCCGGCGGCAUCGUCGUCAACUCAGGGAGAAACACAUCUGUAAACUCGCGAACCACAGGAAUAUCCUCGAGUCCCAGCGCCGCCGUAGAUACCUCAACAAUAGUCGCUAGAAAGGCAACACAUCCUCUACUCAUCAGCUGUCGAGCCCUCGCCGAAGAUAUCCAAGUGACAAAUAACGUACUCCUUCAGCCUCGAAAAGUAAACUCCUCCUGGCCUGGCUCGCGGAACGUCACUGUCCUCGCUCCACAAUCGAUAGUAGCAUAGUACCACGCCAGCCAAUCCACACUAAGCACGACGUCGAAGUCCUGCAGCUGCCCUAACACCAACAGAUCUGCGGGCAUGAUCCAUGAGUCUAACUGCACCGAACACGACCAACAACAUUCUGCAACCUGUAAAAUAUGGUCCGGGAUCUGCACCUCUCGUGCCAGUGAUAAUACUCCUAACUCUAGACUAUGCAACAAUGCAAAUGCUCGGCUAACAAAAGAAUGCGAGGUACCGGUAUCAAAAAGAGUACGAGCUCUAAUACAAAAAAUCAAAGUGAUACCUGCCACCACUCGGUAAGCUGCUAAAGAGUCCUCCACCUGGACUGCAUAGACCCUGCCGCUCGGAGCAUGCUGUCACCGCUUGCCCUGACGCGGCAUAGACGAUCUGUCCUCCUGGCGAAAACUCGGAGCUGCUCCAAAAGAUGGGUGAGAUGCCGGCAACGGUGAUGCAGUGGAUGGUGCUGGUGAUGCUGCACGGGGACAAGCUGACCUCAUAUGUCCGGGCUGACCGCGACCAUAGCACCUGCCCUCUCUUUGCUCGCACUGCCGGGGCGAGUGUGGUCCCCCGCAGAUCACACACUGUGGCGUCCUCUGAGUCUGCCCCUGCUGACGGGAUCCCCUGAAAUGCUGACGCCCCGGUGGCCUAUGACCCUGAGAGCGUGAUCGUGGAGGCCUCGGCGGACGCCUACUGCUCGACUGUCCAGCAUCAUCAGAAAAGGGGCGCUUCCUGUCCUUACUCUGCCCCAUGGCCUGAGUCCUCUCCUGCAGUGACACCUCACCUCUCUCUACCCACAAGGCCUGCUCUAUGGACGCAUCCAGAGUCCUCGACCUCUGCGUCCGCAUCAACCUGAAAAUGUCGGGUCUCAGCCCCUGCUCAAACAGAUAGACCCUGUGUGCCUCGUCCCUGGCUACAAAUGGCACACAGUUCAGGAGUCGAGUAAACUCCCGAAUGUACUCCUGCACUGGACGAUCCCCCUGCUGAAUCCUCUUCAAAUCCUCCUCGAGCUUCUGUUUCACACUGUUGGGAAAGAACAUCCCAAACAGCAAUCCACAGAACUUAUCCCAUCUCAACUGCAACGCUACCAGUCCCUGCUCUCUCCUCACUCUCCUCCACCAGGCGUGGGCAUCACCUGCCAAGCAAUGGACUCCCAAAGACACCUGCUCCCACUCAAGAAUGAACAGAUCCUCAAAUAACUUCUCUAUCGCACUGACCCAUCCCUCAACAACCCAGGCCUCAGUGCAACUGCCAUCGAAAAUCGGUGGAUCAAAACGGCGAAAACGAGCCAACCUCUCCGUCCACCGCUCCUACUCAGCCUCUGUCAACUAUACUGGCCCCCUAGCAGGCGCAACUGGCGCUACUGGAACUACUGCUGGCGGAGGGACUGCUGCAGCUGGUGCUGUCACUGGGGUAGUCGGAGGUGGAACAGACGACUCUGGUGCCCUCGGUGCUGAACUCUGGGGCGAAGCUAGGCUCUCGCACAUCCUCUCCAACAACUCCCCCUGCCGCCUCGUCACCUCUAUCAGGGCGGCUAACUGUGCACUCAAGUCUGGGGAUGUACUCGUCUCCGGUCGAACACUCUGCUCCCACUGGGCAUGUAUUCCUAAAGGUUUCCCCGACGAAAGGAGUUAAGAGAUUUGGCAUUCGAGGAAAGUUGAACCCUCGAUUUAUUGGACCCUACGAGGUGUUGGAGCGGAUAGGCCCCGUAGCGUAUCGACUUGCUUUGCCGCCGAACCUGUCGGGAGUACACAAUGUGUUUCAUGUAUCGACACUUCGAAAGUAUGUUUUUGAUCCAACCCACGUUCUGGAAAAUAUUCCAGUAGAGCUGCAAGAAGAUUUGAGUUUUGAGGAGCAUCCGGUGAGGAUACUAGCCCGAGAAGUGAAACGGCUUCGAAAUCGUGAGAUACCCUACGUGAAGAUCCUUUGGAGCAAUCACGAGGAACGGGAAGCCACUUGGGAACUGGAAAGUGCAAAGUUAGAGCAUUAUCCCUACCUUUUCUCGACGGAAUCGUGAGGUAAAUGAUUACAAGUUUCGCGGACGAAACUCCUUUUUAGGAGGGGUGAAUGUAAUACACUGAAUUUUUGCAAAUUGCGAAAUUCGAGUGUGAAGAAUGAUAUUUGGAACCCUCCCACAAGUUUAAAAGGGUUUAAAGAUGUUUACACAUAAGUUUGAGAGUGUUCGGAUUGUCGGAAACAAGAAAGUGUAGUGAACUGGCGAAAUUCAGCUUUUUCUGCUUGCUGUACCGGUACAGCCACUAUGGUGUACCGGUACACAGUGGCAAUACGUGGCAGCAAGGCUGUUUUGGUCAUUUCACAUUUGAUACUUAUCUCUACCCUCGAUGCACGACCCAGGAGCUCAGUGGAGCUUGCUGGAGACCAGAGAAAGCCUCUACCACCUUCCUCUCUCUCUCUCUCUAGGGUUUUU